rnacentral:lncRNA from 1 species
GGAACACAAUCAACUAUACCACAUAUGAGAUAUUGGCAGGCCAUGUUUGGAGAUGUGCAUCUGUGGCACGUGAACUUCCUGAUGAUCAAGAGACCAAACUACAUAUUGCAGUUGAUGGAAGGUCCAGACUGCAACCCCCACUCCCACCUGGUUUCUUUGGCAAUGUGGUUUUUGCAGGCGCACCAAUUGCUGCAGCAGGGGAUCUCAAAUCAAAACCAACAUGGUAUGCUGCAAGCUGUAUUCAUGAUACUGUUGUGCGUAUGGACAACGAUUAUCUUAGAUCAGCACUGGACUAUCUUGAACUUCAGCCUGACCUGUCACCCCUUGUUCGCGGAGCUCAUACUUUUAGGUGCCCGAGACUUGGAAUAACUAGUUGGUCUAGGCUGCCGAUCUAUGAUGCUGAUUUCGGUUGGGGUCGACCUAUUUUCAUGGGGCCUGGUGGAAUGGGAUAUGAGGGGUUGGCUUUUGUGUUACCAAGUGCAACAAAUGAUGGAAGUUUAUCGGUGGCCAUUUCUCUGCAAUCUCAACAUAUGCAAUCAUUCUCCAAGUUGUUGUAUGAGAUAUAAGGACAUGAAAUGCGUCGAAUGGGGGCAAUACGUUGAACAGACUUCGGGCUUCUGUGUGUGUCCUCUGAGUUCUGGGACUUUUCAUUGACUCUAGCCUAGCUGAUCGGAAAGCAGCUGUUUUUGAAAAGUUCAAGUGGUCUUUUGGUUAAUCUAUAUUAGAGUAUCUGUUUUAGAAACAACCUAGUACUGAAUAAGAUUGUCAGAGUAUCUGUGAGCUUUGUUUAUUGCUGUGGAGGACUUCUUUUUCGGAGUAUCUGUAGUUUACUGUGAUUGUUAAUAAGGUUUUCUUUCUCCAUGAAACAAAAACAUACUGAAUCACUUUGGUUGCAUAAAGAUUGGUGCCUUUGGUGAAGCUACACUUUGGUUAUACUUUCAGAAAUUUUGGUUUAAUGCAAGAGCAUUUGUAGUGUUUUUAUUUCUCACUGAAAAAGGAUCAAGAGGUUCUUCUUCUGGAGACUUCAGUGUCAAGUCUGCCCCUUUGCUGAAUUUUCCCAAAUGAGAAUUCCCAGCUGUUCCUUCAUAUGGAAAUCCAAAUUGCCUCCUAAAGACAAAUGCUUUCUUCUUCAAAUAAGUAACCAAGGAACGAAGACUUAAAGAGGCGUAUGGUUUCUGAGUAGUCUAGAAGGAGAUCUUGUUACCCCCAACAACUUCAAUACUCUCAGUUUGAAUGCUGCUAUGACUGGGUUGAAGCCUCUUAGGCAUGACCCUCCUUCUCAGUUGGGUAUAUCCCCUGGAAUUUAGGCAGUUUUUCUAUGGCUUGCUGGAUGUUAUGGAGGAGGAGAUGCUGUAGGGCCUUUGGAAGGGAAUUUCAGUUGAGGCGUUUUUGUUCACCCAUUCUCAACCCUGGGACUCAGUUCAGCUACCCUUUCUGCGUUUCCUUUGUUUGGCUUUUUAUGAAGUCCAUGUAUGAGGACCAGUCCACUGAUUUUGGAGACACGGGGCAGAAAUAAAAGUUGACGCCUUUUAUAUUCAACACCCACUUCAUUUUGAACAAAAAUAAAAAUAAAAAAUUCCAUAUUUAUGUGCUAAGUUGGUUAGUUUAAGUAAAAGAUGGCCACUAUGUGAAAAAUAAAGAGAAGUGCCUAAAUCUUUUCAAAAUAAAGCUCAAAAAGCAUUCAUUAGAUGUAUAAAGAGACUUUUUUACUACUAUAAUUCUUGGCCUAAAAUGUUUUAUAGGAAUUCCAUUUUUUAAGGGGCCUUGUGCUGUCGGCCGUCCUGCACACCUUGCGGGUGGGGGCAUGCCAUGUAUUAUUCCAAACUCGUCAUUUUCGUUACUUUUUCCUACAAUUCGAUCAAUGUCAUUCCUAUCCUCUUAUGUUAUACGUAAAUAUAUGUAUAUUUUAACGUUCAAUGGUUAGAUUACCGUCAUUUUACGUCAAUUUCGUCAAUUAUAUUAAAGCCAACUCGUCUAAAGUUCUACUAUCAAAUGACGGAUAUUUACAAUUGUUUGAUUUUGAAAAUUACCGUCAUCCAUAUAACUGACAACAACUAUUGAGCCUCAUCUAUACACAAGGACUAUAGCCUAGCGCGACUUUGGGCCUAAAUGCUUUUGUUUUAGAAUCUCUAAGCCACGCCCUCUCCUUUAGUCACACGCUUUACACAAAAUUUGGUACGAAAAUACCAAAAAAAUAGAGAUAGCUUAAUUGAAAUUGGUUUAUUCAUGGAAUUCAUAUAUCAUAAAAAACAAAAACAAAAAGAAUAAUAAAUAAAACAAAUCAAAAUAUUAGCGUGCAAUAUUCUGGCAAAGAAACAAUGGAAACUCCAGUUCUGAACUUCACCAAUUCCAUCAAUCCCAUGACCUCCAUUACUCGACCCUUGCCCUCUUUCGGUAAUUUUCUUCUGCCCCAGCUCUCUAUAUUAUAUAGCAUUAAAUAUGGUGAUUCUCCGCAUCUUCAAAUUAAAGGUAGUGAUUAUAAUAUCUCUCUAAUUAAAAAUAAUUUUUAUUAGAAAUCAUCCACUUUUUAACUGUCUUAAUUUUAGUCCUCAAACUUUCAAAUUAAUAAAUAUGACCUCCAAAAUUUUGGUUCACACAUAAGUUUGGUCCGUAUCAUAUUUUGGAGAUGUGCAGGCAACGCAAGUGACCUCCCCACUACAAAAAAAAAGUGGCAACAAUUAUCAUUAUUUGGUGACAUUUGCUGGGGUGACUAAAGUUUUAGCCAUCCCAGCAAAUGUCACCAUAUAAUGGUGAUUGUUGUCACUUUUUUUUUGUAAUGUCCCCUUAAUCACCAAACUAGUUAUUGCCACUAAUGGAAGGUCAAGACUGCAACCCCCACUCCUUCCUAGUUACUUUGGCAAUGCGAUUUUCACAACAACGCCAAUUGCUGUCGCAGGGGAUUUCCAAUCAAAAUGAACAUGGUACGGAGCAAGCCACAUUCAUGAUGUUUUGGUUCAUAUGGAUGAUCAAGGUUUUAAAACGCAAGGUGUUGAGGCGAGAUGCUUUUGAUCUCGCAAGGUGAAGUGUAACCCUUUCAAACAUUAAUUAUUUUAAUUAAAAAUAUAAAAUUAUAUAAAAUAAUUAUAAACGGGUACUAAUUGUCUCCUAAGUAGAAUAAUCAAGUAUUCUAGGAGGACAAUUUAGGGUACUGCAGAUAUGAUUUCUGGUUCAACAAUUCUGUAGAUAUGAUUUCUGGUUCAACAAUUCUACUGCGUGGGAAGGGCAUAAACAGUUGCAGGAUAUUUACCCUAAAUCUCACAGAGUCUUAAAAAUAGGCUAAAGACUGUUAAAUUGCGAGCAUGCCACUAUUAGCAGUGUAAAACCCUAAUAGAUCUUAAUGAAUUAAAAUAACUUAUGCACCAAGAAACCUGACUUCCAAUCAAACAAUUGUGCUUGGAAUAGAGAACUGGUUCAAUAUGGAUUUUUUCUAUGCCUCAAGAUAAACGAGGACUUUAUUAUUUCUCUAAUACAAAGCUAAGAGAUAAAAAACAUAAACAAGUAAACAAUGUGUCAAAUCGAUCAUAUCUGGUGAGAACUAAGACUGCCAUUACCUUUGAGUUGCCUCAUAGCCACUAGAACGAGAGUAUUUUUGUUCACCACUUUAACCCAAGUUGUACCAUUAUCACCCUUCUCAACACUUGACACGUAUCUGUGGGCAUAACUAUGGUUAUGCACAUGGACAGUGGCAAAGCCAUGAAUCUUACCACAAGGGGUCUUAGUGUAAAAGUCCAAAUAAAAAUUUAGGAUGGAAAAACAUAUUGAAAAUGAAAUCAUAGUAUUUUCAUUCAUAAUUCAUAACGGAAACAAUAUUACAAGCUAUAAUUGUCCAUGACGAGGUUUCAUAUUUUGAAAACGAAGCAUUAUAGCUUCAUUUUCAAUACAAGCAAAAAUAUCUCUCUCAAUAUAAACAAGCAAGCUAUCACUCAACCAUUGAUCUCCCAUUUUGUUCCUAAGUGGACCCUUAACAAUAUUCAUGAUAGAAAAUGCUCUCUUCACUGAAGCAGUUGCAACCGGUAAAACUAAAGACAAUGUAAUGAGCAAAUACACAUAAUUGAAUACUUGAUGCAUCCUUGUUUCCACCAUUUUUUUUUUUGCAAGAUCACCAAUCCCUUCCAGUUGAGAAAAGUCACUACUAGAACGCACAUAAUGGAUAUAAAUCUCAAGUUGAUCUUCAAGUGCCAAACGAUCCUCAUCCGAAAAGUCUUAAGGAUAAAAUUGAGCAAGACGAAGUAACUUUGAUUUAUCAAAAGCUAUAAAUGAAUCUUUCGGACUCAAACAUGCCAAACAAAUUAGCAAUUCGGUAUUUACCUCAUUAAAGCGAUCCUCUAACUCCGUAAUUUUUUCAUCAAUGACAUAAAUAAAGAGCUUCACACGAUAAUGAUGACGAUUUGUCUUUAUUGGAGCAUUACGCCUUGACCUCCCUGGAAGUAUAAAUGCCUCUUCCAUGUUAGGAACAUAAAUAUGAUGUUUUUCACAAAAAGAAAAUAUUUCAUUAACCAAUGUAUCGAACCCAUUAUUCCUCAUCUAAUGUAGCUUUUCCUUGCAUGAUUUCACUAAAGUCAUUGCAUUCACAAUUUCUUGAUCUUUCCUUUGCAAUGCUUGUGACAAAUCAUUUGUGAGUCCCAAUAUGGCUUUCAUCAAGAAAAGGUGAAACACAAACUCAAAAAUACGUAUUUCUCUCAUUAACUUAUUUGCUUCACCCGCAUUUUCAUUGGGAUUAUCAUCAAUAACCAUUUGAAGCACAUGAACCACUGAUGAAAACAUAGAAAUGAUGCUAAUCAAGGUACCAUAGUAUGAGUUUCAUCAUGUGUCACCGGCAUGUUUGAGACUUGUUUCUUGAUUUAAGUCUCGCCCCGUUAUAAGACAAUCAUGUUCAAAAGCUAUCACAAGCUCUUCAUAAAGUUGCCCUCUAAGUAAAUCACGCCGCUUACAAGAUGCUCCAACAUGAUUAACCACACUAUUAGUAGUUGCAAAAAAAGAGGCAAAUGUCUAUAUUUUUCUUUGCUACGGCAACAAGAGCUAGUUGAAGUUGAUGAGCAAAGCAAUGAACAUAAUAUACACAAGGUUGUUCUCUCAAUAUCUUUGUUUUAAGGCCAUUCAACUCACCUCUCAUAUUGCUAGCAUCAUCAUAACCUUGUCCUCGUAGCUUGGAAAGGCACAAAUCGUUGCGAGAAAAAAAUGUGUCAAUAGCAUCCUUUAGUGAACUUGAAGUAGUGUCAGUAACAUGUUGGAUACCCACAAAUCUUUCAAUUACAUGCCCUUUGUUAUCCAUAUAACGCAAUACCAUAGUCAUUUGCUCUUUCACCGACACAUCACGUGCUUCAUCCAUCAAUAUUGAAAAGAAUUUAUCUUUUAGACCAUCCAUGAUAGCAUCAAGUGUUUCAAGGGCAUAUGAAUUCACAAUUUCUUUUUGAAUGCAAGGAGCUAGUAAUUUGAGAUUCCCAGGAGCAUUUUCCAUCACAACUUCUCUAACUUUAUCAUCAUUAUCUGCAAGGAAUUGCAAUAGCUCCAAGUAAUUUCCCAUAUUGCUUGAAGUGGCACUUUCAUCAUGGCCACGAAAAGCAAGACCUUGUCGCAAUAAAAACUUAGUGCACUUGAUUGAUGCAUUCAAGCAUGUGCGAUAAGCCUUACGAGCUUGGUCGGAGUGUUUGCUCACUGCCGUUUCAAUAUGUGUAUUUCGAUUCAUCAAAUUUGUAGCAGCUUCUCUAGCCUUAUUAUGAACACUCCCAACCGGUCCAACAUGCAUCUUAAAUCUUCCUCUCCCUUUCUUCCAAUUCUUAAAUCCAUCUUCAGUGAAAGCUUCACUACCCACUUGUUCAAAAUUGGUUUAAAGAGAUAGCAAUAGAGACAAUAUGCCGCAUCUGUAGAUAUACUAUACUCCAACCAAUCAAACUCAUCAAACCAUUGGGGAAUGAAACGUUGAUUAAUUCCUGACAUAUUAGUUAUUGGGAAAUUAUGACCUCUAGGUUGACAAGGUCUUUUUUGUAGAUAUGAUCUUCGGACCUCAUCUCUCAUAUUAGCAUCAUAAUCUAUCAUUCGAGUUCUUAAUCCAGGGUCCGCUUGAAGAUUACCUAAAACACCAUAUAACUGACUUUGUCUUGAACUUGGAGUUCUUGAACUACCAACAUUAUUUGAACUAUCAACAUUAUCCGAACUACACGAACCUGAUCAUGAUUUUCUCUUAAAAAACCGUUCCAUAAUAUUCUACAUAUACAAAACAAUCAAAAUAAAUACUCACAAUAUAAACAAACCAUCAACAUAAUCAAAAUACAUAUGAAUUGGAUUUCAAUUAAAUUAAAUAUAUUCUACAUAUACAAAAUAAUGAAAAUAUAAACUCACAAUAUAAACAAACCAUCAAUAUAAUCAAAAUAAAUAUGAAUUGAAUUUCAAUUAAAUUAAAUAUAUUCUACAUAUACAAAAUAAUGAAAAUAAAAAAUUAUAAUAUAAUCAAACCACCAAUAUAAUCAAAAUAAAUAUGAAUUAGGUUUCAAUUAAAUUAAAUAUAUCAUACAUAGUAACAUAGGAUUUAAAACUUACUUGAAUUGUGAAAUUUCACAAUAACAAUGAGCAAAUACAAAGAGAGUAGCUAGCGGCACCACCACAACGACGACGACGGUAGCACAAAGGCACCUCAAUUGUGGCAGCCAGGGAGGGGAUUGAGUUGAAGGUUUUGGGGGGGUUGGUGUGGGGUGGGAAUUGAGUUGGGAACUUAGGGUUGGAGGAGGAGAAAACAAAAGAAAAUUGGGAGUUUUGGAAUGGAGGAAUUGGGUUUGUGGAAAAGCAAUGGCUGGAGGAUACGUUGGUCAUUAUUUUUUUUUUUCAGACCUGGCUCAAAACGACGUCGUUUUUGCCAGGUUAUUUACAAAAAAUUCACUGUGCCAAAACAACGUAGUUUUGGCCAGGUCAUUUAAAAAAAUUCCCUGAGCCAAAAGGACUUUCCUGAGCCAAAACUACGUCGUUUUGCCCAGGUUGUUUAAAAAAAAAAACUCGCACGCCAGUCAGCCUUCUUCUUUUUCAGCCUGCGAACCUUCCUUCUUCUUUCAGACAUUUCGUCGACCACUUGGUGUGCAGCUCCAAGAGGUCGCACCAGCAGCUCCAAGGGACCUCUAAGCCUAUUUCCAUGGCUUCCAAGAGGUCGUGCGACCCCAUUGACCCCACUGUGGCUCCGCCUCUGCACAUGGACACUUGUCAAGUGUUGAGAACUAUGUGUAUCUUUUUAUGUUUAUUAAUAAAAUUCACUCGUAUCAUAGAGUUUAAUAUAUAAAUUUUGCCCAAUCGACUUUCAAAUUCUAGAACCGCCACUAGGGUGUAGUGUGCAGUUCGAACAUUGAGGCGGUCAUAGGUUUUGAGAAGGAUAGGCCACUGAGAGGUGUCCAUGGAAGGAGUCGGGGUUAAUGAAGUCUUUGUCCAAAUCAUUGUCUUUAUGUCUAUGCUUUUUCUUCUUUUUCUUCUUUAUAUCUGCCCUUUUCGCCACGGCCUUCACUGGGGUUCGAUCAUCAUCAGAAGCCAUUUCCUGCACAUUAGACAGAACAAAAAUGAAAAAAAAAAAAAGAAAAAAAAGAACACUAGAACAGCAGGUAAAACCCAACAUCAAAUACAAAUUUUAUUCUGGGCAAAAUUUAAGAGAAAAUAAUCGCUCUGAUUUUUCCAUUGUCAAACAAAAAAAACACUUAAUUAAUCAUUACCCAUAAUAGAGUUAUAUUAUAUGCUUGGGGAUGGUGGCUUUCCUAAACAAAGCAUUAUCAUUAAGUUCCCAGUAAAGAGAUUAACACAAAAUGGCAGGGGUUUUACAAAUAAACUAGUUUCAGGUGCAGUGACAUGUUAGGAACCCUUAUCAGCUUCUGAAGACAAAAGAAGAGACUUUCACAUACAAAUCACUUGGAAGUAUUCAUAACAGAAAACCCAAAAGAGGGCAAGUAGAAAAUCAAUACCUUUUACUUAAAAGCACCUAAUCGGAAUGGUUCGGCGGCGGCAGAGGUAGGGGUUUUAAGAAGAGAAAGAGAGAAGAGAAGAGGAGAGAGUGGCGGGAGUUAGGGUUAUGCAAUUAACCCUGCUAUUUUAUGUUUUAUUAAUUACAAUUUUGGAGAUUUCUCACCUGUUCUUUUCUGGGAUCAUCUAGGAUAGAAAAAACCAAAUGUAACAGAUCAGAACCAUGAACAAACAAACUUUUCUUUCUCUUUUUCAUGUCAGUUUCAGAGGAAACAAACAGAGAAUUGGAUAGAGAAAUACCAUGGUUGCGAAGUUGAGCUGACGACUAGAGGAAGAGACGGCAGCAAACGAAGAAGGUCGAGGUCUCUCUCGCACUCGUUACCGUCUCCCAUGGUUGGAAAUUCAGAUCUGACCGCAUUGAGUCCGAUUUGAGAGCUCGAAGAGAGAGAAGGCUUGGCUGCCGGUGAAGAUGGGGUUUCCGUCGGUUAGGUGGGUGGGUGGGUACCUAAGGAAGAGAAGCCAUGGUUUUUGGUGUGAGUUUCUGGGACUGAGCUUGCAAUAUCCCACAUUCAUCUUUUCCCAGCUCUGUAAAUUUUCCAUCUCCAGGUUGAAAUGCAAGCUUUCGCGGGUGGGAGGCAAAGAAACCCACUAUAGCAGGUUAUCCAGUUUUUGUGUGUGGUGAUUUUAGUGAUUUUUCUUCACAAAUUAUUUUGAGCCAUUAGAUCAAAACUUUUAAAUCCAACGGUUAAAAGCUUUGAUGUAUAAGUAUUGAUACACCAGAGCAUAUUAGAAUUUUCGCUAGAUGACAUCUGUGAAGAAGUCACUAUAGAAUAGGCCUCAUUAUUUGGUCUGUGGGCUCAUGGGUCGAUAGGGGCUUGUCCGGCCCAUCGAAAAAAAGCCCGGCCCGGCCCAUUAUGGGCUUUGAGAUGGCUUGGCCAGCCUUGGGCUGGGCUAGGCUUGGGCUUGGGUGUCUCAAGCCCAGCCCAACCUGAUUAAGCCCAAGAAAGCUCGGCCUGGCUCGUUAGGCCCACAUACAUAUAUAAUUAUGUAUAAAUAGGAGUUUAGGUUUAGGAUUAAAUCACAUAUAUAAUUUGUUUCAUUUCAUUUACUUUUCUUUACUCAUUCCUAGUUUAUAAUUGGAUGAUUAACACAUUAAUUUGUGUCAAUUAUUAAUUCAACAAUUAUAUAUAUAAAUAAGAUGAACAACAUAUCACAUCACCAAAUAUAAUCAUAUCAUGAAACAUAAUCGUACCACCAAAUAUAAUCAUGCUUUUCUUGAACACAUCACCAAAUAUUUGCAUAUUUAUUCAUACCAUCCUUUAAAAAAAAAAAUUUGAUACUUAUUAUUUUUUAAAACGUAUUACGGUCUAAUUAUGUAAUAACCUCAAAAAUAAUACUUUGUUUUAUUAUUUUUUUGGAAAAUCUUAUUAAGUUGUGUGACUUUAUUUGGUGUUUUAUGAAUUUGGUUUGAUGUGAAAAUAUUGGAAUUAAGUUAGUUUAAUUUUAAAUUUGGACUAAAAUGCCCUUAUGAUUAAGUUUAUAAUUUUUUUUUAAUGAAGUAUGCCCAUUUAGGCCUGACCAGUUGGGCUUAGCCUUGCCCGGCCCGAUGGGCUUUCUCAAGUUUGGCCCAUGGGUUGGGCUUGGACUUUGAAUUUUCUAAAAAAAUCCGGCUUGGCCAAGCCAUAUAUUUUCUCUCUUCUUUUUAAAACCCGGCCCUGCCCAGCCCAAGCCCAUUAAAUUUGGGCCGAGCUAUACGAGCCCUACUACAGAAUGUCUUGAUUUGACAGUUACGUGGGUCCCAUACUUUUCAUGCAAAUUGAUCAGGAAGGUGAGAGGGAAGGGCCAUGAUGUUUUUUGGUUUUCUUAAGCAAUAGUUCUUGAACUAUACUCGUAGUUAUAUUUUGGUCACUCAACUCCAAAAAUAGAUGCAAAGAUCCCAUAAUUAUGUAUGGUGUUACAUUAGUAGUCCCUUUCGUCAAGUCUGUUUAUUUUUUCGUUAAAUCUAUGGAUAAACUUGAAAAUUCAUUCCAAAUAUUUAUAAAAACGAAAUAACAAAAAAUAAAUAAAUAAAGGUUAUUUGUAGCAAUGGUCCCUCAACUAUAGUCAAAGUUAUAUUUUGGUCACUCAACUCUAAAAAAUAGUUACAAAGGUCACUCAAUUAGAUGUAGUGUUGCACCAUUAGUCCUUACCGUCAAGUCUCUUUAACAGUAAAAACUAAUAGUGCAACACAACACCUAAUUGAUGAGCUGUUUGGGCCCUUGGCUGAUUGUUUCAAGUGGACAUACUUUGGUUUUGAUUUGAAUGGCAGAAGUGGUAGCUUAAUCCUACAAGUGCAUUUAUUGACCGAAAGGCAAAGGAUGGGACCAAUAAAUGUCUACAUCUAACCCAAAUAAGCUAGGCCUGCCCUUUCUUUUUAUAAUGAAUUCUCCAUACCUGUUCUUCACAAAUAUAUAGUGCACUAUUAAAGUCGGUCGCUCAACUUCGAGUGGUAUAACUUAAAAAAUAAAUAAAUAAAUAAAUAAAAUCGAGUAAUAUAAAGUAGGAGCUGAGGAAUCUUUAGAAGAUGAUAUUGUGAUGGAAAAAGAAGGUGAUUUUGAGAACUUGAGAGGGCCUUGGAUGGUUGUUCAAAAUAGGAGAAAACCGAAAAGUUGGGUUAAGGAUAGAGGAAACAAGGGAGCUGGAGGUCCCAGCAUAGGCUGUCGGUUUGACACGUUAAGAAAAGUGAAUGAAGACUUUGAUAGAAAUGGAGGGUUUGAUACUGGCAAGACUAAUUAGUUUGGGCCCAACCAUGUUGGCACAUCUAAGAGCACCUCCACCGCCCCGUCCACAGCCCCUCGAAGCUCAGGUUAGGCCCUCCAGCGUGCAGCCUGAAGAUCGGGCAAGUCCUGGGGCCCACUAGUCUGGGCAAGUCCAAGGGCAAUUCUUGGUUGGGCUCCAGCCCAAAGUGGUUGACGUCAACGAAGUGAAAUUAGAUUAUUAUUUUCUUUUACCGUUGGCGCAUGAAAUUCAGAUUUUUUUUUUCUUCUAUCAAUUUUUUUAUUUAUUGGGAUUUUCUAUUUAGAAUUACUAACGUACUCUUUUAUUUAGUUCAGUUGUUGAGAAGCACGAUAAUGGGCACUAGAAUAUCAGCCAGCGAAUCAUAGGACACUAGCCAGAUCAACAACAAUAGCCCAAUUGAUCAAGAUAAUUCUUUUCAUUAGUAUAGAACUUUGUUUAUGAUCUUGCGCUCUUGAAAAUCAUGUUAGUAUGGCUUCCUUUAUUUUUGGUAUGCGUUCUGUUAAAUUAGGUAAAUUAUGUAUACUUGUAUGUUAAAUUUAUGUACUAAAAUUUUAGGAAUGGAAGAAUCUUCUGCAAGACUAGACAAUAAUCAACAUGAUGAUGCAGUUGAAAUGAAUUUUAAUGGGAUUGAAAAGGAAAAUAAUGGGGAUGAAACUGAAAAUAAUGACAUUGUAAUGAGUGUUGAAGAAAAAGUACAAGACCCUCGAGUUAGAAUGAUUUUUGACAGUGUUGAUGAGGUGAUCACAUAUUACAAACAAUAUGGGAGGCAAUCAUAGUUUCCAGUGAUAAGGAGAUCAUCAAGAACUGGAGAUGAUGGAAAUUUCAAAUAUGUUACUAUUCUUGUGCCCAAUAAGACAAAUCAAAAAGUAAGUCAAGUAAUCUUCUUAAAUCUCAUCCAAGUAUAAAGAAUGAUUGCAAGGCUCAGCUUAGGGCAGGUUUAUUGAACGUCUUUUUUGCAGUUUCUUUAUAUUUUAAAUAAAUUCAGAGACUCUUUGGAUUCUGCGUGUAGUUUUCACCAAAAUUUCAUACACGCGAUUAGAAAUGGUAUUUCCUUACUUGACUUAUAACCGGCCCAUUCCCAUCCCUAAAGAUCACCAAUUUCAUUUUCAAUUAUUUUUGUUUGUAAAACUUAAGAUACUAUAUCUCUAGUAAUUCCAACACAAGACAAGCCAAUUCAAAUGAUAAUUUCAUGGAGUGAAUCUCUUUAAAAUAAGUGGUGAAGUAUUACUUUUUAGGAAUAGUAAAUCAAAUAAAUAAGCAUAAGUUAUUGGUUCCAAGCAUAAGUUAUUGAUACUAUUCUCUAAAAAGAAGAAUAUCAAUCAUAUAUGUUUAUCUAUAUUAUAACACAAAAAUAAAUCAUACCACUUAACCGUAACAUUUUAUAAUUUCUUGAAAAGUCCAAACCUUUUAAAUGAGGUUUCGUGUGAUUUUGUCAGGCUGAGAGGUCCCAUCUAAUGGUAGAAUUUUCCCAUAAAGGAGAGGUCCGACUCCCAAUGGAGACCCAUCGACCAAAAACAGUAGAGUAAUCCCCGCAAAGAAGAAACAAUUAAUAUUCAAGUGAGUAUGCCACCUAAAUAAUAAUGAGGACAUCGUGGAACAGUUUCGAACCACGAUCUACUUUGUUUUCUUCUUAUAAUUGUGAAAUUGAUACCGUUGAUGCAUUGAGGACAGAGACAAUUCGACACUGACAAGGGUCUUUAUUUGAAAAUGCUCAGGGGGUGAGAAUGAAUACGAUAUCUACCUAUCACAUCACGUGAUAAAAAUCUAAUAAGUAUAAAAUUAUUCUUUUCAAUUAGAGGGUGAACUCUAUUAUAUUAAUUGACUCUACUUUGAUUAGAAAAAUAAUACAUAAUCUUAGAAGGGACGUUUAGACUUUGCUUUUUAAUUUUGUAUUUUUAUAGAGUUGACAUUGAGAGAGCAGAAUUAUGGUUUGAAAUGCUCUUAACUACUACUAUUUAACCACGUAAACUAUAAGCUAUAAACCAAUAAUUUUUCUAUGUUUGAGGCACAUAGUAUUUAUGUCUUAUGUUAUGUCACAUGUAUUGAAAAAUAUGUCUACAUGGGAUGGGACCCUGGUGUACCCGCACAUACACAAAUUUGUCCUUGCUCAGUCGCUACAUAUAUGGAUGUUAUUACAACGUCGGUAUACAGAGACGUGCUUUGCCUUCUUCACUGCAAAGAAGGUUAGAUAAAUAGUUUGGUUUGGAGGUGAGGUGAGGCCCAGCAAAAAGAUGGCGGUGGUCAACGUGAGCGUGAGGGAGUCAACGUUGGUGAAGCCGGCGGAGGAGACGCCGAGGCAGGUGCUGUGGAUGACCAACUUGGACCUUGUGAUUUUGGGCAACCACACGCCAAGCGUCUACUUCUACAGGCAGAACCAAAACAGUGUGCACGGUCAUCAUAACAACUUCUUCGACCCGCAGGUGCUCAAGCAGGCGCUAAGCAAGGCCCUCGUGCCCUUCUACCCGUUGGCGGGGCGCCUCGGGAUGGAAGGCAACGGCCGCGGCGAGAUCGACUGCAAUUCGGAGGGCGCGCUGUUUGUCGUGGCUGAGACGGGCUCAACCAUCGACGAUUUCGGCGACUUCGCGCCGACUCUCGAGUUCCGGAAGCUCAUCCCAGCCGUUGAUUAUUCGACAGGGAUAUCAACUUAUCCCCUCUUGGUGUUGCAGGUAUGUUUAAAAUCGCUAGUGUCGUUUCAUUACUUGAUCUUGACCGUAGAUUAAACGCUUCGGUCAACAUUUCACCCAGCUGACUUGGUUGAAUGAUAGUUGAUGAUGAAAUUUUAUUUAUUUGGUAAUUGAAAGGAUAACAAAAAACACAAAAAAAGAGGAAAGCAGAAGCAUCUGGUGGCACUGCCACACUUUAUCAUGAAAUGAUAUUUGUAUUUAUUGAUUAAUAUUUGAAUUAAUAAAAAAUAUUAACUAUGCCGACAGAGAGACUAUAUUACCUAAAGAGUGAUGCUAUUUCUCUAUUUUCUCACUCAUCUUAUUUUCCUAUUCAAUAUAUAAAUUUUAAUAAAUACAAUUAUAUUUUUUCACCCUCUAUUAUUCCUAGAAUACCUUUUACAAAAUUAAAUGAAAAAAAAGUUAAUCAAGCUCUCUUCUCCAAGUCACCCCCAACCUCUUGCUCUCCUCUGCCAUCACCACCAUCCCUCCAACCCAUCUGUAAAACCCAUAAAUUUGUUUUCUCCUAAUUGAAUUUUGCUUUAACAUUAUCUGCCCAAAUUAAUUCCCUAUUUAUUUACAUAAAUUUCAAAUGAAGCCUGCAUAAUAAUAACUCACCCAACAUCCCCUACACUGCGAUAUUCCAAUUUUUAUUUCUGUAGUUUCAAAAGAGCUCUUCCUGUUUUUAUGAUACUGCAACAGCAUAAAAAUUCCAGUACCACAUGUUUUGGCAAACUCGUGCAAAAUAACAAGCAGCUGGAAAAAAAAAAUACAAAUGUUUCAGAGAGUGAACCUUAUUUUACUUGCCUAGAUAAAACUGACCAAGAUUGAAUUAAAGAUGAACAUCAAAUGGUGUUGAUUAAGCAAACAGAGGAUGAAGAGUCCAAAAAAAUGAUAAAAGAAGCGUCACAAAUAGAAGAAUUUAUUUCAAUCCUUAGAAGUUAUUUUACAUAAGGAUAAAUUUGUCUUUAAAAUUUUGAGAAUAAGAUAGGGGGAAAAAUAGGACAUAAGGUGAAAAUAGCAGCAUUCUUCUUAAAAUAUGUAUUUCGGAAGAAUUAGAGCAUGUGCGACACUUUAAUAUCCAGGUAAUUAUGAUUAGAUGGAGUUUAACUGAAUAAAAACGAGUCUAUUGUGAUUAGAUGGGAUCUUCUUUUCCUCAAUAUCAACUGGCUGAUUUAUAUGCUGCUGUCAAGUCCAUUUACUUCAACUAUCUACUUUAGUACUUUUGGAAACUACUUUUCCUCACAGGCGAAAAGUUUUGUUGUUUACGUAUACAAGUUAAGCUGCCAAUCUUGAUUCCAAGCAUAAAUGUUUGUCCUGUUGUUUCACGUUGUAUCAGUUAAUAGAAUUUGGAGAACCACCGGCCAAAAACAGUAGAAUAAUCCCCGCAAAGAAAGGAACAAUUAAUAUAUACUAUAAAUGAUAAUGAAGACACGUGGAGCAGUUUGGGUGGAGACAUUGUUGGGCAGUUUCAAACCACAUACUAUUUUGUUUUCUUCUUAUAAUUAUGAAAACGAUACCCGUUGAUGCAUUGAGGGACAGAGACAAUUCGACAGUUGACGAGUGUUCUUUACUUUGUAGUUUGUAUGGAUUCUUCAAUACUUCGAGUCCAACCUGCAUUCGUCUGUCUACUUGUUGCCACUUAGAUGAGCUUAAUAGGGAGUUUUAAUUACAAUUAUGGUAGUUAAUAAAAUGUUUGAAAUAAAUUAUAAAUAAAAUAUGAAAUUUAGUGACAAUGAUGUAAAAACGUAGGAAUAUUAUGACUUCUUAUAUCAUACUGGUCAUUUAAAUUUGAAAUUGAAUUUUAUAUAUAGAUUUAUAGAAUGAUGAGUAUAUGUUUAGGAAAUAGAAAAUGUAGGGACUUAUAUUGGACAAGCCCUAAUUCUUUAAGCCAAGUUAUUGUCUUCCUGUUAUAUCUGAGUGGAUGCGUUUUCUUUUUGGUGGAUUAGAGAAUAGUUUUACCCCACUAUACAAUUCCAAGUGCUCACCCCUUCUUUUAUUUCUCUUGCUCAUAAUAUCAUCCUGGAUAUGACUUAAACUUACAAAGUAUGGUUCGGGUUUUACUCUGUUUAUGCAUCAGGUCACAUACUUCAAAUGUGGUGGAGUGUCACUUGGUGUUGGCCUGGAACAUCGUGUAGCAGAUGGCCUUUCUGGUCUCCACUUUGUAAAUACAUGGUCUGAUAUUGCUCGAGGUCUUGACCUGACAAUUCCACCAUUCAUUGACAGGACAUUACUUCGUGCCCGAUACCCACCACAGCCUGCAUUCGAUCACAUUGAAUACCAACCCGAUCCACCCAUUAAAACUGGUACAAAAGCUGUAGGUGAUGAGAGCGCAACGGUAUCCAUUUUUAGAUUGACAAGGGAGCAGCUCAACAUCUUGAAAGCCAAGUCUAAGGAAGAUGGGAACACAAUCAACUAUACCACAUAUGAGAUGUUGGCAGGCCAUGUUUGGAGAUGUGCAUCUGUGGCACGUGAACUUCCUGAUGAUCAAGAGACCAAACUACAUAUUGCAGUUGAUGGAAGGUCCAGACUGCAACCCCCACUCCCACCUGGUUUCUUUGGCAAUGUGGUUUUUGCAGGCGCACCAAUUGCUGCAGCAGGGGAUCUCAAAUCAAAACCAACAUGGUAUGCUGCAAGCUGUAUUCAUGAUACUGUUGUGCGUAUGGACAACGAUUAUCUUAGAUCAGCACUGGACUAUCUUGAACUUCAGCCUGACCUGUCACCCCUUGUUCGCGGAGCUCAUACUUUUAGGUGCCCGAGACUUGGAAUAACUAGUUGGUCUAGGCUGCCGAUCUAUGAUGCUGAUUUCGGUUGGGGUCGACCUAUUUUCAUGGGGCCUGGUGGAAUGGGAUAUGAGGGGUUGGCUUUUGUGUUACCAAGUGCAACAAAUGAUGGAAGUUUAUCGGUGGCCAUUUCUCUGCAAUCUCAACAUAUGCAAUCAUUCUCCAAGUUGUUGUAUGAGAUAUAAGGAAAUGAAAUGCGUCGAAUGGGGGCAAUACGUUGAACAGACUUCGGGCUUCUGUGUGUGUCCUCUGAGUUCUGGGACUUUGCAUUGACUCUAGCCUAGCUGAUCGGAAAGCAGCUGUUUUUGAAAAGUUCAAGUGGUCUUUUGGUUAAUCUAUAUUAGAGGAUCUGUUUUAGAAACAACCUAGUACUGAAUAAGAUUGUCAGAGUAUCUGUAAGCUUUGUUUAUUGCUGUGGAGGACUUCUUUUUCGGAGUAUCUGUAGUUUACUGUGAUUGUUAAUAAGGUUUUCUUUCUCCAUGAAACAAAAACAUACUGAAUCACUUUGGUUGCAUAAAGGUUGGUGCCUUUGGUAAAGCUACACUUUGGUUAUACUUUCAAAAAUUUUGGUUUAAUGCAAGAGCAUUUGUAGUGUUUUUAUUUCUCACUGAAAAUGGAUCAAGAGGUUCUUCUUCUGGAGACUUCAGUGUCAAGUCUGCCCAUUUGCUGAAUUUUCCCAAAUGAGAAUUCCCAGCUGUUCCUUCAUAUGGAAAUCCAAAUUGCCUCCUAAAGACAAAUGCUUUCUUCUUCAAAUAAGUAACCAAGGAACAAAGACUUAAAGAGGCGUAUGGUUUCUGAGUAGUCUAGAAGGAGAUCUUGUUACCCCCAACGACUUCAAUACUCUCAGUUUGAAUGCUGCUAUGACUGGGUUGAAGCCUCUUAGGCAUGACCCUCCUUCUCAGUUGGGUAUAUCCCCUGGAAUUUAGGCAGCUUUUCUGUGGCUUGCUGGAGGUUAUGGAGGAGGAGAUGCUGUAGGGCCUUUGGAAGGGAAUUUCAGUCGAGGGCGUUUUUGUUCACCCAUGCUGUAGGGCCUUUUAUGUUCAACACCCACUUCAUUUUGAACAAAAAUGAAAAUAAAAGAUUCCAUGUUUAUGUGCUAAGUUGGUUAGUUUAAGUAAAGAUGGCCACUAUGUGAAAAAUGAAAAGAAGGUUCUAAAUCUUUUCAAAAUAAAGCUCAAAAAGCGUCCGUUAGACAUAUAAAAGAACUUUUUUACUGCUAUAAUUCUUGGGCAAAAAUGUUUUAUAGGAAUCCCAUUUUUUAAGGGGCCUUGUGCUGUCGGCCGUCCAGCACACGGCAUGCCAUGUAUUAUAUCCAAACUCAUCAUUUUCGUUACUCUUUCUUAAAAUUCGAUCAAUGUCAUUCCUAUCCUCUUAUGCCAUACAUGAAUAUCUGUAUAUCUUUGAUGUUUAAUGGUUAGAUUACCGUCAUUUAACGUAAAUUUUGUCAAUUACAUUAAAGCCAACUCGUCUAAACUACUAUCAAAUUACUGAUAUUUACAAUUGUUUGAUUUUAAAAAUUACCGUCGUCCAUAUUUUUGACAACAACUAUUGAGCCUCAUCUAUACACAAGGGCUAUAGCCUAGUGCGACUUUGGGCCUAAAUCCUUUUGUUUUAGAAUCUCUAAGCCACGCCCUCCCCUUUAGUCACAUGUAAAAAAAGAAAAUAUUAGCGGACAAUAUUCUGACAAAGAAACAAUGGAAACUCUAGUUCUAAACUUCACCAAUUCCAUCAAUCCCAUGACCUUUGGUAAUUUUCUUCUGUCCCAACUCUCUGUAUUAUAUCAGAUUAAAUAUGGUGGUUCUCCUCAUCUUCAAAUUAAAGGUUGUGAUUAUAAUCUCUCUAAUUAAAAAUAAUUUUUAUUAGAAAUCAUCCACUUUUUAACUGUCUUAAUUUUAGUCCUCAAACUUUCAAAUUAAUAAAUAUGACCCUCAAAAUUUUGGGUCACACAUAAGUUUGGUCUAUAUCAUCGUUUGGAGAUGUGUAGGCAACGCAUGUGACCUCCCCACUACAAAAAAAAGUGGCAACAGUUAUCAUUAUUUGGUGAUAUUUGCUGGGGUGACUAAAACUUUAGCCACCCCAGCAAAUGUCACCAAAUAAUGCGAUUUUCAAGACUGCAACCCCCACUUCCUCCUAGUUACUUUGGCAAUACGAUUUUCACAACAAUGCCAAUUGCAAUCGCAGGGGAUUUCCAAUCAAAUUGAACAUGGAACGGAGCAAGCCACGUUCAUGAUGUUUUGGUUCAUAUGGAUGAUCAAGGUUUUAAAACGCAAGGUGUUGAGGCAAGAUGCUUUUGAUCCCGAAAGGUGAAGCGUAAUUCUUUUGAAUAUUAAUUAUUUUAAUUAAAAAUAUAAAAUAAUAUAAAAUAAUUAUAAAUGAGUACUAAUUGUCUCCUAAGCAUAAUAAUCAAGUAUUCUAGGAUGACAAUUUAGGGUACUGUAGAUAUGAUUUCGGGUUCAGUAAUUCUACUGGGUGGGAGUGGCAUAAACAGUUGCAGGGUAUUUACCCCAAAUCUCAGAGUCUUAAAAAUAGGCUAAGGAUUGUGAUAAAUUGCGAGCAUGCCACUAUUAGCAGUGUAAAACCCUAACAGAUCUUAAUGAAUAAAAAUAACUUAUGCACCAAGAAACCUGACUUCCAAUAAAACAAUUGUGCUUGGAAUGGGGAACUAGUUCAAUACGGAUUCUUUUCUAUGCUUCAAGAUAAACGAGGACUUUAUUAUGUCUCUAAUACAAAGCUAAGAGAUAAAAAACAUAAACAAGUAAACAAUGUGUCAAAUCGAUCAUAUCUGGUGAGAACGAAGACUGCCACCACUUUUGAGUUGCCUCAUAGCCACUAGAAUGAUGGUAUUUUUGCUCACCACUUUAACCCAAGUUGUACCAUCACCACCCUUCUCAACACUUGAUACGUGUUUAUGGGCAUAAUCAUAGUUCCACAAAUACAACAAAGAGUUAACUAUGGUUAUGCACAUGGACACAUGUCAAGUGUAAGGAAGUAUGGUGAUGGUACAUUUUGGUUUUGUCACAUCCCGGGAUCGGCUCCGCCGUAGCACGAUAUUGUCCGCUUUGGGCCCCUCUUUGCCCUUACGGUUUUGUUUCUGGGAGCUCACGAGCAACUUCCCAGUGGGUCACCCAUCCUGGGAUUGCUCUAGCCCCCAACUCGCUUAACUUCGGAGUUCCUACAACUCCGAAUCCAGUAAGCUCCCAAAAGGCCUCGUGCUAGAUGGAUGCGGGUGUGCACAUAUAAGGCACAUCAUCCCCUCUCCGUUGGUUGAUGUGGGAUCUUACAAUCCACCCCCCUUAAGGGCCCGAUGUCCUCGUCGGCAUACUCGUACCACACGGCAGAGUGGCUCUGAUACCAAAUUGUCAUAUUUCAGGAUCGACUCCAUCGUAGCACGAUAUUGUCCGCUUUGGGCCCCCCUCUCUGCCCUCACGGUUUUGUUUCUAGGAGCUCACGAGCAACUUCCCAGUGGGUUACCCAUCCUGGGAUUGCUCUGGCCCCCAACUCGCUUAACUUCGGAGUUCCUACGACUCCGAAGCCAGUGAGCUCCCAAAAGGCCUCGUGCUAGAUGGAUGCGGGUGUGCACAUAUAAGACACAUUACCCCCUCUCUGUUGGUUGAUGUGGGAUCUUACAAUCCAUCCCUUAAGGGUCCGACGUCCUCGUCGGCACACUCGCACCACACGGCAGAGUGACUCUGAUACCAAAUUGUCAUACCUCGGGAUCGGCUCCGCCGUAGCACGAUAUUGUCUGCUUUGGGCCCCCCUCUCUGCCUGCACGGUUUUGUUUCUAGGAGCUCACGAGCAACUUCCCAGUGGGUUACUCAUCCUGGGAUUGCUCUGGCCCCCAACUCGCUUAAUUCGGAGUUCCUACGACUCCGAAGCCAGUGAGCUCCCAAAAGACCUCGUGCUAGAUGGAUGCGGGUGUGCACAUAUAAGACACAUUACCCCCUUUCCGUUGGUUGAUGUGGGAUCUUACAGGUUUAAAGUGGUGAAAAAAAUAUUUCCCCAUUAGAAUAGCCUCAAAAUGUCAAGAAGAUUUGGUAACAAUCGAGUAGAAGCGCCACUAAUGGGCAAUUCAAGAUUAUUUCCCCUUUUUUAGACUUAUCUUUGACCUUGUGUGAUUAUCAAUUAAAAGCAUCCGCAAUGGUUGUUCCAAUUCAAUGCAAUAGUUCAAUAAAUUGAUCUUUUUUGGCAUUUAUUGAAUUGAACUGCAGUUUUACUUGUAAUGGUAUAGUUCAAUAGCUUCAAAUCAAUAGUUAUAUCAAUAGUUAUAGUUCAAUAGUCUCAAAGAAAUCUUUAAAAAGAGACUAAUUUUGGAAAAUCAAUUAUGUAAUUUUUUAUUUAUUGCAUUGAACUAUUGAACAACCAUUACAGAUACUCUUAACAACAUAAUGCAUUAAUUAUUGUUUUUUUUCUAUUUUUUUAUUGGCAUGUGGGUCCCCUAGUUAGCCUAUUGCAAUUGCAAUAGAGGGUUCAUCACAUAGAACCUUCUAUUACAAUGAACUAAAUCACACAAUUGCAAGUGAAAUUUUAGUAUUUUAGUUCAAUUUCAUGCAAUAAAAUUAUAUUGAUUCUAACCAUUGCAGAUGCUCUAAUGUACAAUUCCCCUUUUAGCGCCACUAACUUGGCCAAAUUCUCAUUACUUUAUAUCAAAACAGUGAGCCCAAGCCAUCAAUUGGCCCAAUUCUUUUAUUUAUUCCCAUGGAUUGAAAAUAGGACCAAAACACAGGGAUGUAACUGAAGCAAUUAAUAUUCUUGUACAAAAACUCAAAAUCAUAUGAGCAUGCUCUCAUCUUCGCAUGUUAUCCGAGUUUCUCCUCUUCUACUGCUGCACGUAAGAUACAGUGCAUACUUUAAAUUUCUUUUCAAAGGUCUCAUGGCAUAGUAUUAAUUUUCACAAAUACACAAAUCUGUUUUGGUUGUUCAAAUUACACACUGAGGAUAAUCUCAUUAAAUUUCUUUUCAAAUUGUGGCACUGCUUUUUGCCAAAUUAGAAAACUGCAUAACAGUAUUUCCUAUAUCGGCUGAGAUUGUUCCUACAACUUAACGAUGUUUUGCCGCAUGGGAACUGGGGAGGAAAACAAUGAAGAAAUGUGUGACAUUGCUAUGUAUGUAAUUAUUGUGUACAUUUAUUAAGUAAAAAAAUUCAAACAAUUGGUUCCAUUGGUUAGAGCAGUUCUAGCCAUGCCCCCAAGCCAGGCAGGAGGGGGGGUUCCAAGCCUAAAACGCGUUUCUAGCAGGCCUUUUUUGCCGGGGCAGCUUGUGGGUCCCACGGAACUAGGUUGGCCUGAAGGCAGAACAAGCUCGAGGGCGAGCUGACGCCAGCAUGUGGGUUUAAAUUUUUUUAUCGUUGGUGCGUGCAUUUAAUGCUCCAACGGUAAAAAAAAAAUUAAAUUCCGUGCAUUGUCGCCAGGUUAGCGUCAGUCCUUCCUUUCACCAACUGCUAGAAGCCACGUGGCGGACUCUGGGCGCUCCGAUUGGUUUUCUCCUUCAAUCCAAUGGUUGACUUUUUUUUUGCAAUAAAAUUAUGAAAAAAAUUCAAAAAAAUACCCAAAAAUUCAUGAAUUUUUUUUCUAUAAAUACCUACGAAUACUCUUCACUUUCAACACCAAAUCCUCAUACAUUUUCUUCUCCUUCUACUAUUAUUCACUUUCUACUCAACAUUUUAUUCACUUUCAAAAUUUAUUUUUAUUUAUCAUCUUAUGGCUUCUUCUAUCGAAACUGGAGGGGCGUGGAGCACCAUGGAAGAUGUUUUGUUGUGUGAGUGUUGGGUCCAAAUUAGUCAUUAUCUCGUCACGGGCAAUGAGAUUAAAUUCUCUCAUAUGUGGAGAAAAAUUCAUGCCGAAUUUUGUGAAAGAUCGGGUUCGACUCGUACGAAAAUGGCAUUGUUGAGUAGGUGGAAAAUUCUCAAUAAAGAGUUGGGAAAAUGGAGAGAUGCCUUGGCAAAAGCGAGGAACAACCAUAGAAGCGGGGGAAAAUCUUAGCAAUGAGGUAAAUUAUUUGUAAUUUUCGUUUUAUUAAUUUUAAUGUCCUAAUUUUUUUUUAAUGUUUCUUGCAUUUUCAAUUUUUUUUUAAAUAUUUCUUGCAUUUCUAUUUUUUUUAAUAAUGUUUCUUGCAUUUCCAAUAUUUUGUUAAUGUUUCUUGAAUUUCCACUAAUUUUUAAAUGUGUCUUGCAUUUUCAAUAUUUUGUUAAUGUUUCUUGCAUUUCCAAUAUUCUUUAAAUGUUCCUUGCAUUUCCAAUAUUUCAUUCCAAUGUUCUUUGCAUUUCCAAUAUUUUUUUAAUAGAUUAUGCAAGCACAAAUGUAGUUUGGUGCUAUUGGGCAAGGCCAAAAAACUUUCAACCAUGACCAAUGUUGGGAGGUGGUGAAGAAUUGUUUGGUGCUUUGAAAUAUUGCACGAAGAGAAUAAAAAGCAACCAAGUAAAAGGGGGUCGAGACUUUUACCGAAAUUUUAACAGAGUCUCCCCUAAAAAAAUGGUCUUUUCACAAAUUUUCCACCUAUGAAAAACAACAGAAAAAAAGUUCUCAACUGCCAGAACACACAAUGCUAAAGGCGCACAAAUUACAGAAUAGGCCUUCGGCCUUAAAUUCAACCCUACAUGGGCCAUAACAUAGCAAAUAUAAGAAAUCUUUAGUUUUACAACCAAAGCAUAAGUAUCAAAGGAAAUUAAACAAGUAAAAUUGCCUUACAACUGUUCAAGGCAUGAGAGUACGAAGUCUUGGCUUGGUUGCAAAACAAAAAUUGUGAGCGGACAAAAACAAAGUUUUAAUAUACUUUUAAACAAACAUACUAACCCCACCGUUUUGGAAAACGAUGCCCAAACAUGCCAAAAAACCAUUUAUAUAGCAUAAUCGACUCUAAAAACCAAGGUAUCCCAUAAUCCCGAUAUAGCAUAUAACACAAACUCAAACUAGACCUUUUUCCCUUCUCAGACCACUCUCUUCCGAGACACAUGCCUGUAAGCACAACAAUUGAGGAAGGUUCCUCACAAAUAAAUAAGAAUAAUAUAUAUAUAUAUAUACAUAUAUAGGUAUAACCACUACACCAAUACUAGUACGGGGGAAACAAUCCAACCUGGGGAUUGUUUGACUUAGGGCUAGGCAUUCAAACCGGCAACCCGGUCAAACCGCCCAAACCAAAUAGAUGGUUUAGGUUGGUUUGGUUUUUUUUCAAUCUUUUUUUGGUCAUCGGUUUGAACCCAAACCAAACUGAAAUAUAUGAUUCGGUGUACGGUUUGCAAUAUUCAAAACCACGAUUUAACCAAACCAAAUUGAAGAUAUUAAAAAAAAUAUUAUCAUAAGAUAUAUAUAAUACAUAGUUUCAAUCUUUCUUUUUCUUCUCUCUCAAUCUCUUCGUUUUCCUUGUCUUCAUCAGUCCACAUCUCUCUAUUUUUUUUUUCUCUUUCUUCUUACGUCUGUCUUCACUCCCUCUCCUCGUCUCCCUCUUCUUCUUCUUCUUCUUCUCUUUCUUUUCUUUUUCUCCUCUUCUUCUUCUUCUCCAUCUCUCCACCUUUUUUUUUCUUCUCUUCUCUUCUCUUCUCUCUCUCUCUCUCUCUCUCUCUCUCUCUCUCUCUCUCUCUAAGAAAGCCAAAAAAUCGAAACCGAACCAAAUCAAACCACCAAGUCUAGUUAACCGAAGUGGUCGGUUUUCAUCAAUUAUGGUUUGGUUUCGAUUUUAGCCAAACUGAGGCCUACGGUUCGGUGUUCGGGUUGAGCCCAAAAUCGAACCAACCCAAACCAAGCCCACCCAUAGUUUGACUAAACCACAUGCAGAAAUCCUCAAUACACUUGUGGCUAGGGAAGAGCAAUCCAAUAGGAACUAUUGCUCCCCACACAAGCACAACAGAAUCUUCAAUACUCGUGUGGCUGAAAUAAGUCUAACGCACGUUGACUGCCCGACAAGGGCCUAGGGUAACACCCAGUCAAGGGUGUCCGGGUUUCAACAUAUCCAAGUAUCCAUCAUUUCCAAGUAUCCAAGUGCCCGGAAGGUACAUAGGGUGGUGCUAACAGCACUUCAAUAUAACAUAUUGCACAUCCCAACAAAUAUACCAUAACCAUAUGCCAAAUUCCAAAUAUUCCAAAUUACCCAAUCCCAUAUACAUAGACAACCGAACAUUAAUAGAGUCCAUAACUCAAUACCCAAAUAUUUAAUCGUAGUAUAGAUAUCAAACUCUCAAAAGCAUAUAUACCAUAACCAAAAUAUUCACAAACUUCAAAUAUCAGUAUAACAUCCGAUAACCAUAAGAUAUUCUAACCCAUAAUUAAAACAACAAUAUAACUUCUUAAUCUCAAUAGUCAAAAUAAUCAAAUUUUAUAUAUAUGCAAUCCACUCUUUGAAAAUAAUGAUCAUUUGAAACAAAGUCCACUCACGAAAAGUACAAAGCUGCUUGACUUGCGGGGGUCCUUCGUGUUGAGUUCGUGGAGCUUGAGUACCUAUUUUACUGAACACGAGGACUUAAUCAAAACGACUAAACCAACCACGAACUUAAAUUCAACUCCCAAGCUCUAGCGAUUCAAAGUGUGUGUGCACGACUAUUGGGGAGUUUCUAAGGCUAAUAUAAUGCUUUUGAAAGGUGGAACGACCUUGGAAGACUCACGGUCAACCAAGUGGCCAAACUUCUCAAAUUGGUCAAUCGGGUCCGUGGGGUCACGACCUCUGAUUUUCGAUCCGAAAAUUCCAACUAGAUCCUAAAGGUAUAGAGAACAACAUAUUUGAAAUUAGGACCGAUUAUCGAACCCGAAUAUUGCAUAAUAUGCGUAAUAUUCGUCUGAUAGUCAAACGAUAACCAAUUCUAAAUCCAAGCAUACCGUCGUGCUAAGGACGAGUUGAGGAGUGUUUUAGAACAUAAUUUGCCGCCACAAAAUGGUCCACGCGCCGGCACCCACUGCCGAUAAUGCGUGGUGUCUUGAGAAAUUUUCAGCAAAAACACCCUACAAUACUUUUGCCAACAGAUUCAGAUUAACUAGGGGGUCAACUUUUGUUCUUGGACCACGGCCAAAAACUAGCCGGAACUAGCUGAAUCGAGCCGAAACCAUCAGCUAAAAUGGGAAUAUUGAACGAUAUGUAAAACCUCCAAAUGAAUCCCAAGAUACCUAUACUAACAGCUAGAGCAUGUUAAGGGGAUGAAGAAUCAUACAUUGGUCGACAUAAACAACCGCUAGAAUUGCAAGAAAUUGCACGAACAUCAUUGGCGAUUAAAUGAGGGUUUUGCAAGGUUUGAGUCCAAAAUCACGACCAAAUUUGGAGUUUUGAAGGUGGAAAUAGGUAUGCAAGUGUAGAGGAGGAAGAGACAAACGUUUUGUGGGUCGUGGUGUCUCCGGCUGUGGCCGGAUGGAGGAGAAAACACCAGCCAAACAGGCCGGUUUGUUUCGGGAAGAAGGAGAGGGUCGCUUAAGCAAGGAGAGAGAAAGUGAGAGAGAUCUGAUCGUUCGUUUUAAAACCCAACUUUGAAAAAAUUAUGGUUGUGCAACUACACUUCCGUAGACCACAACUUCUUUAUUUAAACUCGGAUUUGGACCUACUACGUGUCUACGAACUCGUGAGAGCGAGCUCUACGCAAUGGUGCCACUCAUUUUCUCAAAAUCCUUCUAGAUCGAAAAGGGACUAAAGUGACCCUACCCCCAAGGGCAAAAUUAUAAAUUCGGAAAUAAAAAUGAAUUGAAUAAAAUGAUUAAAUUAGAUCGAGAUGUUACAAUAUUGUUGUUGUUGUUUUUCUUUAAUUAAUGUAGCCCCCUGGUUCCUCCCUUUUUUUUUUUUUUUUUUUUUUUAGUGUAAGUUGUUUUUUUAUAUAAUUGUAACGACACUAAGAAAGAUACCAACUCACCACACAACUUAAAAAACAGAAGCUAAUUUAUAAGAAAAUAACUAAACAGAAAAGAAAACAAAGACGUCACAUAUUGUAAUUUUUAAAUAUAUAUUUUCUUACAAGCAAAAAAAUUCUAAAAAAAGAAACUUAAAUUUUUAUUUAAGUUAAACUUUAUAUAUAUAUAUAUAUUAUUGUUAAUUUUAAUUUUAAAGAAACAAAAACUUAAAAUUACUAAAAUAAUAAUAACAAAACAAGUAAAGAGAAAACAAAAUAAGAAUUAUUGUAUCACUCGUGUAUCACCAUGGUAUCACCACGUUAUCACUAUGGUGUCACCUGUUUAUCACGUUUUAGGUCAGAGAUGAAUUUAUGAACUUCCACUAUUUUUCAGUUUCAACCUUUGUCCCAUUUUGGACCUAUAACUUUCUAACCAUUAAUCCAGAUUUUAUGUUCUUUAUAUGGUUGGAUUCAGAAUGACAAAAUGGAGAACUCAGCGAGGACCGAAUGGUAAAAUUAGUUACAGAAGUGUACAUAAUUCAUUAAAACGAACAGUUAAAGUUUUGACACAAGAAAAACAAAGCAAAAAAACAUUCCCACCAAGAACUUAAAUGAAACAUUGUCCUUAAUGUUGAAAAGAGUAAAAUCAUAUCAUGCAAUGUAUCAUAAGGCCAAGGGACGAAACAAAGCAAAAUAAAAUUAAAACAAAAACUUAAAUUACUUAAAACUAAACAAGCAAAGAGGAAUGAUUGAAAAUUAAUACUCCCCUUUGAAGCAAUUAGACCAAGCAUGGAUGCAUUUGGAGGUCGCUUGGAGGUCGCGACUUCUCCCAAUACCCCACACUUCCCAUCCUUAUGAUUGGAGUUGCCUUCUCUCUUUCCCCUUUUUUAUUGGGCUAUCCUAGAUUGCUAAAACGAACACAGAAAACUUAAAACAGAAUUAAAAGAAUUAGGAAGGAAAAAUUAAUAUGAAAAGUAAAGCAAGUAGGGAAACAAAAUAAAACCAAACUAUGCUACCAAUCCCCGACAAAGGAGCCAAAAACUUCUUGUGUCGAUUCAGCUGCACCAAAGUUGAUUUAGCUACAUCCUCAACUUGUGAUAUUCGCAAGUGCAUGAACCGUUGGAUAGUAUAGUAUAUGUAAGUGCAAGGUCAAUCCCACAAGGAUUGAUGAUAGAUUGAUUCAAUUCGAUUCCCUGCAUAAAACAAAAAUGGAAACAAGGUUUAAAGAUUAUUGAGAAGAGUACAAGAAUUGAAAACUUAAAGUUUAAUCAAACAAAGAAGAAAGGCUCUAAAACUGGUUUUGGGUUUAAAAACAAUUCUAGGACACUAGGGAACAAUCCAAUUCUAAGUCUCAAGCAAUUAAGUGAAUAAGUUCAGUUCAGAUUCACAGAUUGAUUCUAGCUAAAGUAUGAGUAAGCCAUGGUAUCUAGUUCUAACCUUGAAUUCCUAAUUACCUAAUUAAGUCCUUGUUGUCGAACCUAAAUUAAGCAUUAGAAAUCCGUUAAGUAUAGAAGAAUGUUAUAAACAACCAAACAUAUGAAUGAUUUGUUUUGUUUUUCUUGUGUCAAUCUUGACAGGAUCAUAAUUACUUCAACUAAGAUAGCUAACAUACAAGUUUUAAUGGUGAUCAAUAAUUCAAACAAGCAUAUUAACUUAUAAGCAUAUGAAUGAUGUAGGACGAAAUAUGGGUCAAUUAUGGUGUGAAAAAUUAAUUAAAAUAAAGUGGCUCAAAGUUGGAAGGAAAUCGUGCAAGAGAGGAAAAUUCCAAUUAAAUGUCAAUUAUGGCACUAGGAAAAGAAGGAAGGCGUAUCGUUGGGAUUUUCUAAUUGAUUGAGCAAGUUUGAAGUAAUUAUGAUCCUGUCAAGAUUUAUAUUUAAUCUAUAUUUUGAAGAAUAAGUUAUCUAUUAGGAUAUUAUUUUCCUAAUAUGAUUUUUAUUAUUUUCUUAUUAGCUAAAUUUAGGAAUAUUCUAGAAGCUAGGGUUUCCUACAGUUUUAGGGUUUCUUUGUUUUCUAUUUAAGCCAACUCAUGGCAUUUAUUUGUGAGUUGAUUCAUCUUAUUUUCAAUCAAUAUUGAUUCAUCUUAUUUUCAAUCAAUAUAUUUGAGGUUUACUCAAUUUCUCUAGUUGAUUCCAGUUUGUUGGUGGAUUCCGACAUUGUUACUUAUAGGGUUAUCAUUCGAUCUUCCUAUCCUUUAUAUCUCGAUGCGUCAAUGAAUAAGAACAAGAACUAUAAUUGAAACUUGAAAACUAAUCAAACUUGAAAACUUAAAAUAAGAAAUUACGUAACAAUGAAAAAUAAAAUACAAUUAAGAAAAACAUAAAGAAAAAUCUAGCAAAAGAGUUUUAUUACAACAAUUGAGAAUUUAAAAUGAAAACUAAGAGAAGAAAAACUAAAAUAGUAGAUGCCCCUAGAUCCUUGCCUUCGGCUCCCCAUGGUCUCUAAUUCUAACUCUAUUUGGUGCCCAAAGUCUUGCACAACUUCUGCACACCUUUCAUACCUUAUUCUCUCUGCCGUAGCUCUCUAUUUAUAGAGAAUGAAAAUCUCUUGUAGCAGCACAUUUCCAUGUGGAUGUACGGUACAUUUCCAUGCCUAAGUCCUCAAAUAGUCUAUCUUGCUGCAUAUCAAACUUUCUUCAUGUGCUGGCUGCUGCACUUUUAAUUCAUCCACCUGUUACGGCAGCCUUUGCUUGCCUUUGGCAUUUGCAAACCUCCAAGAGGUUUUGCUGCCAACGUUCUUCUUUCAUUUCUUUGCAUUAUUCUUUCUCCUUUUGGUUGCUGCCCAUUCCUCUUUCUUUUCUUUAUCUUUCUCUGCUCAUCACGUGUUGGCAUAUUGGCAUUUUGUGUCAGCCAACAUCAUUCUUUAUACUUCUUCCUAUUCUUUUUCAUUUGCUGUCUGCACACAUGGUGGGCUGCUGCCCAAAGUUGCUCCCUUCAAUCUUUCCAACUCAUAUUUGCAUAGAAAAUUCCACCUUUUCUCCUCUAUUACAAUUGGUUUUAAUACAUUAAGAGGAAUUCUUUCAACUUUAAAAAUCUGAAAACCAAACUUCAUAAUGUAAAACAAUGUUACCAAGAGGUGUGGUAACAAGCAGAAAAAGAGGUAGCACACAAAUGACUCUACAAUAGGAUUAAAGCUCCCAAUGUAUGCUAGAGAGAGAGAGAGAGAGAGAGAGAGAGAGAGAGAGAGAGAGAGAGAGAGAGAGAGCAAAAGGCCCAAGAAGGGCAAAGAUGACUCCAAGUAAUUUUGCCUAAAACAAAAUUAUGCCUAUCUGUCGAUUCCAUGCAGAAAACGGGCUUGACAAAAACUAGAUUAUCUCUUUCCAAUUAAAGUCAUGUGGAGCCUUGAAAUUUCCAACUAAUAUUAAGAUUCUGUGCCUGUCGAUCUACUGCACAUGUGCCACAGUUAAGCUGCCAUUAGCAAAGUCCUUCGGAAAGCACCAUAUAAAAAAUGGCGGUGUUAUCAGCUUUAAAGCAUGUAUCUCUUGGGGCGUCUAUAGCCUCUAAGAUUUUACAUUUAUUACUAUCUUCCUUAGUUUCCAUUUCCACGUUCACUUUUGAUCGAUCCUGGUUGUAGUCGUGUAUUUGUGUUGUAAGUUGUGAUCACAAGAAGGAGGUCCUAAUUUUCUUAUAUUCUUUUCUCAUAAGGAAAAGAACAGUGUGCUCCUAUUAAAGACCAAAGAAAAAAAGAGCAUUAGAAAAAGAAAAGAUGACGGAGAAGGUGACUGUGAGCGUAAGGGAGUCAACGAUGGUGAGGCCUGCCGAGGAGUCGACGCCUCGGGGCUCACUGUGGCUCUCCAACUCGGACCUAGCAUUCACACCCUUUCACACGUCCUCUGUUUACUUUUAUAGAACAAGCGGUGAGCUCAACUUCUUUGAUCGGAGAGUGCUCAAGCAAGCGCUCAGCAAGGUCCUCGUGCCCUUCUGCCCCAUGGCCGGUCGAUUCAAGCUAAAUGACCAGAAUGGCCGUGGGGAGAUUGAUUGCAAUGCGGAGGGAGUGCUUUUUGUUGUGGCAGAGAGCAACUCUGUCGUUGAUGAUUUUGGCGAUUUUGCGCCCACUUCCGAUUUCCUUAAGCUCAUCCCCGCCGUGGAAUACUCGGUUGGAAUAUCCUCAUAUCCCCUUUUGGUGUUACAGGUAUUUAAUAAUGAUCAUCCAAGGUCUUUUAUAUUUUGUAAAAUUUGUAUAUGUAUAUACUUAUAUUCUCGUUGCACGCGCGUUACUCAUUGCAUCAUUUUGAUCUAGUUUUGGAACCGAAUAAGAUGUUUCAUUGAAUUUUGUCAUUUUAAAUUAUCAAGUCCUAGGUCACUCUCGUUCGCCUCUGCGGUCUCGUCAUGCUCCAAGUACCAUCGAAACACCACUUUUAACUCUUCUACUCUCCAUCAGAAAACUUUUGUUCUAUUUUGAAGCAUAUAUGUUGUCUGCAAAAUCCAAACCCACUCACAUGUCAUCAGAAACCCAAAUUCUGCAAUUUUGAGCAAUUGCAACUUCAAAUCCAAUCCAGUCUUUCCGAAUCAUCCCAACCCAUCUCUAUAUUAACGUAUUUCUCUUAAUUUUAAGUCAAGUUCAGUAAUAACAAACAUUUUCUAUUUGCAUCUCUGUACCAAAAGCUGUGGUUCUUUUCUGGUCACACAACCUGUGGUGCUUGAGAGAGAGAGAGAGAGAGAGAGAGAGAGAGAGAGAGAGAGAUUACCAGUAACCAUAUAUUUAUAUAUGGUUGUGUUUUAAUUUCUACGUAUAUAUGCAAACGCAGGUUACGUACUUCAAAUGUGGUGGUGUGUCGCUGUUGGAGUGGACCACCGCAUUGCAGAUGGAGCAUCUAGUCUACACUUCGUAAAUACAUGGUCUGAUAUUGCUCGUGAUGAUCUCUCAAAUAUUAAACCACCCUUCAUGAACAGGAUGUUACUUUGUGCUCGAGAUGCACCUCAGCCAGCAUUUCCUCACGUUGAAUAUCAACCUUUUCCACAAAUGAAAUUAGCUUCUGAUCAUCUGGAAAGCACAAGUAAUACUACUGCCUCGAUUUUUAGAUUUACGCGGGAGCAGCUCAACAUCUUGAAAGCCAACUCUGCGGAAGAUGACGGCGGGAAUAUUAAUACAAUCAAGUAUAGCACAUUUGAGGUGUUGGCAGGGCAUAUUUGGAGAUGUGCUUGCAAGGCACGUAAACUGCCAGAUGAUCAAGACACCAAAGUACUCAUUCCCAUUGAUGGACGGUCUAGAUUGCAACCCCCACUCCCACCCGGUUUCUUUGGCAAUGUCAUUUUUAGAGCCACACAUAUUGCUGCAGCAGGGGAUCUCCAGUCCAAACCAACAUGGUAUGCUGCAAGCUGUGUUCAUAAUGCUUUGGUCCAGAUUGAUGAUGAUUAUCUCAGAUCAGCCGUUGACUAUCUUGAGCUUCAUCGUCCUUGUGUUUCCCCACUUGUUAUGGGGGCCCUGUUGAUCAGGUGCCCGAAUCUUUGGAUAAACAGUUGGGUUAGGCUGCCGAUUCACGACGCUGAUUUUGGUUGGGGUCGACCCAUUUUCAUGGGGCCUGGCACACUAUUUGACGGGAUGGCUUUGUUGUUACCAAGCGCAACUAAUGAUGGGAGUUUAUCCCUGAUGAUUUCUCUGCAUUCUGAACACUUGAAAUCAUUUUCCAAGUUGUUGUAUGACAUAUGAGGAAAUGUCACGGUUGAAGAAAUUUGGUGCUGUCUGGUUUGAAUUGCUGUUAUUCCCCUCAUCUUUAUGGGUGUUCAAAUUUGAAGUUGUGUAUUGGUUCGUGCACGUUGCUUGAUUGAGUAUUGAAACUUUUUUUUUUUCGAAAGUAUGGUGGACUUCUUGUCCACAAUGCUGGUUGUGUUAUAUUGUGAUUCUUAAUAGAGGAUUCUCUUUCUCAUGAAAUUAAAAGAACAUUGGAACCAAAAGAGUAGGAGUCAUAAAGAGGUUCGAAAAUUUUGUAAAGAGAUUACCAAAAUAAUUAGAAAUCUGAACACCCCUCAAAGGUUACAAAACUCUUAUUUCUAGGCCUAUAGAUACAUCCGUUAAUGAUUGUACUUGCAGAACAUACAUUCCUAAUGUAAAAAUCGCUAUUAAUGAUUGUAUGUUCAAAAUGCAAAUUUAAACCAAGUAAUGAAUGUACAAUACGAAUAGACACUGUACAAUCAAGUAUGUUAUAUGAUUCAUAAUGCACUAUUACCUCUAUGAAUUUUGGCAUCUUUAUAUUAGAACAAUAUGAACUUUGGUUCGUAUCUAAAUGUAGUGUUAAAUUACAAAAUGGGCAUGGUCGGACCUCUUUAUUUUUGGACCUGCUUAGGCGUGGAUAAAGGUUAUCUGGGCUUUAUUUUUGGCCUUACUAGUUAUUUGCUUUUUUGUUGGGAGACCUUACUUUUAUUUGGUGUUAACAGAAGCCCCCUAAGUCCUAAAUUUGGUAUCAACAGAAGCCCCAUAAGUCUAAAAUUUGGUGUCAACUGAAGCCUCCUAAGUCUUAACUUUGGUGUCAACAGAAGCCCCCUAAGUCCUAAAUUUAGUGUCAACCACACCACUCUUUUCGAUCCAAUAUGAAGUCUUAAAUUGGUCAACCACGCCAAAACCCCAAGGAGUAAAAUACUCCUUCAAGUUCUGUUAGAGAUUCCUAUAUAAAGACUGCUCAAAGUCAAUACGAACACAUUUUUUAUUUUUUUUGGUCUGAAACUCAUCUUCAAAGAUUACACAUAACUCAUUUAAAAAAAUCUUGACAUAUUAUCUUUUAUUCAAAAACAUAUUUCUAAAUAGAUUCCAAAGAUUUCAGAGAUUUCCAAUGAGAUUACUCAGAGACUUCAAAUCAUAUAGGUCACAAUAGCCACUUAUUUCCAAUAUGAUUACGAAUUCGAGUCUAACUUCCCCAAUUGACGCAUAUUGUUAGAGGGCAAUGUGGUCCACCCGUCGUCCCUUUAGGCCUACCGCAUGAGUGCAAAAUGGGCAUGAUCGGGCCUCUUUGUUUAGGGCUUUCUUAGGUGUGGAUAAAGGUUUUAUGCGCUUUACUUUUGGCCUUUUGAUUCCAAUCAAUUACUUUAAGUGAUAGGCCCGCAAUUGACCUACCAUUUCCUCUCAGCUGGUUGCGUUGCUUGCCUCUUAGGGUACCUCCCAUCUUCCUGUUCAAAUUCUGGUUAUCGAAACAAUUCCAAUUUCAAAAACUUAUAUGGCGUUAAGUUUGGUGUCAACAAUGGAGUUUUGAUUUUAUGUUGCAUGUUUAAUAAUUCUUUAUUAUAUAUAUAUAUAAACAAAUGCUCAUGAGUCCUAGUUUUAAAUUUUCUAUCAAUAUAUAUGGUCUAAUUCUUUUUACAGUAUUUCAUUAAAGACUUAGGAGGCCCAUUAUUCAUUUUGUAUAUAAGCCUUAAAAUCUCAGAGCCGCCGGUGCAUAAAGUAAAGACAUUCAAAUCGGAAUUAUAACUAUUGGCUUAAUGUCAAUUUUCCUACCCUUUUCCCAGAGGGGCAUUGUGGAGACAAAAAUAUCACCAGUCAUGCCCUCACUCAAUCCGCACACAAAACAUGAAAGUAAUCUUAUGUGGAAAACUAGCAAUUGAACUUGUGAAAAAAUAGUGAAUGGACUUGGAUCAACAAUGCCAAAAAAAAAAAAAAAAAAAAUGUAUGCUGCUAAGCAACAAUGCUAUUAUUUAGGAGUGGUUGCGGUUCGGUAACCGCGAAUUUUUCUUUGAACCGCAAACCGAUAUACUAUUUCCGGUAAGGUGAUUUUUGAAAUUGCAAACCGACCGCAUUUUGCGGUUUACCGCAAACCGCAAAAAUCGGUUGAUUACCGUGAAUUAACGGUUUAAACCUAUUUGAAUAUUUUGGGCCUAAAUUAGACAAUUUUAGAUCUUUAAGUGUGGUCCUUUUGUGUCAAAAAAAUUCAAUCUUCCACACUUUUAAGCCUAGGUUUGAUGCUUCUUUUGAAGCUUUUUGAGUUCAAGCAUACGUUAACCAAAAAAUAUAAAUCACAACCUAAAGAAAUAAAUUCAUGACCUCAACUUCUCAAGCAUAUAUAAAUUUACAACCUAAAGAAAUAAAUUCACAACCUCAACAUCUCAAGCAUAUAUAAAUUCACAACCUCAACCUCAACUUCUCGAGCAUUCACAACCUAAAGAAAAAUCCAAUUCAAAGUUAAUUAAAGUUAGAAACCAAAAAGAAAAUGCAAUGCAAAAUGAAUUAAAGUUACAACCCAAAGGAAAAAUCCAAUUCAAAGUUAAUUAAAGUUAGAAACCAAAAGGAAAAUGCAAUGCAAAAUGAAUUAAAGUUACAAUCCAAAGGGAAAAUCCAAUUCAAAGUUAAUUAAAGUUACAAACCAAAAGGAGUGUAGGUGGUGGUGAGUGGAUUUUAUUAUAAGAAGAAACCAUUCUUUAUGAGUUGGAGUGGAGGCUGUGUUUUGGGUGUAUCGGUUUGUGUUUGGGGGGAUUAGAGGCAUUAUGUGUGUUAGAGUGGCUAGACUCCAACUAUAACACAACACAACACAAAAGCAACAACAUAAAAGCAUAUUAAUAACAUAUUAAACUCAACCAAAUUAAAACACAACAUCUAACUACUAAAAUGCAACUUUUUUUAAAAAAAUAUUUGCGGUUUGCGAUAACCACGAGUUGCUAAAAUCACAUACCGCAACUGCAACCGCAAUUUUCAGUUGGUUUUUAGCUAUUGCGGUAUAAUGUCGGUUGAUUUUUGCGGUUUUUCGGUAUAACAUGCCACCCCUACUAUUACUAGUAAAAGUGCCACCGAAAAUAUUAUCAGCACCUGUAUGUUGCUUUGCUCUUACUUGAAAAAAAAAAUACAUGAGAGUCAAACAAGGACUAAUAAGGGGCAAAGACCUAUCCCAAAUGACUAUUUUUUAUUACGAAAGAUUCAUCCCAAUAAUAAGUAAUUGCAUAUUAGGGGUGUUGUUAGAAGCACGUUAAAUUUUGUAUUGAAAAUUAAAGUGCAUUAUGGAAAAGCUCUUGAAAUUGUGAGAGUGAUUUAAGACUCAUAAUCAUUUUUAAAAUUUUCUUGCCGAGUAUGUCAAUAACGUCUUUCAUUGUGAGAAAAUGGUUUUAGUCGUUCCAUAACAAUGCCUAACAAAUGUGAAAUUGGUACUUAGGUGACGAGGGGUAAAGUUAAAUGCUAUUCAAGCGGACACAGCGAUCUUCACACACUUUAAACCUUGACCAAAUAUACUUAUGACUAGUCAAUUGCUAGUCUUGAAAAACCAUAACCAAAAACACACAUAGAGCAUAACAAUCUGUACUUGCAAGUUUAGAAGAUUAUUAGUGACAACCUAGGCACUUAGAAUGUAACACCCCGAGUCCAAAUUUAAUUCCUAUUUUAAAUUAUUUAAAUGAAUUUACGAAUUUACCCUUAGGGUAGGGGUAAAUUGGUCAAUUUCUUACCCAGAAAGUGUUUGGGGCAGUAACUGGUAUUUUUGGGUAGGUGGUACUAAGACGAAUUCAAAGACACGCGGUAGGCUUGAAUCGGAGUUGUAACGAAGAAGUUACGGGCAAAACACUAUCAGUGGCAAAAUCGUAAAUAUUUUGAAGUUUGGGUUUAAAAUAUCUGAUCUCUCUCCCUCUCUCUCUCUCUCUCUCUCUCUCUCUCUCUCUCUCUCGCGGCUGAACCCCCCUCCCCGUUUCGAUUUUUCGCCGGAAUUUCAGACGGCGAGAACUUCGCCGUCCGACCUCCAUUUCAGGCCCCGUUUCUUGCAAAAGCUUCCUCUCUUCCUCCUCUACCCAACCCACCCCUUUUCUCCGAUCGAAAACCCGACAAACGGCGGUGGCAACGACGUGAAAAAUAGCCAAAACUGCCGACGUCACCGGCAACGUUUCCGGCCAUCGCGAGCUGCGCCGUCACUUGGAACAGGUAGCUCUCCUUCCCUUCCAGCUGUUUCCUAGGUUGUGCGAUGACAAUGUCCACGGUGGUCGUCAGAUCGAAGCCGUGAAGUUCUGGGUUAAACCGUGAGUUUUCAACGCCGAUUCCGGCCCCUUGCCGUCCGAAUUGGACUUGGGUGUAGUUGAAUAAAGUGUUCCACUCGUCGAGUAGAACCUGUAGCCGGAAGGGUGGCUUGUAGUUUGGAGAUUUUCUAGCGAAGCUUUAUCGCUUUGGACACCCACACGCUGCCGGCACGUGGGCACUGUAGCAGAGGGGCAUUAUUGUCCCAAUGCGACCUCCUGGUUGGCACGAGCACGUAGGAUUUUGCGGAUCUCAAUUCGGACAUCGUUUGACUAUCGAACGAAUUUUUGCAUAUUGUGCGUUAUCCGGGUUCGAUAGGUUCCGACCGUUAGAUCCUUUCCGAAUUAAAAUAUGUUAUUCUAGGUAUUCCUAGGAUCGUAUAAGAAUUCUCGGAUCGUGAAUCGGAACCCCGGAUGUUCCGAUUCAAUAACUUAAAGUUUGCGUUUUAUAAUAACCGUCCGAUUGUGCGAUCGUAAGCCAUCUAACUGUCCGUUUCGGACCAAACUUGCGAGACGGGUAUCUUAGACCUUGUGAAACCUUUAGGAACUUUCGGGUUGUAAAACGGAGGUCGUGGGUCCCGUGGGCCCGGUUGACCCAAAUUGGGAAGUUUGACCACUGGUUGACCGAGUGUCUCCUGAAGUUAUUCCAUCGUCCAAAUCGGGUAGUUGGAUCUUAGAACGUCUCGUUCCUAGUACACUUACUAGAAACCUGGGAAAUUAGGAUAUUUAAUUUAAAGUACUCGUUCGAAACGUUUCGUAUUAAUCUCGUAUACGUAUUCUGAAUUAGGUACUCCGACUACGCAUACACAGCAGGCGGGACCCUCUCAGGGUCAAGCAGCGUGGGACUACUUGUGAGUGGACUUUGUUUUCAAAUCUUGUGCAUGGUUUUAUUGAUGAAAGAUUUAUGCAUAAUGUUUUUAAUGAUUUAUUGAAUAUAUUAUAUUCAUGAGUUGAAUUUGAUGUUUGUAUAGUGCUUUGGCAUAGUUGGGUAUUGAAAGUAUAUUUUAUAUGAAUUUUGGGAAAUAUUAUGUAUGAUGUUUUAAAUGGUAUUUUGGAUAUAUUAUUUAUGAAAUUGUUGAAAGUGAUAUUUUUAUGAGGCAUUGAAAAUAUAUUUUGGGUUUUGACGUAUUUGAGUAUCUUGAGUAUGAAUAUAUGGAUUUUGGGGAUUUCUAUAUAUAUUUGGCUAUGUGUGAGGUACUUGGGUUGUUGAGAUGAGAUUAUGGAAAGUGGUCAGUAUAGAAUGUCAGUUUGGUGUGCUGUAAGCACUACCCUAUGUACCUCCCCGGAUGUGGAACUUGGAUACGGAGACUUGAGAUACUUGGAAUUGUCGGGACUCGGGGCAUCCUUGACGGGAUGUUGCUGUAGACCCUUAAUUGGGUAGUCUGCGCUCGUAGGACUGAUCACAGACGUACGGAUUUUGAGGUUAUCGGCAGUACGCGCUGGCUGAGAGUUGGUCCCCCAGUUGGACAGCUCGUUCCCUAGUCACAUGGUGGAUUGAGGACUCAUCACGAGGACUCUGCCAGGGUGACUAGUCAAACAAUCCCCCGGUUGGAUUGUUUCCCCGGUACAACUAGGUGAUGGUUAUAUUUAUACUAUAUAUAUAUAUAUCUCUCUUAUAUUAUAUAUUUAUAUCUAUUCAUUCAUUCUUGUUUUUCGGUGUGGAUACUUCCUUGCCGGUCGUGCCAAUGGGUACGCUUUCGAGAGUUUGGUUGUGGGAUUUAUAAGUUUUUGGAUAGUAGGUUUUGUGAAGCGUUCGUUUUGGAUUUCGGACUUGGAAUCUGGUAUUGAUUUGUUUUGUUAUAUUAUAUAUAUAUAUAUACUUGAGUAUGACGGUUUUGAGAUGCAUGGGAUUUCUUGCAUGGUUUUCUAAACGGUGGGGUUAUAUUACGUUGGUUUACACUGAACUGAAUUUAUUUUUGUCUACUCACAAUUUUCUGUUUUGCGCCCCCCCAGCCAGUAGUUGACUGAGCUCCGCAGUAGAGCCGGAUCGUGCGCUUCCGAGCCUUGAGUCAUCGUAGGACUCUUUCUUCAUGUUAUUUCCUUUGUACUCUGUUUUGUUGUAAUUAAAGUCCUUAGACAUGCUCUGUUAUCGCCCCUGUUAGGGUUUGAAUUGUGAGGUCGGAGGCCAUUUUGUUGUAAACUGUUUAUUCGUUUCAAAGCAUGCUGCUGGUUAGGAUUAUUCUGUAUUUUUAUGCAGGUUGAAUUUUGUUGGUUUGUUCAAUUCACAGGGGAGACUCUGCCAAAAUUUUGGUGGAGAGUCUCGGUUUUUAGUAAGUGGGCCCGGCAUCGGGAAGAUGUCGGAAUAAAGAUGGGAUUCGCUCCGGUCUCCGGGGAAAUUCCGGGGCGGGUCCUGUCAUAGAAGGACCCGUUAAUCUAGGCAUCCCCUGUGCUAGCAACACUAUGGUAAAAGUGUGUGGAAACAUCAUAAUCAAGUAAACAGCAAAUAACAGAUAAUGAUGACUAGUCAACCGCAAGAACACAAACCCAUAAAUGCAUGAAUAUCAUGCGAUGACUAGUCAACUAUCAAGAACAUAAACCCAGAAAAUAACAAAGCUGCAAACCAAAAAUUGUUCACCCACAAACCUACAACUGGGAAAAACUGGGGGUCAUCAACAGACCAGGCAAUCCUCUAAGCGAAGAAAAUUCUUACAAAGGAACACAAGCAAGCUCAAAAAAUCCUAGAUCUAUUUAGGAAGAUAAGCUAUACCUCCUUUGUGCAAUCUUCUUAUCCAACUUAACAAAACCAGUAGCUUAUUCCUUCAUGGCAAUGGUAGCUCCUUCUUCGGCUCUUUCAUCACAGGGCACCAGCUAGCCAGCUCAAAUUCAGAUAGAAACCAAAAUUUGGAUUCAAGGAAAAAUGAUCAAUUUUUUCAAGAAACCAUGCUCUUGAAGAAAUCAAUCUUGAAUCUGACCAAGAUGUAUAUGAGGAUGUGUUUGUUGUGUAUCAUGCUUGUUGCAUAAUUCAGCUUGUCUAUGGGGAUAAUGGGUCAUUUAUGUAUCAUCAUGGAUAUGGUUAUGCACCAUAUGACACAUAUGCAACAUCUCUGUUAAAUUUACUUUUGAAUGUCAAUGUCCCUUCCAAUUAUGUUUAAAAUUCAGGACCUUGAGAAAACACCUCUUAUGUGAGAAACUUUUUUCUAUCCUGACAUCAUUGUGUAUCAUGUUUGUUGCAUAUUUCAGGCUGUUUAUGGGGAUAUUGGGUCAUUUAUGUGUCAUUUCAAGCGUAUAUGGGGUAACUUCACUUCAUCUUUUUUUUAAAAAAAAAAUGUUCCUCACCCCUCUGCCUCCCCCUUUAUUCAAAACAAGGGCAACCAUUAUCCCAUUUCAACCUCUCACAACUAGAGCUAAGCUAAAGCACAAGGGAAUUUUGCAAAGAGGUAUAUUUAAUAUGUGCAGCUUAUUUUAAUUUUGGCUAUUUAAUUUGGGAAUUUUAGGAGCUUAGUUUGAUUUGUAUUGUGUUUAUUUAAUUUGUGCAGCCUUGGUUUAAAGCUUUGGUUGCCUUUGCGAUUCGACAAGGAUUGAUUUCGUGAUUGCUGUGAAAGUAAUCAAAUAUAAAAAAAAAGAAAAAGAAAAAGAAAUUGCUUAAACACGUUUGGUACUUGGGCAUUUUUUGUUGAGUCUAAAUGUUAAAUUGCGACUUCUUUUUUUCUUUUUGGUUUAAUAUUGGAAUUUUAGCAGCUUGGUUUUAUUUUUAUUAUGUUCAUUUAAUUUGUGUAGGCCCUUGUGUAAAGCUUUGGUUCCCUUGACAAUUCAAAUAUGAAGAGUUGUUCCUAGGAACUUAUAGUAAUUUUACGUAUAUUUUUAUGACUUUUAAAAAUUAUAAAUUUUACAAAUAACAGAGAAAUGACAUGUCAUAAUUGCAAUGCUACAUCAGUACUUGUUUGCCACCAAAAUUUCGUAAACGCUUCAAAAGGAUUCGCUAGAGCUUCAACAUUGCUUCAUCUACUAUUCACUAAAGCUUCAUAAUAUUAUUUUUAUUUUUGGCUUAAGUGUCAAAAUGGUCCAUGUGUUUUAACACAAUGGCCAAUUUAAUCCCUGUGUUUUUAAUUUGGCCAAUUCGGUCCUUGUGUUUAUGAUCAUUAGCUAAUUUAGUCCAUCCAGUUAAAAUAGUCGUUAAAUAUGAACAUGAUUGGUUUUUUUUUUUUUUGAAAACGUAUAAAGCUUUUUUAAAUUAAAAAAAGUUGAAUUGAUUUAAAAAUAUUAAAACUUCAAUUAAACUAACAUAACAUUAGGGAAAAAAAAAACUUGAAAAAAUGAAGGAGGCGUAGUCCGGGGAGGGGAAGGGCUGCUUAAUGAGUGGAGUAGUGGGAAGAGGGGUUGACCAUUGCAGGGUGGGGGUGGGUGAUGAAUGAAGGCAUACAACAGAAGAGGGAGAGAUGGGGGUUGGAGAUGGUGUGAACGAUCUGGGAGCCAUGACUGAGGAUGGGGCAAAUGGCUAGGCAAGGGUUAGGUUCUGGAAGAUCUUGCUGGGAGCUGGUCAAAUAAGGGUAAAUGGCUAGACAAUGGUUGAACUCAAAUAAUUAUGUUUUUAAUUAAUGUUUAAAUAGUUUUAAAUUUUUUUAAACUUAGAUUUAAAAGAAUAGAUCACAUUGAUUAAUAGUUGUAAACACAAGGACUUAAUUAGCUAAAUUAGAAACACAUGGACUAAAUUGACCAACGUAAUAAAACACAGGGUCCAUUUUAGCAUUUAAGCCUUUAUUUUUUGACUAAGUCUUCAUUAGUGCUUUUAUGAAUGUUUUAAGAUGAACUCAAAAGACUUGGAAAGUGUAGCACUGAGUUUGUAGAAUUUUUUGUUCUGUAGUUUUUGGCUAUUUAAUGAAUUAUUAUGAUUUUUAGAAGAGUGCACCAUGAGUGCUUCUGACAAGCGACAUUUCGUGUAGCGCCACGUGUCAACAAGGUUUUAUUUUGUGUUUGUUUAUCUUUAAAAAUUCACAAACAAUUAAUUUUUAAAAAAAAUCCUUAAUAUCUACAAAUUUUAUGUGACAUUAUCUUCGACUAUGAUGUGCAAAAAUCAAAAUUUGACUUUAGAAAAUUUGAAUUAAUAAUUCCAGGAAGAGUUGUAGUGAGGGAGUUUGAGUUUGAUAAAGUAUUUGAAACUUUUUUUAUCUCAAAAUAUAUUUUAAUGCUUAAAAGAUGAAGAAAAAAUCAAAAGGAGUUCGUAGGAUUUUUCGGUACAUAUUUAUGAUUUUUGGAAAUUAAAGCAUCGAAAAAUAGUAAUAAAUGGAAGAGAAUGACAAGUGGAAGCACCUAAAUGUUGCAUCAUCAAUGCUUCAGACAGGUAUCAUUCUCACGUAACACCACAAGUCAUCAGCGAUAGCACUUCUCAUUCUCUUCCAUUUAUUACUAUUUUCCAAUGCUUUAACUUCAAAAAAGUCAUAAUAAAUCAGAAAAAUACACCAACAAAUCCUAUGAAAUCAUUGCAACAUUUUUUUUUUCAUCUUUUAUGUUUUAAAAUAUAACUUUGACUUAUAUAAAAUUCAAAUAAUUUCACAAAGUCAAGUUGCUUCCAUACUAACAAUAACACUAAGUUGAAGAUCACUAGUCUUCAUCACUACAACUCUUCCUCCAAUUAUUCUUUCCAAUUUCUCAAAGUCAAAUUUUGAUUUUCUAGUAUCCUAGUCGAAGAUAAUGUCACAAGGAAUUUGUAGGAAUUUUCAGUGUAUUUUUCUAAUUUUUAAAUAAUUUUCUGUGAAUUUUUUAAGAUAAACUCACAAAAAUGAAACAUGAAUUACACGUGGACCUAUGAGAUAUUGACACCCGUUGGAAAAUCUGACGACGAACCCAUCAGCUGCUGCCAUGUGUCAUUAUGUUUCAUUUAUUACUAUUUUCCUAUAUUUUGACUUCCAAAAAUCAUAAUAAAUUCAUAAUAAAUUUGAAAAAUUCACCAAAAAAUGCCUCGGACUCCUUGUGAUAUUUCCAACAUCUUUUGAGACUUAAAAUACAAUUUUAACUUAGAGAAGAAUUCAAAUAAUUUCAUAAAGUCGAGUUUGCUUCCACACUAACAAUAAUACUAAAUUGAAGGAUCACUAGUCUUCAUCAAUACAACUCUCCUUCCAAUUAUUCCUUCAAAUUUCUCAAAGUCAAAUUUUGAUUUUCGAGUAUCAUAGUUGAAGAUAAUGUCGCAAGGAAUUUGUAGAAAUUUUCGGUGUAUUUUUCUGAUUUUUUAAAUGAUUUUUUAUGAAUUGUUUAAGAUCAACUCACAAAAAUAAAACAUGAAUGACACGUGGACCUAUGAGAUACUAACACCCAUUGAAAAAGCUGACAAUGCACCCAUCAGCAGCUGCCAUGUGUCAUUAUCUUACAUUUAUUACUAUUUUCCUAUAUUUUGACUUCCAAAAAUCAUAACUAAUUCAUAAUAAAUCUGAAAAAUUCACCAAAAAAUACCCUAGACUCCUUGCGACAUUUCCAACAUCUUUUAGGACUUAAAAUAUAAUUUUGAAUUAGAUAAAAUUCAAAUAAUUUAACAAAGUCAAGUUGCUUCCAUACUAACAAUAACACUAAGUUGAAGAUCACUAGUCCUCAUCACUACAACUCUUCCUCCAAUUAUUACUUCAAAAUUUUCAAUGUCAAAUUUUGAUUUUCGAGUAUCAUGGUCGAAGAUAAUGUCGCAAGGAAUAUGUAGAAAUUUUCAGUGUAUUUUUCCUAUUUUUUAAUGAUUUUUCGUGAAUUUUUUACAAUAAACUUACAAAAAUGAAACAUUAAUGACACGUGACGCUAGGAGAUACUGAAACCUGUUGGAAAAGUUGAAGACACACCCAUCAGGCGCUGCCAUGUGUCAUUUUCUUCCAUUUAUUACUAUUUUCCAAUAUUUUGACUUCCAAAAAUAUAAUAAAUUCAUAAUAAAUCUGAAAAAUUCACCAAACAAAUACCACGGACUCCUUGCGACAUUUCCAACAUUUUUUUAGACUUAAAAUAAAAUUUUGACUAAGACAAAAAUUCAAAUAAUUUCACAAAGUCAAGUUUGCUUCCAUACUAACAAUAAUACUAAGUUGUAAAUCACUAGUCUUCAUCACUAUAACUCUUCCUCCAAUUAUUACUUCAAAUUUUUCAAUGUCAAAUUUUGAUGUUUGAGUAUCGUAGUCGAAGAUAAUGUCGCAAGGAAUAUAUAGAAAUUUUCGGUGUAUUUUUCUGAUUUUUUUUAAUGAUUUUUCAUGAAUUUUUUAAGAUAAACUCACAAAAAUUAAACAUUAAUGAUACAUGGCGCUAUAAGAUAUUGACACCCGUUGGAAAAGCUGAUGAAGCACCCAUCAAGAGCUGCCAUGUGUCAUUUUCUCCCAUUUAUUACUAUUUUCUAAUAUUUUGACUUCCAAAAAUCAUAAUAAAUUCAUAAUAAAUCUGAAAAAUUCACCAAAAAAAUACCCCAGACUCCUUGCCCAGACUCCUUGCGACAUUUUCAACAUCUUUUGAAACUUAAAAUAUAAUUUUGACUAAGAGAAAAAUUCAAAUAAUUUCACAAAGUGAACUUUGCUUCCAUACUAACAAUAACCCUAAGUUGAAGAUCACUAGUCUUUAUCACUACAACUCUUCCUCUAAUUAUUACUUGGAAUUUUUCAUACUCAAAUUUUGGUUUUCGAGUAUGAUAGUCGAAGAUAAUGUCGCAAGGAAUAUGUGGAAAUUUUCGGUGUAUUUUUUUGAUUUUUUAAUAAUUUUUCAUGAUUUUUUUAAGAUAAACUCACCAAAAUGAAACAUUAAUGACACGUGGCGAUAUGAGAUACUAACGCCCAAUGAAAAAGCUGACGAAGCACCCAUCAGGUGCUGGCAUGUGUCAUUCUCUUCCAUUUAUUACUAUUUUUCAAUAUUUUGACUUCCAAAAAUCAUAAUAAAUCUGAAAAUUUUAUCAAAAAAUACCACGGACUCCUUGUGACAUUUCUAACAUUUUUUGAGACUUAAAAUAUAAUUUUGACUAAGAGAAAAAUUCAAAUAAUUUCACAAAGUCAAGUUUGCUUCCAUACUAACAAUAACACUAAGUUGAAGAUCACUGGUCUUCAUCACUACAACUCUUUCUCCAAUUAUUACUUCAAAUUUUUCAAUGUCAAAUUUUGAUUUUCUAGUAUCAUAGUCAAAGAUAAUGUAGCAAGGAAUAUGUAGAAAUUUUUGGUGUAUUUUUUUGAUUUUUUAAAAUGAUUUUUCGUGAAUUUUUUAAGAUAAACUCACAAAAAUAAAACAUUAAUGACACGUGGCGCUAUGAGAUAUUGACACCCGUUGGAAAAGCUAAUGACGCACCCAUCAUGCACUGCCGUGUGUCAUUUUCUUCCAUUUAUUACUGUUUUCCAAUAUUUUGACUUUCAAAAAUCAUAAUAAAUCUGAAAAAUUCACCAAAAAAAUACCCCAGACUCCUUGCGAGAUUUCCAACAUCUUUUGUGACUUAAAAUAUAAUUUUGACUUAGAAAAAAAUUCAAAUAAUUUCUCAAACUCAAGUUUGUUCCUAUAGUACCUAUAACACUAAGUUGAAGAUCAUCACUCUUCCUCACUAUAACUCUUCCUUCAAUUAUUACUCCAAAUUUUCAAAAGUCAAAUUUCAAUUUUCACGCAUCAUAGUUGAAGAUAAUUUCUCAAGGAGUUUUUUAAAAAUUUCAGUGCAUUUUUCAGAUUUUUAUUAAUUUUGUGUAAUUUUUUUAAGUCAAGCACACAAAAAUGAAACUUUGAUGGCACAUGGCACUAUGAGAUACUAACACCUGUCGAAAACUCAUCAUGUGCUACCAUGUGUGAUGCUCUUCCAUUUAUUACUAUUUUUCAAUGCUUUAACUUCCAAAAAUCAUUAAAAAAAAUCUGAAAAAUUCAUAAUAAAAAUCCUAGGAACUCCUUACAAUAUUUUCUUCAUCUUUUAAGUUUUAAAAUAUAAAUUUGACAUAUAAAAAGUUCAAAUAAUUUCUCAAGACAUUAUCACUCGUCAUUUUCCCCCAUUCAUUGCAUUUAAUACGAAUUUUUGAAGUUAAAGCAUAGAAAAUAUAUAAAUAAACUGAACAUAAUGACACAUGGGAACAGAAAAAUGAUGCGACUUCAGUUCUUUAAACGGGUGUCCUCUUAUAGCGCCAUGUGUAAAAAAUGUUUCUUUUUAAUAUUGUUUAGCAAUAAAUGGGAGGAAAUGACAAGUGCGAGUGCCUUGAGGCUGCAUCCUCAAUGCUUCUCACGAGUGUCACUCUCAAUGGCACCAUGCGUCAUUAAAGUUUCAUUUUUGUAUGUUUAUCUUAAAAUUUUUACAAAAAAUUUAUAAAAAAUCAGAAAAAUAAAUGUGUCAGAGCAGUGUUUAUAACACGUGUCAUUGUUGAAUUACACCACGUAUUUCUAGAAUUACUCUAAGUGUAGAAUAAUAUUUCACCAAAUAUAUGGGUUAAAAUAAGUUCCAUUAACAUUUAUACAGUCAAUAGGUGUACAAGAAAGUUAAACUGAGGUUUCACACAUAUUUCACGUAAUAUGCACUAAUGUUUCACUUAGUGUUCAUCCGAACCUAACUUGUGCAAUUAUCGCCAAUUAGAAGAGUCAUAAAGCCUUUAAUUACUCUACACUUCUUCACUGAUCCUUCUGCAACCAAAGAUUUGAAAAAUAACAGAAAUUGUCAACAACAAAAAAAAUUUAUCUAGCGAGAGUCGAACUGCAAAAUCAAAUGGUAACCGUACAACUGAGUUCUUACCUAGCGAGAGUCUAAGUGCACAAUCAAAUAUCCACAGAGAAAAUUGUUGAAGGGGCACAAGACCCAGAUGGGAAAUAUCGAUAAAAUCAAUUAAGUAAAAAAAGAGUUGAGAAACUUGCAAAACUUACUGAGCGGAAGAACAUGGGAAUAUAUAGGAGCAACCAAGAACUUAAAUUGGGAGCCCGUGCUUCUCUUUCUAAUAGCAGCCUCCCUUUCAACAUAUUCAUGUACACAAUUUGAUAUCAAUUACUAAUACAGAGAAUAAAUUUCUAUGAAUUGAAAGGCAAAAUCUAUGUUGUGGGUUUCGCGGAACUUACUGAUUAGAGGGAUUAGACGAUGGGGGCCAGGAGGCCAUGGCGGAAAAAUUUCUGAAGAUGAGAGGAGUGAUGCUUUGUAUAGAAAUGGAAGCAAGGAAAUGGGUAAAUUAAGGGCAUGAUCUGACCUGGUUCCCUAAAGCACCUCACCACCCUGAUUCCCACAUGAAACUACCACGCACCAGACACAAAAAACCAUUGACUCUUAGAAGUUGAUUUACUCCUCCUAAUCAACUGCCCCUCAGCACUUUGGAGAUAGUAAAACCCAGUUUGUUUAGGAUUCCUCUUCAAGAGAAAGGAGCACAUCAUAUGGUGAAUGCUCGGUUCAAAUGAAUUCACUUCAUUCCAUAUCACGUACAUGCUCUGCAACGUCCGAUAAAUGUUCUGAUUCAUCUGGAUGAGGUGCAAUACCCAGCAAUGUCCAAUAAUUCACAUCGUAGUGGCAAGCUUCCAUUCCCACUCUUCAAAAUCUCUCUCUCUCUAUAAGAGCAUUUCCACCAGUUAGCCCCUUGUCAUGACAAGAGGAGCCCUAGGGCAGUUACUAUUCACGUGAAUAGUGGCUGCCCUAGCCCCCUCAGCAAAGUGUGUUUCCAGCAGUUUAGACUUGUCAUGGCAAAUACUAUUCUUUUUUUUUUUCACAACUUUUUUUUACUUAAACAAUUAAUUUGGAUAAUAUUUUCAGAUAAGAUUUUUGGGUUUCUACGUGUCAAUACUAUUCAUAUUAGAUAAUAUUUUCGGAUAAGAUUUUAUUUUAUUAGUUGUAUUGGUUGGUAUUUAUAGGAAAAAAAAAGUAUGAGGAUUUGGUGUUAAAAGUGAAGAGUAUUGGUUAGUAUUUAUAGGCACUGGCGAACCCAAAAUUUUUGUAGCAGAGGUGCAAUAUUGACUAAGUAUGAAAAAUAAUUUUUUGGAAUAAUCAUUUUCUCAAGAUAAUUUUUUGGCAGCUUUUAUUCCUUACACAUCAAUAAAUAAGAAAACUUGAUUUUAUGAAAUUUUAAUAUGAAGUAUACAUUGACUUAAUGAGCCAUCAUUUUUAGCCUAAAUCGUAUUUUGCACUAAAACCGAUUUUUCAUAUUUUGAUUUGAUGAGAAUUUGAUUUUCUAGUAUUUUUAUUUGAAUCCAAAUAGAGGGUACUUCCUUAUUUACAUUGUAAACUUAAGUAAAUGGAGUAAUAUAAAAAUAAAUGAAAAUAAAAGGACAAAGACAUUUACUUAAAUGUUGAAAAUGGAAAUAAGGUAUAGAGAAAAAAAAAAUCAGUAAUUUUUUUGGUAUUUUUUUAAAAAAAUAUCAUUGUAUAAACAUUGGCUAUUGUUGGAUUGCUGGAAAAAAUAUGAUCGGAGAGCCUAGCGCUCGCCACGUGGACGAUUUAAAAAAAUUUGGACGCAGGGCUGACGUCGACGUGAUGUCAGGACGCUGACAUCAGCCUUGCCCUCGGGCCAGCCCAGUCUGCUGGGUCCCACUAUUUGCCUGGGCUUGCUUUUGUUGCUGGAAACCACUUUUUUGUCCAAACCCCCUAGCUCGAGUCCAUCCUUAGCUGCUGGAAAUGCUCUAAGUAGAUCUCUCUUCUCUUACUCCCACUCUGUCUCUAUUCUUUAAUCAACCUGUCUCUCAUGAAACUUUUGUCGAACACAUAAUGGUGAAGUGGCAGCCUUCUCCGAAUUCCAGCAGCCAAAUUUGUGAUGAGGCUUCCAAAUUUAAUGCCUUUUGUAAUUUUUUAGAUAGUUAACACAUUUAUUCAUUUUUAACCAUAAAAAUCCAAUAUGUUUAGAAAGCUUCCUGAGAAACAAGGAAAAGAAGAAUAAAUUCUUGUUUUUCAUUUCUGGGUAAAGCCAAGAAGCAAGAAAAAGAAGAAUAAAUUCUUGUUUUUCAUUUCUGGGUAAAGCCAAGAAGUUCAAUAUUUGAUAAUUGUUAAUAUAUUUUGUGAGUUGUUGAGAGAUGAGAUUUUGGGGCAAAGUUAAGAAGAAGGAAAAGAAAGAAAAAGACAGGACGUGGAGGGCGUGAGAAAGAAAUAGAAACAAAAAAGGACGUUAACUUUGUCGUUAGUUGGAUUAGGGUUUUUUUUUUCUUUUUCUUUUUUAAGUAAGAGUAAAUUGGGUUUUUGUUUGAAGGAUGAUGUGUCAAUUUUUAAGUUCCUUAUAUUAAAUUUUAAUGAGGUGUCAUCUAUAUAUAUAAAGCAAAAGGCAGAGAAUGGUGAAACAUUCAAAAUACCAGAAAAUGCCCUUGGUUAAUGCACAUUAAGAAUUAAAAUUAUUAAUUAAAUGAGGAUAAUAUGGUAAAUUCAUAAUUUUUCAUAUUAAAAAAAUUAAAAUUAAAAGAAAAUUCAGAUAAUGGAUCCUAUUUUUAUGGAACACAACUAUCCAUUAUCUUUUUUAAUUCGAAAAUAAAUUUAAAUUUUUUUAAAAAAGCCUUUCGCAGGCGCAGAAGCGCGUGCAGAGAGGCUAGUAUGAAUAACAAAGUAAAGUAAAUCAUGACAGAGAAAAUCAGAGCAAAAGAUCCGGAUACUACAGAAAGCUAUAUGUCUGCCGACGCUAUUAAAAGCAUGCUCCUUUCACAGUGUUUUUGACAGGCUAUAAAGAUUCUUUAUAGCGGUGUAUUCUUUAUAGCAUGUUUUCAUUGCCAUUGCAUUUGUUUAAUAUAUGGGAGCUUUAGUAAUACACCCAAAAUAGGAGCUGAAAUUAUAAAAAAAUCCUACAUGAAAUUCAAUUUAGAAACACACCCAAAAACCCAUUUAUUAUAUAUGAAAUGAGUGUUGAAGUUACUAUAAAUUACAUUUUUGCCAUUGAUUAACUUAAAACAAGCCCAACACAAAAAAUACUUAAAAAAAUCCAAAACAAACCCUGCAAGCUCUAAGUACAUUGUUAAUACCAUGACAUAAAAGUACAGUGUUAAUACGAUGUCAUAGAAGUACAUUGUUAAUACCAUUUCAUAGAAGUACAUUGUUAAUACCAUGUCAUAGAAGUACAUGUCAUAAAAUUACAUUGUUAAUACCAUUCCAUAGAAGUACAUUGUUAAUACCAUUCCAUAGAAGUACAUUGUUUAUACUUUGUCAUAGAACUAUCUUGUUAUUACUAUGUCAUAGAACCAUGUUGAGUCCUUUCCAAAGGCAUAAACUUCCCAGCAUCACUGAUCAACAUUGUCCUGCCAGCUCCAACAAUGAAGAAUAUUAUUAAUAACAAGAUACCUCUACAAAAAAAAAAAAAGUACACUAUUAAUACUACGUCAUAGAAGUACAUUGUUAAUACUAUAUCGUAGAACCAUCUUCCUAAUAAAAAUCACAUUCUGCAUAUCAUAAACUUCAAGUGAAUGGUAUGGAGUUGUACACUUUUAUCUUACCUAUUAUGCAAAUGAAAUGAUGUAGUUGUUAACUUCUAAAUAAUCCUCAUGAUACUGAUGGCUUUCCAAUUCGAGCAUAGGGUGCUAACAUGCCAACCAAAGCAAUGUCAACAGCUAUUCCAACUAAAAGAUCAGCAGCGUACAACUCAAACUCAGCCUAGAAAUCCUUUCCCAUUUUCUGAAAAUGUUGCACAACAAGAAUCUAUGACUAUCUACAUUACAAAAGAGUCAAGGAAGAGAAAUUUCUUCAAUAUUCAACAAGAUCAACAACUAUCAAAUGUAACGGUCCAAUUUGAAGGCAAGGUAUAUUUAAUGGAAUUCAUAGGACUAUCACCAAUCCAAACAAUGACCCACAAACUCAAUUACUGAUAUUUACAGUGAAAAAUGCAGAGCUACAAUUCUUUCAAGAGAACUAUUAAUUUACAGUCCCUUGACUUGAAACACAAAUUACUCAAAAACAUUAUUUACCAAAAAGAAAGAUCACGAAAACAAACCUCUGUCCCAACUUUAAAAAGAAAGGAAGGAUAAGCCAGCAUACGAUUUCGUAGCAUAGAGCAAUACUUCAUCAAAAAGCCCAGUGGCCAAAUUGACCCCUGAAAUUCGAAAAUAUAUAUAUAUAUAUAAAUUAGAAACCCAAUAAGUAACUUAGCAAAAACCAUAUAUCUGAAGAUUUUUCAAUAGAAAUGGAGACCAACAUACAAACAAUAAUUGGACAAUACUAGAAAAAACCAUGAAUAUGGAACCAUAACAGGAAACCCAAAGUCGUAUCAAUACCUGAUAUGUCUUUCAGGAACUUGACUCAAUAAAGCAUUAAUAACUAGAGAGUUAUCGAGGUACAAAGGCAAAAGCUUGCAAACAAAUAAAUAGUACCAACAACAACAAAAAAGUAAACAUUUCCUUACUAGAACCAUUGCAUCAAAAGGCAACCCUGCACCAGCGGAAGGAGCAACAAAAGAUGUGCUAAUUCCAAUUUUAUCAUAUGGGGAAUGAAGAGAUACUCCCAAAAAACCAGCAGGAGGUCUAGUACCAGAAGCAUUUGUGGAAUUCUCAUUCACUUCCCCAUUAGUUGUAGGCCUGAGCUGAGUAUGGACUUUCACAUCAUUAUCUGUUGCCCAGAAGAUUAUGAAAACAAAUCAAUCAGGAUGAAGCAUUUGGUUAGGGGUGCAUGUCCCAAUUUAGGACCAUUACAGAAUUCCUUGUCCUUCAUUCAAGUAAGUCGGAAACUAUCCCCUUUUCUUUGCAAAAUUGAUAGAUGAGGGAUGGGCAACAAAAACAAGCCACAAAAUUGUUCCCUCCCACAACGAAACUCAGAAAUCCUGAUUAAAAAUUCUCACACUACAAACGCAAAGUAUCUAAUGAGAAAUAGGUACCAUACCAGCAAAUUGCAUGCUUCCAGACCCAUUGUUCCUUUGAGUGUGGUGGUUGUCUUCCUAAUAGAUGAAAUCCAAGAUUACUUUAACUUCAUGCAUAAAUAUCAUCUAACCAUCACAUACAACAAAGGGCCAAAAUCCAUCACAUAUGAGCAGACAUAAUGAAAGGAAAUUCUUACUUUAGUGUUGCCAUCACUGCCAUCUGUCAAACCAUCAAUAUUUUGUUCCAAACUGCACAUGGUCAUAGAAUCAAAAUUUAGAUUGGCUACAUCCAGAGACAACAUCAUAAAACUUACUGGAAGCCACUGCUUGACAAUUAGUAUGGUCUAGGGCAGAUGACAAAUAGUUUUUCUAUUUUUCUAUUUUGAAAAAGCCCAUCUUUCACAGCAAUGUAGCUGCAAAGUAAGUCUACCCUGCUACACAUGUUUAGAUGCACACAAAAGUAUAGAUAUAUGACCUAUGAGAAACAGGUACACACACAUGCUGUAAAACGCAGGCAACAUAUAUCAGGGAUAACUCCCUUAAUAUAGUUGUCAUAAUUUAAAGUGAAGUCAAACUUCCCGGGAAAGAGACCUAUCUAACUAAAAUUAGAUCUAAAUAACAUCAAUGAGACCUCACAAUCAAGCUAGAUAAAAAAAAUCUUCAAAAAUUAUUGAAUUAACAAUCCUUUAAAAGACGUGUACGAUAUCCAUCUAAUCCUUGCUAGUGACAAAGCUCUGAACCCAGAGUAGGCAAAGGGUUCACAAAAACAAGAGAUACCCAGUGAGUCAACUCGAAACACAGCUUCAAUUAUGAAUUACCAAGGUCCUGAGCAAAUCUAAACCAAUCCAAUCUUCCAUUAAAUUGGUGAGAUGAUGGAAUAAGACCAAACCGAUGAAUAAUUUAACACUCAAUUCAAUAACUGGGGAGCUAAAGAACAAAAUCACAAAACAGAGGCCAAAUUUCAGACCAUCAAUUAAACUUUCACUCAAUUUUCUCUUCAUCCAAACAGAUGGUGGUAUCUAAUUUGUUCAAAUCCGCACUUCACCAAAUAGAUCCGCACAAAAAAUCAACAUAGUUACAACAGUUCAUCACAAAUCCAUACGUACAAUCGUGUGAUCUAUAUAUCAGUUCCGACACAGAAACAUCAAAUUCUAACAGUAUUAACCACUUCCAUAAAAAUCAGAUCCAAAAACCCAUUAAUCUAGAAACAUAAAUCGAAACCAAAUAUCAACAAUUAAAUGCAAAUAUAGAUAUACGAAAUUAAAGAUUAUGAGUCGGAGAGAGAGAGAGAGAGAGAGAGAGAGAGAGAGAGAGAGAGAGAGAGAGAGAGAGAGAGAGAGAGAGAGAGAGAGAGAGAGAGAGAGAGAGAGAGAGAGAGAGAGAGAGAGAGAGAGAGAGCAAACCAGAUUAGAAUGAGAGCUAGAGGAAAGGGCCUCGAGCUUUGUAAGUCAUCCGUGGAAAGCAGAAACCGGAAGAAAUUGGAAGCAUUUGGAUCCAGAGAAACAGAGUUGUGUAAGAAACGAAAGUGAAAAUUUCAUAACGGAGAGAAAUAACCGAAAGGUCAAAACCGUAAUCUAACAUAGUAAAUAAAUCCAAAAAUUGACAGCUGUCGAUUUUUGGGUUUAUUUUGAGUGUGUUUCUAUGUAUUAAAUAGUGUAAGGUAUAUUUAUAGUUUCAUGUCUAGGAAUGGGUUUUUCACUAAUUUUUUAUUAAUAUAUCUCUUCCAUCUUUUAAUUUGGCUGAAAGAAACAACACUAUAUAUAAGCACCACAAGAAUGGAAACGCACAUCUUCUACUAAAUAAGUUGCUGCCAAUAUUUUUCCAUUAUGAGAUAAACUAAGUAGAUCAUAGUGCACAGGAGCACUAUCCAAAUCAAGUGUAAUUGGAAACACAUAACUGCUAACACAUAAUACGUAACUGUAUUUUCCUUUUCAUUUUAGGAUAACACUGAUUACCUUCUAAUGUGGAUAAAAUAAUCUUCUAUGCUCUUGCUCUUCAUCUUCUUCGAGUCUUGUAUUUCCUCAACUACAGCAUUAUGUAUUAGUUAAAAGGGUUAGUUACAUUUUUGGUAAUUGAGAUUUGGCUCAAAAUCAAAUUUGGUAACUGUAAUUUCAAUUUUUCUGAUUUGGUCAUUGUACUUGCAGCUGUUAACAAAUCAAGUCUAAUGUCUCAAUUAUGUCAAUUUCAUUAAUUAAAAAAUAUUUAAUAUUAAGUUAAAAAUAAUUAACUUCAAUAUAAAAUUUAAGUAUAAUAUAUUUGAAAAGAAAAUUAAUAAGAUUAAAACUUAAAUUUAAAAAAAUUACCAAUAUAUAUAUAUAUAAAAUAUUUAACGGUGAGUGAUCACAAUAUCUUGGACUCCUGUGGUCAAAGAAAUUGGGACUAUAUAUAUAUAUAUAUGCCCCCUCAUCACUAUUGAAAUGAAAUGAAUAAUUGGUGGACCAAAAUUAUACUGGAGCAAAAGUUAGGAAACCAUUUCUAUCAAAAAUUCUAUUUUAUUUGAGUAUGUAAAAAAAACAUGUAAGAAGAUACAACAAUUGAUCUAAAGCUAUUGAACUGUACUAUUGCAAGUUAAAAUGCAAUUCAAUUCAAUAGAUGUAAAAAUAGUUUAGCAACCUUUUUUAAAAUUUUUUUGGGUAAAAACCAUGAGGUGUUCCCACACCCGAAGGGUAGAAUUAAUCCCUACUCGAGGUUCGGCUUGCCCCUAACUGCAAAAUACUUCCAACAAAUUUCGAACCAUUACCAUUUAAGUACUAAGUAGCUCGCUAGCUAAAAAUAGCAGUUUACCAACCGCAUCACGCUUGUGAUUGUCCAACAACCAUUCUGAAUGCUCUGAAAGACAUGAAAUAAUACAAAAGGGCUAUCUUUAUUAGACAAUGAAAAGCACGUGGUAGAGCAGUUUCAAUAAAUGAGGGUGCGUUCCAUCAACAAUGAUGCGCUGAACCUCCAUACUUGAAGCUUAGUGAGAAAAUAUAUUAGAAACUACAAAGGUUUGGAGUGUUAGGCAGGGCCUUGCAAAUGUCAGUCAACGUGAGAGUGAGGGAGUCAGUGGUGGUGAAGCCAGAGGAGGAAACGCCAAAACGGGCGCUGUGGAUAUCGGACUUGGAUAUCGUGAUUUCGGCAACUCACCUUGGAAGUGUUUACUUCUACAGGAGGCCAAACGUUCAAAACAACUGUGUCUUGGAUUCGGAGGUGCUCAAGUGCUCCCUUGCCAAGGCCCUCGUGCCCUUCUACCCGGUGGCCGGCCGCCUGAAGCUGAACGAUGAGGGACGUAUCGAGAUGGAUUGCAAUGCAGAGGGAGUGCUGUUUGUUGUGGCGGAGACUGCCUCGGUCCUCGAUGAUUUCGGGGACUUUGCGCCGACUCUUGAGUUCCGGAAGCUCGUUCCUGCUGUUGAUUAUUCCGCUGGGAUGUCCUCUUAUCCCCUCUUGGUGGUACAGGUAUUCAGAGAAAGAGAGGAGACAUUUUUUUCACUCCUUUCUUUUAUUUCUCUUGCUCAUAAUAUCAUUCGGGACAAUUCUUGAACCUGAUAUGACUUAAACUUACAAAGUAUGGUUCUGGUUUUACUCUGUUUAUGCAUCAGGUCACAUACUUCAAAUGUGGUGGAGUGUCACUUGGUGUUGGCCUGGAACAUCGUGUAGCAGAUGGCUUUUCUGGUCUCCACUUUGUAAAUACAUGGUCUGAUAUCGCUCGAGGUCUUGACCUUACAAUUCCACCAUUCAUCGACAGGACAUUACUUCGUGCCCGAGACCCACCACAGCCUGCAUUCGAUCACACUGAAUACCAACCUGAUCCACCCAUUAAAACCGGUACAAAAGCUGUAGGUGAUGAGAGCGCAACGGUAUCCAUUUUUAGAUUGACACGGGAGCAGCUCAACAUCUUGAAAGCCAAGUCUAAGGAAGAUGGGAACACAAUCAACUAUACCACAUAUGAGAUGUUGGCAGGUCAUAUUUGGAAAUGCGCAUCCGUGGCACGUGAACUUCCUGAUGAUCAAGAGACCAAACUACAUAUUGCAGUUGAUGGAAGGUCCAGACUGCAACCCCCCCUCCCUCCUGGUUUCUUUGGCAACGUGGUUUUUUCAAGCGCACCAAUUGCUGCAACAGGGGAUCUCAAAUCAGAACCAACAUGGUAUGCUGCAAGCCGUAUUCAUGAUGCUGUUGUGCGUAUGGACAACGAUUAUCUUAGAUCAGCGCUGGACUAUCUUGAACUUCAGCCUGACCUGUUACCCCAUGUUCGCGGAGCUCAUACUUUUAGGUGCCCGAGACUUGCAAUAACUAAUUGGUCUAGGCUGCCGAUCUAUGAUGCUGAUUUCGGUUGGGGUCGACCUACUUUCAUGGGGCCUGGUGGAAUUGGAUAUGAGGGGUUGGCUUUUGUGUUACCAAGUGCAACAAAUGAUGGAAGUUUAUCAGUGGUCAUUUCUCUGCAAUCUCAACGUAUGAAAUCAUUCUCCAAGUUGUUGUAUGAGAUAUAAGGAAAUGAAAUGCGUCGAAUGGGAACAAUACGUUGAACAUACUUCGGGCUUCUAUCUCGUGUCCUCUGAGUUCUGGGACUUCGGAAAGCAGCUGUUUUAGAAAAGUUCAAGUGGUCUUUUGUGGCUAAUAUAUAUUAGAGUAUCUGUUUUAGGAACAUCCUAGUACUGAAUAAGAUUGUCAGAGUAUCUGUAAGCUUUGUUUAAUGCUGUGGAGGACUUCUUUUUCGGAGUAUCUGUAGUUUACUGUGAUUCUUAAUAAGAUUUUCUUUCUCCAUGAAACAAAAACAUACUGAAUCACUUUGGUUGCAUGAAGGUUAGUGCCUUUGGUAAACCUGCACUUCGGUUAUACUUUCAGAAAUUUUGGUUUAAUGCAAGAGCAUUUGUAGCUUUUUUAUUUCUCACUGCGAAAAAAGGAAGAGUUAAUAAUCACACUACAGUCCAAACCUUUUAAAAGAGGUUCCAUGUGGUUUUGUCAGGCUGUGUGGUCGUAUUCUUUUGUCAGCUGGUAUUAUCAUAAAUACUUGAUAUUAUCAUUUGUCCUAGGUGCACCCAUGCACCAUUUGUCCUAUAUGAUGUUCUUAGAUUUUUUAAAAAAUUGAUUAUCAAUUAUACAAGUUAUCAAGUUUUUACUUUUUGAAAAUGCAAUUGCAUAAGGGUUAUGCAAUUAUGCUAUUUUUGUUUGGCAAUUGGUAUAUGAUUGGAUAUGUUAUUUUUCAAUUGAGUUUAUUCUUUUUGACUCACGAUGACUUGCGUAUGAAUUUCACAAUGGUAUUUGUUUACUUUUAUAAAUCUAAAGUUAUCGUUUUAGAAUAUUCUUUUUUUUUUAUGAGAACUGUUUGACUUUUUUUUUCCUUUUGAUUUCGAUAUGUCACUUCAUUGUAGCUUUACUUAAGUUCAUUAUGAGUUGCUGGUUUUAUUUAUAUGAAUUAUGAUGGCUAGUUGUGGUUAAUUCCUCUGUAUUUUAUGCCUAGUUUUUAAAAAUCAAUUGAGGUUGAUAGUUUUAAUUUUUUGUUACUUUUGUUUCAUAGAAUUCGUGAAUGUGCAUCAAUAUUUAUUUGAGAGCUUGAAAGUCUUUAUCCAUCAAAAUUUUUCACCUCGAGUUCUAUCUAUGUAAUUGGUUGAAAUCAAUUUCUAAAAUAAGAACUAUGUUACUUGUUGAACUCUAUGUUACAUGGUUGUACUUUUGUAGACAUCCACGAAGUACUAUAAAUUUAUAUUCUUUUCCUAACAUGGCCGUGUAUUUUACAUUACAUUGUUAUGAUUAAAAUCAAGAAAAACAAGUAGAAAAGUAGAAAAUUUACAAGUUUUCUCGUAGAUUACAAGAUUUUCAGUUGUGUUUACAACGAUAAUGACAUAAUUUUACUCGUCCAAAGUCCAUUCUUACCUUGGUACUAUGUAUCAUUUUCUUUGUAAAUUAGGGUAUUACAAUGUUAUGGAUUAGGGUGGACUAUAAUGUUGUUACAAUUAUUUCAAUUAUUUCACAACAUUUGCAGAUUUUUUCAUGAUUCAUGAGUUAGGGGUUGCUUUGUAUAACUUGUAACCAAAAUCAAUAAAAUUGGGGUAACUUUAUAUAAAUCCAAUUGGCCAAACUGAAAAAAAAAAAAAAAAUAUUUACUUGUAACCAAAUACAAUUUUUUAACAUCUAAACUAUUCUUUUUAUUUUGUUAUUUCUUAAAUGUGAAUAAAUUACUAGAAGGAACUAAAAUACGACUACAUAGUAUAACUCAUUUAUGUAUUUAAUAUCAAUCAAUGAUAAGAUAUUCAACUUUUAAGACAUAAUAUCAAUAAAUAUCCACUUGUAUUAUAAUAAAUAUUAUAUGACAUACUCUGAAGCCACACUAUAAUUACUUCUCAAGAUGACAUAUUAUUAUAUUAAAAAAUAUAUGUAUUCUUGCUUAUUCUAAAAAUAACUUAAAGCAAAUGUCUUAUAACAAAAGAUGACUCAUAGCAUCUUCCAACAAAAAAUUUCCUUAUGAUCCGUCUCCCUUUUUUUGUUCAUAUCUUCGUAAUAUAAUUGGUUCAUGUUCCGAUUAAAAAAAAGUUAAAUAAGAAUAUAUAAUAAUAUAAUACUUAAAUAAUAUAUAUUGCACUUUAUAAUCAAUAUAGAAUACAUAAAUAUGAUAUUUACAUAUAAUAUGUACAAUUUCAACUAAAAUACUCGAAUUUUAUAUAAGUAUGUAACAUAACAAAAUACUAAAUGAGGCAAUGAAGGAGAAGAAAGUGAUUGAGUUACCAUUACCAAUUCCUUAAACUCGUAACUUACAAGUUUUUGUAACAAUUUACAAGGUUUUGCUCUUAGAUUACAACAUUAGGGUUCACCGAAUCCAUAAUGUUGUAAAUCAGCCUUUUGCAAGGAUAUGGAUCCAUAUUACAAGGAAUUGGUAAUGAUGAACCGUAGGGAAGCAAAAUGGGUCCUUAUUCUAGUAAACAAUGGUUUACAACAUUAAGGAUUUGUAUUACGAUGCUUUGGACGCAAGAGUUCCAUAAACUUGUAAAGUGGAUCCGUAAUCUCAUAGAUUACAAUAUUUGGGUUCCCAUUUAUCCGUUUUUGCAAUCUAAUUACAAGUUUAAGGUUCUUCAUAUUCCAUAAUCUUAUAAUACCCAUAGAAAGGAUCCCCAUUACAAGUUUAUGGAAUGUCGAGGUCCAAAACAUUGUAAAAGGGGUCCUUAUUAUUGUAAACCCUUGUGUUUACAAGAAUAAGGACCACAUUUACUUCUCCAAGGUCCACCCUUAUAAUACCUUAACAUUAUAAGAGAGAUCAUUUCUAAUGUAAAUUAUUAUAGUAUUACAAGAUUAUGGAUUAUAAAGAACUUUAAAGUUGUAAUCAUGGUGCAAAAACUUGUAAAUAAGAAUCAAAAUAUUGUAAUCUAUGAGAUUAAGGAUCCAUUUUACAAGUUUAUAGAACACUUAUGUCCAAACCAUUGUAAUACAAGUCCUUAGUGUUAUAAACCGUUGCAUUUACAAGAAUAUGAACCACGUUUACAUUUUCAAGGUCCACCAUUACCUUAACUUUGUAAUAGAGAUCCUUUUAUUGUAAUUUAUGAGAUUACAAAUUUAUGGAUACACGUUACAAGUUUAUGGUACAUGGAGGUCCAAAAUAUUGUAAAAGAGGUCCGUAAUACUAUAAACCCUUGUGUUUACAUGAAUAAGGACCACAUUUACAACGUUGAAGUCUACUCUUACCUUAUCAUUGUAAGAGGGAUCAUUUCAAUUGUAAAUCAGGAUAUUACAACGCUAUGGAUAAGGAAGAACCUCAAACUUGUAAUCAUAGUGCAAAAAAUCAUAAAUGAGAAUCCAAAUAUUGUAAUGUACGAGAUUAAGAAUCUGCGUUACGAGUUUAUGGAGAGCUUACGUCCAAAGCACUGUAAUACGGGUUCUUAAUGUUAUAAACCAUUGCAUUUACAAGAAUAAGUACCAAUUUUACAUCUUCAAGGUCCACCAUUAUCUUAACCAUGUAAUAGAGAUCAUUUCUAUCGUAAUUUAAGAUAUUACAAGUUUAUGGAUACACUUUACAAAUUUAUGGAACAUAGAGGUCCAAAACAUUGUAAAAGAGGUCCUUAAUAUUGUAAACCCUUGUGUUUAUAAGAGUAAGGACCACCUUUACUUCUCCAAAGUCUACUUUUACUUUAUCAUUGUAAGAGGGAUCCUUUCAAUUGUAAAUCAGGAUAUUACAACGCUAGGGAUAAGGAAGAACCUCAAAAUUGUAAUCAUGGUGCAAAAAAUCAUAAAUGAAAACCCAAAUCUUGUAAUGUACGAGAUUAAGGAUCUGCGUUACGAGUUUAUGGAGAGCUUACAUCCAAAGCAUUGUAAUACGAUUCCUUAAUGUUAUAAACCAUUGCAUUUACAAGAAUAAGUACAAAUUUUACAUCUCUAAGGUCCAUAAUUACCUUAACCAUGUAAUAGAGAUCCUUUAUAUUGUAAUUUAUGAUAUUACAAGUUUAUGGAUACGCUUUACAAAUUUAUGGAACAUGGAGGUCCAAAACAUUGUAAAAGAGGUCCUUAAUACUGUAAACCCUUGUGUUUAUAAGAAUAAGCACCAAAUUUAUUCCACCAAUGUCCACUCUUACUCUCUUCUUAUACAAGGGUUCCUUGUUGUUGCAAAUUAUGGUAUUACGAGAUUAAGGAUGGCUUUUACAAUGUAAUGGAACGACUAUGUCCAUUUUAGUAUAAUACGAAUCCUUAAUGUUGUAACCACCACCUUGUUUACAAGGAUAAUGACUCAACUUACUACUCCAAGGUUCAUUCUUACCUUAACAUUGUUUUGGGGGUCAUUACGAGUUUUGUAAAUUACGAUAUUACAAGAUUAAGGAUCUCUUUUAUAACUUUAUGGAACCUCUCUAUCCAUAACAAUAUAACGGAAGUCCUAUAUAUUGUAAACUCCUUUGUUUACAAUGACAAGGACCAAAUUUAUUCCACCAAGGUCCACUCUUACCCUAUUCUUAUACAAGUAUAAGGACCCAAUUUACUUUCCUAAUGCCCCAAGUUACCUUAAUAUUGUACUAUAUGUCUUUAUCUUUGUAAAUUACGAUAUUUCAAUAUUAAGGAUGGGUUUUAUACUUUUAUGGAACACACCUGUUUAAUAUAAAGUUGUAAAUGUUUGUGUUUAUAAGUAUAAGGACCCAAUUUACCUUCCGAAUGUUCCAUUUUACUGUUUGUCAAUUGCAAUUUUGAACUUACUAUUUGUCAAUUGCAUUAUUCAAUUUCAAUUUUCCACUAACUGUUUGUCAAUUGCAUAUGAGUCCUUACUAUUGUAAACCCUUUGGUUUACAAGGAUAAGGACCUAAUUUACUUCUCUAAUAUCUCUCAUUCCCUUUAUAAAUUUAUUUUAUUAAUUUUAGUAUCUUUUAAAUACAUGUUUACAACAUAUUUACAAAGGCCAAAAAUCGCAUUUUUUUUACCCAAAAAAAACUUAUUCACUUUGGGGUUACAAAAGCAUUAGGAAUGGGAAGUGAAAUCAUGUGGAAAACGAAGUCAAAAGUGAAGCAAAUAGGGUAAUUGAUGGUAACACACACACACACACACACACACAAAAAACAAACAAAUAGGGUAGGGUAAUUGAUGGUAACACACACACACACACACACACACACACACAUAUAUAUAUAUAUAUCAACAAACAAACAAAUAGGGUAAUUGAUGGUAACACACACACACACACACACAUAUAUAUAUAUAUAUAUAUAUCAACAAACAAACAAAUAGGGUAAUUGAUGGUAACACACACACACACACACACAUAUAUAUAUAUAUCAACAAACAAACAAAUAGGGUAAUUGAUGGUAACACACACACAUAUAUAUAUAUAUCAAUGGAAAUUGCCAAACAAGAGACAAAUUUCCCAUCGUCAUUUAAAAGUGAGAUCCGACUUAACAAAAAAGAGCUUAACAAUAAAAGUUAAUAGGGUUAUUCACAGCAAUGGUCCCUCAACUAUACCCGUAGUUACAUUUGGGUCAUUGAACUCAAUUAUUAGCUGUAGACGUCACUGAAUUAGGUGUUGUGUUGCACCAUUAGUCUUUCCGUCAAAUUUUGUUAAAUUUUUUGUCAAAAGUAAGGAUAAAUUUGGAAAUUCAUCAACAACCUUCUCCUUCCUCCACAACCCUCCAUUGCCGCAACCCAAUCCUUGCCGACACCAAAAAAUUCAAUUAAAAAGAUGCCGCACAGCACCAAGAAUAUUUUCAAAUAUUUAUAAUAAAUACCUUCAGAUCAGCAAACAAAUUCAAGAUCUCGCAUUUUAAGCCGCUUACGAGAACCCAAGUCACGUUCUUGUCCCAAUUCAGUACUCACAUGUUUUUCCCCAACAAUCUAAAACAACCCAAAAAAUAAGCAGGAAAAAGAACCAAACUUUGAAUCCGAUCUGGGUAUCGAAACCAACCUUUCUCCUAAAUCACAUCGGUCUUCCAUAAUCUUCGAACCCAAUUCAAAUACACCAAUUUAAAACCCAACCCUUUUGCAAGAGCCACUAAAUUUGACUCAUGGGUGCUAAAAUUUGUAGACUUUUGAAAUAAAAAUGAAAAAGGGUAAGUGUUGAAAUGAUGAAUCUUUGGACCUCCCCGAAGGAGCAAACAAGAAUGGAAGGGUGAACCAUAGGUUUGACACAAGAGGAAUCUUUCGUAGACUCGGUUCGCCAUCAAUUUGCAAACCAUCUAGAGGUUGAGAGGGAAGAAGGGUUGGUGGGUUAGUGUUUUGAAGUUUUGUGUAGUAGACCUGUGGGAAUUUUUAUGAUUUGAUAUUCAAUUUGAAUUUCCAAAUUUACAAAUUUACAAAUUUUGAAGUUGUGGAAGAUAGAGAGGGUUGUGGAUGAAUUUUCGAAUUUACCCUCACUUUUAACAGAAAAUUUAAAAAAACUUGACGAAAAGACUAUUGAUGUAACAAAACACAUAUUUGAGUGACCUCUGCAACUAAUAAUUAAGUUCAGUGACUCAAAUCUAACUACGAAUAUAGUUGAAAAACUAUUGCUGCGAAUAACCUAAGUUAAUAUGUGACAAUCUAAUGCUUUGUACCUUUAUUUAUGUGAAUCUGUAUGACCUAAUACUUUGUAUUAACUUGUAUUUAUUUUACCCUUAAUCAAUUCAAAUGUUUAUUUUGGAAAAUAAACUUGUCCAACUGCAUAGUUCAAUUUUCUUUUGUAUUUUCAUAAUAAACAUAUAAAGCAAAUAGGACUACUUUGAUUGUCAAUUGCACGACUGGAAUGCAAAUGGCACAACUUGUUUGUCAAUUUCAUUAACAAAUCACAUAUUGUAUUUAUAUUUUCAAUUAAUUGUGCAUAGAUAAUGGCAAUUGUGCGAUUGGAAUGCAAAUGAGACUGCUUUGUUUAUCAAUAACAUGGCUGGAAUGCACAUGACAUUACCUGUUUGUCAAUUGCAUUGACAAACCACAUAUUGUAUUUACAUUCUAACAAUAUGCAAAUUGAAAAGGCUACCAAUAACAUGACAAUAUGCAUACACUAAUUGUAAAAACGGACUAACCAGUUGCUAAUUGGAUUCAAAAAUGACAUACCGAAGUACCUAUUGCAUUUUCAUUACAAAAAUGCAAGGCAACAAAUAUAAUGUCGCUAAUUGCAAUAACAGACUAGUCAGUUGGUAAUAGCAUUCUGAAAAUGCAAAAAGGUUGCCAAUUGUAUGCUCAGUUAUGUACACCAACUGCCAAAAACCCCUUACAAUUUGGUAAUUACACGCCUGAAUACCAUAUCAAACUUCAAUAUAAUACAACAAUUCCGAUGAAGAUGAACUCAAUGUCAGAGCUCAUAAUAUCAUUACAAUUAAGAAAUUCUACCUAAUGCUUUUCAAAUGAGUCACAAAAAUUUCAACAUCAACAAUAUGCCUAACAUGAAAAUAUAUAUAUAUAUAUAUACUGAAAUUAAUCAUAUUGGGUGUUUUGUCUGCCAAAAAAAAAAAAAAAACUCAAAUCACAAUGGGUUUCUUUUCAGCAAAAAAAAACUCACAUCCACAUCUCGACCACAAUGCCAAGCUAAAUAAAAAAACAGAUAGUACAAAAAGAAUAGUAUGACUGAAAAAGAAAAUUAAAGCUUCGUAACCAAAAGGUGCAAAGAAAUAAUUAAAUUGCUAAAUAAUUAUAUAAAGCAACAAACUGAAAUCUCACAUCCAAUACAAAUAAAUAUUCGGCACUACAAAAAUGUUAAUAAGAUAGGGAAAUAAACCAAAUGAUCUAAUAUCCAGUAAGUCACUUGGAAGCUCGACUUUCCUUGAUGAGCCUAAGAUUGCCUUUUUGGUAUGAGCCACAGUAAUCACAUCAAGUUGCUAAAAUGUAAAUGUAUGAAUUAAAGAGUUAAUUAAUGCACAUGGAACUAAGACUAAGCAGAAUUCAGAUAAUAGAUGAUGCCUUAAAUAAUCUCUAAUGUUUAAUAACAUAUAUAAUGAUGAAAAUUUAAAACUCACAUACAUGAAGGGUAGACAAUCCUAGGAUAGUAAGCAUGAGAGAGGAGGUAAUAAACAGGGCUUCCUAUGUAGAUGCACACAUGAUGAAUGAAAAUCAAGCAAUUCAUAGAAAAUUACAGCACUCUUUCUGCAGGACAACACCAAGUGAACAUCCAAUUGUCAGUUAGUAAGAGAAAGCACAAGGGCAGCAAAAAAUUAGUGAGACUAAAAGGAAACUAAAGAAACUAACAGAGGCUUUUAUUGUUUGGUUGUUAGGUAGCUUUCAUUAAAACCCCAAAAAAGAGGCAACCUUCACACGCAUUUAGUAGAAUACUGACAAGAAGAAGAAAAAAAUCAAUCAUAACAAGCUUCCAAAGAUGAUAUUCAUAAAUCAAUGGGGAUGCAGAAGGAUGAGAAAUCCUCACACCCCCCAUCCCACACGACCAAGACUACAAACAAAAGCAAAAAAACCACAUAAAAAAGAAGAAUCCGGGCUAAACAAAGCAACAUUCCAGAGCCCAGGAAAAAAAAAAAAAGAGUCUUAAGAAUGACAUCAUAGCACAUUCAGGAAUCCGAAUAUGAAAAUAAGAUGCAACUUGUAAACACAAGAACCAACUCAGAAAAAUUAAAAAAAAAUCAAUUGGAAAAGAAAAAAAAAACCAAAAAAUGAUGAAUGCAGCAGUAAACUCAAAAUUAAACUAACAUUACCAAAUCUACAUCUAGUUCAACACUAAUAUGAAAUCCUCACCUUGUCUCCAAAUUAAUGGUUCAAAUACAAAUUAAAAAGUUGAAAACAUGCAGAGACCAUAGCCCAAUAUUAAAACCUAAAACUUACAAUAUAAAUUAGAAAACUCAAACCUUGAAUAAUUAAAAUUAUCUUGGGAGAUAGAGGGCAGGGAUCGAGCUAAAUGAGGGUUUCAAUUGGGGAUGAGAUUGUUGGUAUGGGUUUGGUUUUGAAACGAAGCCUGGGAAGGAGAUUGAGAGACCAUGAGAUGUAGAGAUGAGAGAGACAAUUAGGGAGAAGAAAGAGAGAGAUACCUGAGAGGAGAGGAGUUGUGUUCGUCGCGCUGUCUCGUCGUCACAGGAGGAGGAGAGGAGCGAUUUUGGAAGGAGUCGAACUGGAAGAGAGAGAAAAGAGAAACCCAAUGCUAAGAGGAGAGGAGUUGUGUUCGUCGCGCUGUCUCGUCGUCACAGGAGGAGGAGAGGAGCGAUUUUGGAAGGAGUCGAACUGGAAGAGAGAGAAAAAAACCCAAUGCUACUGAAGGAGAGUUUUUGUUUUUGUUUUCUUUUUUCCUACAACAACCGAUUUAUCCGGUAACUAACUCAACGGUGUGGAUAACUCCACAUCACCAACUACUCAUCCAAUGGUCUGUAACAAUGGGCGCAUCCAUACGCCAAGCCCACUGUAGAAUUUUCCCUGAAAUUAAUCCUCGGUGAAGACAUAGUGGAACAGUUUCAAACCACGAACUAUUUUGUUUUCUUCUUAUAAUUAUUGAAGGAAUAUGAUUUCCUCACUCUCUUGGUUUUCUCCCCUUACACUUUUUAAUCAAUUUUCUUCUUUCUCUUUUCUAUUUUAUCUUUACUCUACGUUAAUUUUUUUAUAUUUCAUUUUUAUAUUAGUUCUUUACAUUUCAUUUUUAUAUUAGUUCUUUUUCUUUAUAUUUAAUUUUCCAACUUACACUCAAUUUUCAGUAUUUUUUUUCCUUUAAUCGAGUAAGAAAUUAAGUUUUUUUCUUUCUUUAAUACUAAAAAUAGAGUGUAAGUUUGAAAAUUUAAAUAUAAAGAAAAAGAAAUAAUAUAGAAGUGAAGUAAAAAGGAAAAAAAGAAAUAAUAUAAAAGUGAAGUAAAAAUAAAUUAAUGUAAGGUAAGGAUAGAAUAGGAAAGAGAAAGAACAAAAUUGAUUAAAAAGUAUUAAAAAGCAAAAGAGAGUGUAAGUGGAGAAAAAGAGAGUAGGAAAAUCAACUCCCUUAUUAAAAAGAUACCCUCUAAUGCAUUGAGGGCAGGGACAAUUCGACAGUAGUCUUUAUUUGACAAUGCUAUGGAGCAUCUUCAACACGGAAAAGAAAAACAAACAUAAUUCUCUACUUCAACAAAAUUAUUGCAAGCACACAAUCCUCACAAGUAAUAUAAAAAUUAGUAAAGUGUUGUUCCCACGAAGACUGUAAUCUCCUAUUAACUAUCAAUUAUGAUUAAUUCAAAAGUUUAUUUGAAUAGUUGAUUAAGAAGAUUGAUUGAUUUAAGUAAACUAAAACAAUUGUGAAAAAUAGCAAUUUAAUUAAUGAUGAAAAAUCAAGUUGAUGUGACACUAGAUCAUCCGAUUUCACCAUAACCAAUUCAACUUAAUUCUUAUAGUCAAUUAACCCUAAUUACUAUCCAUGUUGACAAUUGGUUUAUCCUAAAUCAUUUGAUAUACCCUCUCGAGCUCAACCAAAAGUAUUCUUAAUUAACAACCUAUUCUCUCUUGAGCAACGAAUUUAGAAAAUCAAGAACCUAUUAAGUUCAAUGAGAACUUGCAAGAAAGCUGCAUGAGUCAUGUUAGUCCCUCUCGGGCACUCAUUCAAGACAUCACUACUACAAAAAAGCAAAAAGACGACGGUAAAUCACCGUCGUGUAUUCGAUUUUUCAAUGGUCGUGGAAUCCACCGUCAUCUUUUCCCUCAUAUACCACGACGCUAAAUCACCGUCGUUGUUAAAAUAUAUAACGUCAUCAACAAAUACAAAACGACGUCUUUGUACUGCAAAAAGAUCUAAAAAAGCAGUCGAGGAUGAGAAUAGACGACCAAUUCUCUAAAAAAACCGUCGUUAAAAAGGAAAAAUAUGACACAUAUUAAGAGAACAAGGCCGCAAGAUAGACAUACAACGACGGAAAUAAAAAAACGACGCCGUUAAAUAUCAUUUUCACGACAAUAAAAAAUUUGACGUCUUUAAAUACAUUAGAAGACGACGUUAUUGAUACCUACUACGUCGCAUAUAUAAAAACAGCCGUCGUAAAAUUAAUUUUCCACUUCGAUUUUUCGAUAAAAGAUGACGUGGAAAUAGUUGUCAGUGUCAUUAUUUACGACGUAUGUAUUUAUUGAGUAGACGUUGAAAAACGAAACAACGUCGGUUACAAAUAUAUGAGAGUCGUAUUACAAAAUUUAUACGUCAUAUUUUCAGAAACAAACAACGACGAUAAAUAUUAGACGUUGUUAAAUAAAACAACGUCGGAAAACAAUAAAAACAGACGUGUUUAGUCUGCUAAAGUUCUAGAAAAUAGUCGAGGAUGAGAAUAGACGACCAACUCAAACAACUCACCGUCGUUAAAAAGGAAAAAUAUGACACAUGUUAAAAGAACAAGGCCGCAAGAUAUACAUACAACGACGACAACUAAAAUACUACGCCGUUAAAUAUAAUUUACACGACAAGAAAAAAUAUGACGUCUUUAAAUACAUGAGAAGACGACGUUAUUGAAAUAUACUACGUCUCUUAUUUACAAACAACCGUCGUGAAAUAAAUUUUCCACUUCGAUUUUUCUAAAAAAGAUGACGUGGAAAUAGUUGUCAGUGUCAUUAUUUACGACGUAUGUAUUUAUACAGUUGACGUUGAAAUGCGAAACAACGUCGGUGGCAUUUAUAUAGUCGACGUUGUAUUUAUAUCUAUCAUCAUUACUCACGACGCACUUAAUAAUAUAGACGACGUUGAACUUCUAAACAACGUCGGUUCCAAAUAAAUGAGAGCCGUAUUACAGAACAUAUAGACGGCGUUGAUUAUGAUGAGAGCCGUAUUACAAAUAACGUCGUUUAAUUGUUAUUAGACGGCGGUUAUAAUGAAUUUCCGUCGGAAUUCAUUUCGUUCCUCUUCGUUUAUAAAAGAACUUGCGACGUGGAAAAUGUAUGAUGACGUCGUAUUUUUUAACGUUCAGAUUAUAUAUCUCGUUUUUUAGACGUCGGUAUUAUGGGAUUGGAGUCGUGUUAUUUUGAAUUACAUGGCGGUUCUUAAUCCUUCCCCGACGUGAUAUCCUGAAUAAUUGCUUCACAAUUGCGUCGUGGUUCUUCAUUGUUACGUUGCUUUAAGACGUCGGUAAAUAUGCUGAAUAACUGGUUCACAAUAACGUCGUGUUUUAUUUGAAGUAGAAAGUGAAGAAAUCACAUUACAAUAUAUUACAAAAUUAAUGUCAUACACUGCCAAUUACAUAAGCAUCAUUCAAUCCAUAUAUCUUCACACCCAUCUCGAAUAUUUUGACCGCCUAACUCACCCACCAGUUCAUCAAAUGUGUCAACAUUUGGCAUCCCUCUAGUAAAUGGCUCACACUCAAUUAUCACAUCACCUAAGACUUCAUCACCAAUAACAUCAUUAUAUUCUCUAUUAGGCAUUGAUAACACUACCGACCAACCACGAUGCAUCGGGUCGUCAACAAAAAAUAUUUGUUUGACUUGAGAAGCCAAAAGAAAUUGGUCAUUCCUAUGUCCAAUUUUACUCAAAUCUACAAGGGUAAAUCCAAGUUCGUCGACUACAAGACCAGAACUAUCUAUCCAAUCACACCUAAAGACUGGGAUUGUAAACUUUUGGUAGUCAAGGUCCCAAAUUUCUUGAAUGACACCAUAGAAACCCAUAUUUGAGAGAAUUGGGUUUUUAUCCUUGGCACUAGCAACUUGCAUGGUAUGUGCAAGUAAAUAAACUCCACUAUUUUGAGUUGUCCGCACAUCAUCUUGUGCCUUGAUAUUGAAUUUAAUACCUUUAAUAAGAUAGCUCCUAUAUAAUGGCACUGACAUGUUUGGACCAGCUGCUAGCCACCUUAAAUUUUCUGAUACGCCAUGAUUGUCUUCCUCAAGUUCACUUUGAACCUGCAAAUUAAUCAUAUCUUAAUUCAAUCUAACAUAUAAAUAAGAAGAAAAUUAAAAGAGAAAUAUGUUAUUCAACAAUAUAUACCUUGAAGCGUAGCCAUUGAAUGAAAGUGCUAUUGUGCUUAUCCUGCAGCCACUUUGUUCUCUUUCUAAAUUUUGGAUAAGCAGUCUUGAUGUGAAUCAUAUGUUGCCUACAUGACACGAAAAAUUCAAGCAUUACGGUCCUAAAUAUAGAAGAUAAACAUAAGAAAUAAUUUAAAAUGGAAACUUAAAGAAUAAAGCUCAUACGUACUCGAUAUAAGGUAGGACUUCCUCCGUAUUCUCCAAGACAUAUAGAUGUGCUUGAUUCAACAGGUCCUGAUCAACUACGCUCACUGUGCAACCUGAUAAUGGCUUUGAAAGUCCCAUCUUUUGGCUUGAAGGCACUCCAACUGUACUAACAUCAGAUAAAUGCUGAGUACAACACUCUACCGCUUCUUCAGCUAUAUACCGCUCAGCAAUGCAACCUUCGGGACGAGUACGAUUCUGAACAUACCCCGUCAGCACUUUCAUAUAUCUUUCAAACGGAUACAUCCACCUAAAAUAUACUGGCCCACAUAGACGAACUUCUCUGACAAGAUGUACUACUAGAUGAACCAUGAUAUCAAAGAAUGAAGGGGGAAAGUACUUCUCAAGCAAACACAGAGUAACUACUACAUCUUCUUCCAACUUAUCUAGCUUGGAAACAUCAACAGUCUUUGCACAUACAGCAUUGAAGAAGAAGCACAAACGAGUUAUUGCAUACCUUGCAGGCUUCUCCAAAACAGAACGAAUUGCCACAGGGAGCAAUUGUUGCAUUAAGGUAUGACAAUCAUGUGAUUUAAGGCCAAGAAGUCUUGAAUCUUGUAAAGAUACAAGAUUUUUAAUAUUUGAAGAAUAACCUUCAGGGACCUUCAUACCAUAGAAAGAAUUGCAAACCUCUCUCUUCUCUGCUCUUGACAAAUUCCAAGGCCCAUGAGGCAAACGAGUACGUCUUUCUCCAUACUCGGGUUGCAAAUCAGUUUUGACCCCCAUGUUCAAUAAAUCUAAUCGAGCAGCAAUCCCAUCUUUAUUUUUUCCAGGGAUCUCCAGCAAUGUACCAAUGAUACUAUCGCAAACAUUCUUCUCAAUGUGCAUAACAUCUAGGGCAUGCCUCACAGGAAGGUAUUUCCAAUACUCGAGAUCAAAGAAUAUUGAUUUCUUCUUCCAACAAACUCUGUCACCAUUUUCAACCAUAUGCAGCACUUCUUCUCCGGUUAAUGGCUCGGGAGGUAUGCCAUAUUCAGGUUUCCCAUUAAAAGCUGCACGUUGCCUCCUAUAUGGAUGAUUGAUUGGUAACCAUUUUCUAUGCCCAAUGUAACAAAUUUUGUGGCCAUUUUUCAACCUGUGACUAGGUGUAUCAUCGCCGCAUAUUGGACAAGCUUUAUAUCCUUUAACAACACAACCAGAUAAGUUUCCAUAGGCGGGGAAAUCAUUAAUUGUCCACAUUAAUGCAGCUCUGAGUGUAAAGUAUUCUCCAUUAUGUGCAUCAUACACUCCUCUAAUCCCAUCCCACAAAGAUUUUAAAUCAUCAAUCAAAGGCUCCAAGUAGACGUCUAUAUCAUUUCCGGGUUGUUUAGGACCGGAAAUCAAUAAGGUUAACAUCAUGAACUUUCGUUUCAUGCACAGCCAUGGAGGGAGAUUAUAUGUAACUAAGAUAACCGGCCAACAACUAUAUCUGCUACUUAGAGAACUGUGGGGAUUGAAUCCAUCAGAUGAAAGAGCCAAUCUCAAGUUUCUCGGCUCAUUACCAAACUCAGGCCAUUUAUCAUCAAGAAGUUUCCAAGACGGGGAAUCCGCCGGAUGAGACAUCUGACCGUCAAUUGAUUUUCUAGCAGCAUGCCAAGUCAAACUCUUAGCUGUCUCAUGUGAUUGAAACAUCCUUUUAAACCUUGGAAUUGGAGGAAAAUACCACAGCACCUUCGCUGGCACACCCUCUUUCAAGAUUGAAUCUUUGCCUUCCUUCCACCUUGAGAUACCACAAGUAGGACAAUUAGUUGAAUCCUCAUACUCCUUCCUAUACAAGAUGCAAUCAUUGGGGCAUGCGUGCAUUUUCUCAUAACUCAGCCCCAAUGCACACAAAGUCUUUUUAGCCUCAUACAUGGAGGUUGGUAUUGUAUUUCCUUCUGGAAGCAAAUCGCCUUGAAGUAUCAAUAAUUCUGUAAAACAGACAUCACUCAUCCCAUGUUUUGCCUUCAAAUUAUACAACUUCACUAAUGCCGAUAACUUCGUGUACUUUCUACAACCAGGGUACACUGGUUGAUCUCCAUCCCCAAUCACAUUGGCAAACUCAUACGGAUCCGAACCAAAAUCACCAAAAUCAUUAUCAUCCAUAUCAAUUUGUUCAGACACAAAACUGUACCUACUAUGGCCAUCAUCUUCUUCAACAUUUCUACUAGCAUUAGUAGUUGCUUCCCAAGGUUCUCCGUGAAAUGUCCAAUUCUUAUAGCUUUGGUCAAUUCCAUUAAAGUAUAAGUGAUCCCUUAUAAUUCCAACCCCAAACAACUUCAAAUUAACACAUUUAACACAUGGACAACGGAUAUGUGUUGUAGUUAGAAGAUUUUCUACAGCAAAGUUCAAAAAUGCUUCCACCCCAAAUUCAUAUGCCUUCGAUCUUCUAUCCGAGUGCAUCCAUGACUUAUCCAUCUCCGACACUAUAACCUAUUAUCUAUAAUAAAGUGAAAAUACAGGCAAUGACCAUCACUAUAGCAGAUUAUACAAUGAUCUAAUCGCAAGUAAUACACAACAGAGACGACGGGUUUUAAACAAAAACAGACGUAUUUGGCAUAUAUAGACGACAGAUUUUCAACAGACGUCGUCUAUUAUAAGUAAUACAAACGACGGUUUAUGAAAAAACCGUCGUGUAUAAGUAAUACAACGACGGUAGUUUAAAAAAACCGUCGUGUAAUCGUCGUCGUAAGCCUUAAAAUUCGUCGUGUCUCAGUUUAUUUUCAAGAACACAAAACCCAUUAAGAACACAACAUAUAUAUGAAACCAAGCAAGAAACCAACAUAUACAUGAAACCAAGGAUGAAAACAAUAAAUCCAUUCCCAAUUCAACAUAACAGAUAAUGUAAUCCAUGAACCCAUUAAACAGAAAAUCCAUGAACCCAUACCUAUAAGCACAUUAUUAACAGAUCGCAAAGCAUACACAUAAAACCCUUUAACAAAACAACCUAAACAACCUAAUAUCAUUCAAUGAAUUUACAAGGGGAAGAUAGGGUUUGUACUUACAGGUUGGACGAGCUCACAGAUUCGACGGAGCCUGGAGAGUGCAACUUUACAAGGGGAAGAUANNNNNNNNNNNNNNNNNNNNNNNNNNNNNNNNNNNNNNNNNNNNNNNNNNNNNNNNNNNNNNNNNNNNNNNNNNNNNNNNNNNNNNNNNNNNNNNNNNNNCCUGGAGAGUGCAACUUUUAAUAGAGCAGAAGUGAGAGAGCGAAAUGUUAUGUUGCGCGAAAUCUGAAAAUUUUAGGGUUCAGGGUUAGAAGUAUAAGAAUAAGAGCCAAAUAUAAAAAAAUUUAGGGCGCGCGAAAAUUUUUAGAGCGCGCGCUCUUUAAAACGUCGAAAGAAAAACCAUGGCGAAAGUUCUACAAGAACCGACGUAAAUGUAAUAUUCCACGACGGAAACACUGAACGUAACGCCGUUUAUUUUGACGCUUCAUUUUUCGGAUUAAUUUUAAAUUUAUUUUGAAUAUUUUGAUAUAAAGACGACUGAAAAACCACGUCGGGGUUAAGAAAUUGAAAACGUUGUAAAUUAUAAUAGACGACUUACAUAUUAAAAUGACGUCGUUUAAAGUAGAAACCAUGUCGGAUAUUUUACUGCACGACGUAACAUAUGUAUUCCACGACUCAACCACCGUCGUUAACAAUUAAUACCCCAAACCCUUAAAACUAAAUUAUAUAAUUUUAAAAAUUAAGUUUAUAAAAGGGUUUAUGGUUUUACAGCCUAAUAUAUACCCUAAACUACCCAAAAAUUAUACUUUAAAAAUAAACCCCAAUAAAUAACAACCCUAAUCUCUAAACCCUAGACUCUAAACCCUAAACCAUAAAACUAGAAGUGAUUUUAUGACUCAUCAAAACAAUUUUGUUUUGGAUGGUCAUUUUAAAUUUUUGUUAUUCAAAAUGAAUUUUUUCAAGGUUUAGGGGGAAGAAAAUAUAUCAAUGACUUCAUUGGAGUUGACUUUGCAUUUUUCUGAUUUAUUUUAAAUUUAUUUUGAAUAUUUUGAUAUAAAAAUAAUAAAAUAUUCUUAUCACAACAACAAACCACGUCGGUGUUAAUAAAUUGUAGACGUUGAAAAUUGUAAUAGACGACUAAGUUGUUAAAAUGACGUCGUUUAAAUGAGAAACCAUGGCUGAUAUUUAACUAUCCGACGUAAAAUAUAUAUUCCACGACCUAACCGCUGUCGUUACAAAGUACUACCCUGAACCCUUAAGAAAUUGAAGACGUUGUAAACCAUAAACGACUCAAUUGUUCAAAGAACGUCGUCUAAAUAUCCUUUUACGUCGAAUUUGUUUAAAACGAAACAACAAAAAAGGACGGCUUUUGACUUUAUUACGUCGUUGGAAAAGUAUUACACGUCGGUUACGCAAUUUGUAUGUUUGUUUUUUUUUUAAUUUAAGAAAACCUCAACAAAUUUUUACAUUAUAUAUUAUAGACAAAAUUUGUACAUUAUACAUAAAUAUCAAGUGUUCAAUAAUUGCCCUGUUUAAUAAUUUGGAAAACAAACUCUGCCCAUUCAUUCCGGACUUCAUCAAUGGCUUCUUGGGGGUAUGAAACUUCCUAGUUUCCCUUGGCAUACUGCAUAAACAAUGACUAUUAGGGUUUAUAAAUAAAAAGAAAUUCAAUCACAUAUUUUUCAUAACCGACGUAGUAUAUCCAUUCAACGACGUUAAUUUUACAUGACCGUCGUUGAUAAUACAAAAAACGACGUGAAAUGUAUGAAGGUAAUUUCUUCUUACCUUAUUCUCAAACCCCAAGGAAGGAUCCAUGAUGAUGUCCCUCAUGAAGCGCAUCACAUAAUACCCGCAUUCGACAUUGCUGGGUUGCUUUGGUGUGCCUGAGAGAGUUUUCCAAAUUACAUUUUUACGUCCUGCUCGGGCUAUGUGGGUAUUAUAUAUUUUUAAAGCACUGUUCACGAUGUUUUUCGCCUCUUCGUCGACCACACGAUGACCUGACAGAGGAUCCAGAAAAUAGACGGUCUCCUUCUUUGCUCUUACAAUCAGCAAGAUCCAAUGAAGGCUGCACAAAAUUAAUAUAAAAACGACGGUUAUUUACAAAAACGACGUAUUAUAGUAUUUCACACGACGAAAUAAAGUAGAUAACGACGACAUUAUAUAUUUAUCACGACGAUAAAUAAAUACCGACGUGGUUAGUAGUUUCAAACGACUAAAUAAAAUAAAACACCGACGUGGUUAGUUUAUAAGCUGUCAUUUAUUGAAAAUCAUAAAAACAAAAUCCUAAGGAGACUAACCCUGGAUUGUAAGGCAUCAUGAAAAUAUGUUCACCGUCUGUCUUCUGAAGUCGAGCUGCUACCAGUCGUGAUCUUUCAGUUAUUGUGCCAGAGUUGGCACUAACUGUAGCAGGGUCGAUAAAGCCAACCAUGCUGCACAUAUUGGCUUGUUUCAAAACAUCGUGUAAGUACCUAAAUACAUAAAAUAAUAUAAACAAGUCAGCACAAAAAAACACGACGGUUAUGUAUAAAAAAACGACGUAUUAUAAUAUUUCACACGACGUACUGAAAUAGAUGAGGACGUUAUAAUGUAUUUAUCACGACGGUAGUUAGUUAAGACGACGUGGUUAGUUAGUUAAGACGACUCAAUAUAUAAACCAACGAGGUAUUAUUUUAGAAGUACAAACCUCAUAUAUACAGCCAAUACAGUAGCUCCAAUUUCUUCCAUGCCUGCAAAUUGUGUAAUAUCUUCAGGCAGGAGGAAGGUAUCGCGCUCACCACCAAACACCUCCUUAUCAAUUGUAAAUUGGAGUGUCUUAUCCUCAGGCAGGAGUGUCGUUUCCACAAAACGACAAAGAGUUUUUAAAGAAGAUGGUGCCUCCAUAUUUGAAUAAGCACCAACUUCAAUAACCUGUUUAAAGAAAUAAAAAAAAUGAUGUGGUAAUUCAAUAAAGACGACGGUUUAAGGAAUAAAACGUCGUCUUAAAAAUAUUUAAACGACGGUAAAAAAACUGUCGUGGUAAUUCAAUAAAGACGACGGUUUUAUGAAUAAAGCGUCGUCUGAAACCAUUUAAACGACGGUGCAAAAACCGUCGUUUAAAUAUUUUAUUACGUCUUAAAAAAAGUCCGCCGUCUAAGUUUUAAACAAACGACGGAUUAAAUAAAAAUAUCGACGUCUGAAAUUUUGAAAAACAAAUAAAAAAGGCAAAGUUAUGUGAACAUACCUUGUCGUCAUGCUUUUCUUCAUCUUCUUUCUCCUUUUCUUCUUCCUUCUCUUCAUCUCUUUUUUCUUCUUCCUUCUCUUCAUCUGGCUGAUGUUUCCCCAUUUUGGCAGUAUCAUCCUCCAAAUGUAGGGAUCUCACAUCACCUCCAGAGCAGCUAGCUUUGUCAGACAUUGGAUUUUUGGGGCUUUAGCUAAUUCUUGGUUUAAGCAUGCUUGGAUCAAAAUUGGGAAUUAAUUGGGAAAGCUGACUCAGGAAAUGGUCCCUCUCAGCCUCUACCAAUUGUUUUGUCCUAGCCUCCAUCCUUAAGGCCUCUUCCCUUGCCUUAGCCUCCAUCUUUUUAGUCUCUUCUUGAAGGAGAACUCUUAAACUGUCCUUCAAACGGUCGUCAAAGCUCACCCUCUGUGGUUUGGGCAAAUUGAAAUAUUGCCUUGGGGAAACACCAGCACCAACUCCCCUCAGUCUGCCUGGAUGCUCGGGGCCCAAAGCCAUGGUCAGCACAUCAUUGCUGCCAUCUACUCUGACUUUGCCUUCCGAGACUUGUUUCUGCAAUUCAUCCUAAAAAAAGAUAAACAAAAAAACACACGACGGUUAUUUAUGUACAAACGACGUAUUAUAUAAUUUCACACGACGCAAUAACGUAUAAACCGACGUUAUUAUAACUUAUCACGACGGUAGUUAUACCGACGUGGUUAUUUAUUUAAAACGACGAAAUGAAUAAACAACCGACGUCUUAUGCUAUAAUUAAAGAUAACAGAGUAGUGAUUCCUAUUUAGACCGUUAACGACGUUUUUAAAAAAGUUUCGACGUGGUAAUAUCAUUCAAACGACGCGAAAAUGAACCACCGACGUCUUAUGCUAUAAUUACAGAAAAUUAGUAGUGAUUCCUAUUUAGACCUUUAACGACGUUUUUAAAAACUUCUCGACGUGGUAAUAUCAUUCACACGACGAAAAAUAUAACAUACGACGUAAUAAGAAUAAUUCACAGUUUAAUAAAAAUUUAAAACAGAGUGAUAGUAGGCUUACAAUUAAUUUUGCUUUCUCUGCCACCUUUGGAUCAGGGAUGUUACCAUGUUUGUCCUGUCUAGCUCUCUUCCAUAAGGUAGAUCGAUCAAUUUCUACCCCAGGCAUGGUUUCCUCCAAUUGAUCCUCCAAUCCAGCAUAUCCUUUUCGAGACAAUCGAUGAUUGUACUCGAGUUUCUCCCUAAUCUGUGCAUGUUGAGAAUGCACAGACUCAAAAUCUUUGGAUAGCCUUGAAGCUACAAAGGCAUCCCAUUGUGCUUUCUCUAUGAAUUUAUAUGUUUAAGGGGGUUGGCUUAAUUUCUCCCUGUCAUUGGUGUAUGGAAGGAUAUAAUGCCUCAUUAGUGUAGACUUGAAAUCCUUCCAUUUCUUGGAAGCAGAAGCUAAAACAGAGGUCUUGCCCCCUUGGCCUACAACAAAAGCCAUGUCAACUGCUUCCCAAAUCUGCUCCUUUAUAUCCUUGGGGAUUUGGGACCAUUUCUUGUCCACAAGUGGGAUCCUGGAGCGUGCCAACACACCAAUAUACGACUGCAUCUCAAUAUGUGCUUGGCCAACACCUUUCCCCCUUUUAUUGUACUCAACAAUUGGCCUCAGUUUCUGAAGCUUUCUCUUCACAACACGAGGCAUUGUGCUCAUACCUCGACCAGUCUUUGAAUCAUCAGAGAUUGUUGUCUGGCUGGUUUGUUCUGUCUCAGCAGAUGAUGAAGCAAACUUCAUCUUCUUCGAAGACUUCAUCUCCUUCGAAGACUUGUCUUGAGGAGCUACCAUUCCAAGCUUCUUGGAGCCAGAAUCCUUAGUUUGUUGUUGAGAAACCAUUUUAACAGACAAAACUGCAAGUGAAAAUAUUUCAGGAAAACAUUAAGAACACAAACGACGGUAUUAAAAAAAUACGACGUAUGAUAUGAUUUUAGACGACGCAAUGAAAUAAUCUCAGACGUAAUAAAUGUUUAAAACCAUUAUUUAUAUAACGUCGUGGUAUAUAUGUUCACACGACGUCAAUAGUAAUACACGUCGUGGUAAAACUAUUAUUUAUAUAACGUCGUGGUAUUUAUGUUCAUACGACGUCAAUAGUAAUACACCGUCGUGGUAUUAACAUUCACACGACGUAAAACAAUAAGAUAUUUUGUCGUCUAUAUUAGAUACCAACCCUAGUUUCUUUUUCUUUAUAUUUUAUCAAAUAAGGGAAAAACAAAAACCAUUGUUCAGAGAAAUCAAACCUGCAAUUAAACAAGCAUAUAAAAAAAGACUAUUAUUUUAAAAACAACUUUGUCAAUUUUCAGACGACGCUAGAACAACUGACGAACCGUCGUGGUCUACCGUCGUCUUAUUUAGUUGAUGUAGUUGUCUUCAAAGUUGGAAACUUUCUCUCUUUGUCUGUAUAUUUUAUCAAACUUGGAAAGAAGUAAAAUGAUUUUGGCCAGAAAAAAGGUAAAAAGAUUUUUCAAACAAAAAACGUAUGAGCAUGCAAAACAGUAACCAAAAUAGUGAAAAUGAAAGCUUACCUUUUGCGUGCAAUGAAAGCAAGAGGAAGAUGAUCGAUGUUUAAGUUCAGAGACGACGAAGAAGACGAGAGGAAGACGAUGAGAAACUCUGACAAUGCUCUGACAAGGAAAAAAGACGAAAAGGUUUCUCUGGGAGAUUGAAAUUUUUAAUCGGGUUUGGAAACAGUGCAUGUGUAAGUCGAAAAGUUGCUUACAUAUAAAACCAUUUCAAAAAAAUAAUACGGCGGUUACAUUUAACUACAUCGUUUUUAACUAACACGACGCAAUAUUUUUCGUUCGACGUGGAAUCAUUUCAUUUAACGUCGUUAGGUUUAAUAUAACCGACGUGGAUUUUAAUUUUUAAAUUAUGAAUAGAAUUUUUUUUCCCGUGACCUUUCAGUUUAUUUUUCAAUUACCGUGCGUUAUAAAUAGAGUUUUUUUUCCGGAGGAAAUUUAAAACGAAGGAAAUUAAUAUUCUGCAAUAUGUAAAGUUUCUUUUUUGGAUGACAGAUUUAAAUAAAAUAAGAAUAUAAAAACAACUAAUGUGUAAGUCAAGUAGACGAAAAGUUGCUUACAUAUAAAACCAUUUCAAAAAAAUAAUACGGCGGUUACAUAUAACUACGACGUAUAAAUUACAAAAUACGAUGGUACAUUUAACUUCGGACGUGGUAAAUAAAUACGACAGUAGUUUGUAGGUACCGUCGUAGUAAACUCAAAAAUUAAAGUACAUAAGUAAUAACUCGCGUCAUGGUAGAUUAUUUAACACGUCGUUUUUAUUAAUUUACCGACGUGGAUUUCUGUAAUAUACGUCGAUCAUACCGACGUUGAUUUUACAAUUUAAACGGCGGUGUUUUUGUAAGGACCGCCGUUGGUUUUAAAAAUUUAUUCUAUAAAUUUGUCGCUUUCAUUCAUUUUCGGUUUACAUUUAAGGUUCCAAGUUCUUCCUCUCUCAGUCUCUCAUGUCUCAAAGACAAUAAUUUGGAUGUUUUCUCAAAGAGAAAUUGAGCUUACUCGCAUCAAAUAUAUGUCCACAAGAAGAAGCUUGUCAACUAGCCUUCUCACUUCCUUGAUCAAGCCUGAUAGGACACUUAGUGCUUCUGAAUACUCCUUGCUUUCCAUCAAAAGAGAUGCAAGCCUGGCCUCCACUCGCUGUCGAAGGAAAGUUCGCUUCUCAGGGAAAUCUGAAGAUCAGAUGUGCCUGAUCCUCUGCUUGAUUUUCUUGCCUAAGAAGAUCCGUCGGAUUUGUGAUAGCCUCUUCCUUUAUCCGUAGAGCUUCAGAAGAAGAAGAUGGGUUUCAAGAAUGCGAUAAAGAAUAGAAAUGGCUUCAGAUGGCCUCUAAAGCAUGAGCAAUUGAAUCAGUAGUUUCUGGGAGAUAUGAUGAAGACAUUGUCAAUGCUUUGAACUAUACAAGUCCUGCAGAAAGAUAUGUUAAAGAAACUGAAACAACGGCGGUUUUCUGUUCUACCGUCGUCUUUUCUCGUCGUCUAUAUUAAGUUAAGAUGGCGGUAGAUUUAUAAUUACCGACGUAGAUUAUUUUGUUAAACGUCGUUAAGUGUACUACAACCGACGUGGAUUUUAUUUUUAAAUUAUAAAUAGAGUUUUUUUUCCCGUAUUCUUUCAGUUUUAGUUUUCAAUUCCAAAGCGUGAUAAAUAGAUUUUUCUUUCCCGAGGAAAUUUAAAAUGAGGGAAAUUAAUGUUCUAGAAUUUGUAAACUAACACGACGCAAUAUUUGCAAAUCUGUGUCAUCUGUUAAGAUUAUGAUGUGGAACAGAGUUCCAUCUGGUAAGAUUUCGUAACCCUUGGGAUCUCAGACAAAUCUGAUUAUGUCGGCGGUGUUCUAUAUAAACCGUCGUGGUUAUUUCAAUUCUUGUCAUUAAGUAGAUCUACCGACGUAGGAUAAGAAAAUCAAAGAAAAAAAUUGUUAACAAAAAUUCUUAUUAAGACGACCGUUAAAAUUAAAGGUACGACGUAUAAAAUGAAUAAAUACGACGAUAAAUUUUAUUGUACGAUUUAAAGAUAACGUCGUAGAACUAUACGAGAAUGACGUCGAUAUAUUUAUAUUUUCCGUCGUUGUAAAUUUAUUUAAUACGGCGAUAUUUUGUAUUUUAAAGCCGUGGAUUUGUUUGUAAUUAUACGGCGUCUUAUACGAAAACCUCGUCGUGUUAUUUUAUGAGUAAAAACGGCAGUUUUUAUUGAAAUCGUCGUCUUUACUUUCUACGUCGGUCGAUUCAUAACUUCUGCCGUUCUUUGUUGGCAUUGAUUUUACACUGCGGAAAUCUGUUUCAAAUAGACGUCGGUUGUUUAAUUAUGUACGUCGUUGUUUUUGAACAGCCAUUUGAAACUCCAUUUUUUAGUUGUCUAAGGUUGUAUUACACGACGGUGUUUUUAGAACCGUCGUCUUUUUAUAAACCACGACGGUUUUCACUUAGACCGUCGUUGUUUUCUGGUCGUCUUUUUCACUUUUUGUAGUAGUGCAUGAUAUUUGUUACAAGAAGCAAAUACCAAACAUCUCCUCUCAGUCUCCACUUAGAUGAUCAAUUCAAUUAAAUAUUGGCAAGAUAUUCAAAGCAUUAAGAACAGUAACAAAUACUCAACAUGGAAUAGUAAUAAAAAAUUAAUAUAAUUAUAAAAAUUAAGUAUUCAUAGUUAGGCUACAUCGUAGCCCUAGCAAGAGAAAUUAGUUCAUGAGAAAAGAAAAUAUAAACAAGAGCAUUAUUGUCAUAAAAUUGAUUUGGCCGAUGGGAUUGAUCUUCAGAGUCUCCAUAGGAACACCUUCGAAAGCUCCUCAAGUAGUGUAACAGUAAAUUCUUAGCUUUCUCUGUGAUAUAUUUGUGGGUGUAUGAAUUGUAUAUUGGAAGAUGAUGAUUCAUAGAGAGAGCUUAGGGUAACCUUAUAUAGAGUAAAACAACUAAACCCUACUCCAAAAAUGUCUGAAAAAACUCUCCUAAAGCAAAACAAAAUCCCAAACAAUUAAGGAAACAAGCUAGGAAAGAAUCCUUCUUUUACUUGGAAACAAGUCAGCCAACUUUCACGCACGUUUUAGGGUCGUUCCACUUCCUAGAAAAUUCUGGAAAAAUAUGAGUAACGUAGCUUGAUCUCUAAUCUCUAAGCUUUCUAAGCAUUUAUUAAUGCCACUAGGAAAAAUUGGAAAGGUCUUCAAAUCUUCAAUCUUCCACAGCAGUGCAGUUAUGACGAGAUUUCAACUUAGGUUGUCUUGAUUUGCAAGUCUGGAGCAUUUGACUUGGUAGAAAAUUAUGAAACUUUGAUACAAUGAUCUUCAAUGUCUUAGCUUUCUUCUCCGAUUGGUGUUGCACUAAAAUUCAUUUGAAAAGUUAAUUUUCAGUCAAAAUCCUUCCAAGAGCGCAGAAUUGCUGAAAAUAUAAGAAGCAAGGUAAUAAUACUCUUUUUAAUUAACUUUUCCUACAUAAACCAAAUAAAACAAAUAUAAAAAUAUAGGUACAAAAAACAAAACAAAGAAUAAUAUUAUGGCAAAGAAAGAAUGGAAACUCCAGUUCCGAACUUCACCAAUUCCAUCAAUCCCAUGACCUCCAUUACUCGACACCUGGUCUCCUUCGGUAAUUUUCUUCUGCCCUAUCUCUCUGUAUUAUAUAUGAUUAAAUAUGGUGGUCCUCCUCAUCUUCGAAUUAGAGGUAGUGAUUAUAAUAUCACUCUAAUUAAAAAUAAUUUUUAUUACAAAUCAUCCUUGAACUUUUUAACUGUCUUAAUUUUAGUCCUCAAACUUUCAAAUUAAUAAAUAUGACCUCCAAUAUUUUGGUUCAGACAUAAGUUUGGUCCAUAUCAUCGUUUGGAGAUGUGCAGGCAACGCAGGUGACCUCCCCACUACAAAAACAAGUGGCAACAGUCACCAUUAUUUGGUGACAUUUUAGUCACUACAGCAAAUGUCAUCAAAUGUCACCAUAUAAUGGUGACUGUUGCUACUUUUUUUUGUAGUGCUCCCUUGAUCACCAAACUAUAUGUUGCCACUAAUGGAAGGUCAAGACUGCGACCCCCACUCAUUCCUAGUUACUUUGGCAAUGCGAUUUUCACAACAAUGCCAAUUACUGUCGCGGGGGAUUUCCAAUCAAAAUGAACAUGGUAUGGAGCAAGCCACAUUCAUGAUGUUUUGGCUCAUAUGGAUGAUCAAGGUUUUAAAACGCAAGGCCCUGAGGCGAGACGCUUUUGAUCUCGUAAGGUGAAGUGUAACCCUUUCGAACUUCAAUUAUUUUAAUUAAAAAUAUAAAAUUAUAUAAAAUAAUUAUAAAUAAGUACUAAUUGUCUCCUAAGCUUAAUAAUCACUACUACAAAAAGUGAAAAAGAGGACCAGAAAACAACGACGGUCUAAGUGAAAACCGUCGUGGUUUUUAAAAAGAUGACGGUUCUAAAAACACCGUCGUGUAAUACCACCUUAGACAACUAAAAAAUGGAGAUUCAAAUGGCUGUUCUAAAACAACGACGUACCUAAUUAAACAAUCGACGUCUAUUUGAAACAGAUUUCCGCAGUGUAAAAUCAAAGUCAACAAAGAACGGCAGAAGUUAUGAAUCGACCGACGUAGAAAGUAAAGACGACGAUUUCAAUAAAAGCCGCAGUUUUUACUCAUAAAAUAACACGACGAGGUUUUCGUAUAAGACGCCGUAUAAUUACAAACAAAUCCACGGCUUUAAAAUACAAAAUAUCGCCAUAUUAAAUUAAUGUACAACGACGGAAAAUAUAAAUAUAUCGACGUCAUUCUCAUAUAGUUCUAUGACGUUAUCUUUAAAUCGUAUAAAAUUUAACGUCGUAUUUAUUCAUUUUAUACGUCGUACCUUUAAUUUAAACCGUCGUCUUAAUAAGAAUUUUUGUUAACAAUUUUUUUCUUUGAUUUUCUUAUCCUACGUCGGUAGAUCUACUUAAUGACAAGAAUUGAAAUAACCACGACGGUUUAUAUAGAAAACCGCCGACAUAAUCAGAUUUUUCUGAGAUCCCAAGGGUUACGAAAUCUUACCAGAUGGAACUCUGUUCCACAUCAUAAUCUUAACAGAUGACACAGAUUUGCAAUUAGAGAGACAAUUUUUUGGAAGUUGAUGAUGUGUGUGCGUUUGUGUAUCUACAAAUAUUAUACCUAACGUCGUUGCAAAUUUGCAAUCAGAGAGACAAUUUUCAACGACGGUUAUAUUAUACCUAACGACGUUUAAAAAACAAAUCAACGUCGCUCAACAAAUAUAUUAUGUCGUCUUAGUCUUACUUAAGACGACGAAAAACGACGACAGUAAUACAAAAACAGUCGUUGUUUUUAUAUUCUUAUUUUAUUUAAAUCUGUCAUCCAAAAAAGAAACUUUACAUAUUCCAGAACAUUAAUUUCCUUCAUUUUAAAUUUCCUCCGGAAAAAAAACUCUAUUUAUAACGCACUGUAAUUGAAAAAUAAACUGAAAGGUCACGGGAAAAAGAAUUCUAUUCAUAAUUUAAAAAUUCAAAUCCACGUCAGUUAUAUUAAACCUAACGACGUUAAAUGAAAAGAUUCCACGUCGCAAAACAAAUAUUGCGUCGUGUUAGUUAAAAACGACGGCAUAACAAAAAACCGUCGUUGUUUCAAACUGAAUUAAUUUAAAAUUUCUUCGGGAAAGCAAAAUCUAUUUAUAAUUUCCUCGGGUUAGUAAUAUUGCGUCGUGUUAGUUUACAAAUUCUAGAACAUUAAUUUUCCUCAUUUUAAAUUUCCUCGGGAAAGAAAAAUCUAUUUAUCACGCUUUGUAAUUGAAAACUAAAACUGAAAGAAUUCGGGAAAAAAAACUCUAUUUAUAAAUUAAAAAUAAAAUCCACGUCGGUUGUAUUACACUUAACGACGUUUAACAAAAUAAUCUACGUCGGUAAUUAUAAAUCUACCGCCAUCUUACCCUAAUAUAGACGACGAGAAAAGACGACGGUAGAACAGAAAACCGCCGUUGUUUCAGUUUCUUUAACAGUUUGGUCCUUUAUCUUUCUGCAGGACUUGUAUAGUUCAAAGCAUUGACAAUGUCUUCAUCAUAUCUCCCAGCAACUACUGAUUCGAUUGCUCAUGCUUUAGAGGCCAUCUGAAGCCAUUUCUAUUCUUUAUCGCAUUCUUGAAACCCAUCUUCUUCUUCUGAAGCUCUACGGAUAAAGGAAGAGGCUAUCACAAAUCUGACGGAUCUUCUUAGCCAAGAAAAUCAAGCAGAGGAUCAGGCACAUCUGAUCUUCAGAUUUCCCUGAGAAGCGAACUUUCCUUCGACAGCGAGUGGAGGCCAGGCUUGCAUCUCUUUUGAUGGAAAGCAAGGAGUAUUCAGAAGCACUAAGUGUCCUAUCAGGCUUGAUCAAGGAAGUGAGAAGGCUAGUUGACAAGCUUCUUCUUGUGGACAUAGAUUUGAUGCGAGUAAGCUCAAUUUCUCUUUGAGAAAGACAUCCAAAUUAUUGUCUUUGAGAUGUGAGAGACAGUGUCUCUGAGAGAGGAAGAACUUGGAACCCUAAAUGUAAACCGAAAAUGAAUGAAAGCGACAAAUUUAUAGAAUAAAUUUUUAAAACCAACGGCGGUCCUUACAAAAAAACCGCCGUUUAAAUUGUAAAAUCAACGUCGGUAUGACCGACGUAUAUUACAGAAAUCCACGUCGGUACAUUAAUAAAAACGACGUGUUAAAUAAUCUACCAUGACGCGAGUUAUUACUUAUGUACUUUAAUUUUUGAGUUUACUACGACGGUACUUACAACACUACUGUCGUAUUUAUUUACCACGUCCGAAGUUAAAUGUACCGUCGUAUUUUGUAAUUUAUACGUCGUAGUUAUAUGUAACCGCCGUAUUUUUUUUUUGAAAUGGUUUUAUAUGUAAGCAACUUUUCAUCUACCUGACUUACACAUGCACUGUUUCCAAACCCGAUUAAAAAUUUCAAUCUCCCAGAGAAAACUUUUAGACUUUUUUCCUUGUCAGAGCACUGUCAGAAUAUCUCAUCGUCUUCCUCUCAUCUUCUUCGUCGUCUCUGAACUUAAACAUCGAUCGUCUUCCUCUUGCUUUCAUUGCACGCAAAAGGUAAGCUUUCAUUUUCACUAUUUUGGUUGCUGUUUUGCAUGCUCAUACGUUUUUUGUUUGAAAAAUCUUUUUACCUUUUUUAUGGCCAAAAUCAUUUUAUUUCUUUCCAAGUUUGAUAAAAUAUACAGACAAAGAGGGAAAGUUUCCAACUUUGAAGACAACUACCUCAACUAAAUAAGGCGACGGUAGCUUCUUAUUUACGUGGUUAAAUAUGUAGACCACGAUGGUUCGUCAGUCGUUCUAGCGUCGUCUGAAAAUUGACAAAGUUGUUUUUAAAAUUAUGGUCUUUUUUUUAUUUGCUUGUUUAAUUGCAGGUUUGAUUUCUCUGAACAAUGGUUUUUGUUUUUCCCUAAUUUGAUAAAAUAUAAAGAAAAAGAAAGUAGGGUUGGUAUCUAAUAUAGACGACAGUAUCUUAUUGUUUUACGUCGUGUGAAUGUUAAUACCACGACGUCAUAUUAAAUCACGUCGGCCGGUAAAUAUCGACGUAAUAAGUUAUUAUUACGUCUUAUUUUAUAUUAUUUCGUCGUUGUUUAAUUACCUUGGUUUUAAACAUUUAUUACGUCUGAGAUUAUUUCAUUGCGUCGUUUAAAAUCAUAUCAUACGUCGUAUUUUAUUAAUAACCGUCGUUUGUGUUCUUAAUAUUUUCCUGAAAUAUUUUCACUUGCAGUUUUGUCUGUAAAAAUGGUUUCUCACCAAGACCAAAGUAAGGAUUCUGGCUCCAAGAGAAGUCUUCGAAGAAGAUGAAGUCUUCGAAGAAGAUGAAGUUUGCUUCAUCAUCUGUUGAGACAGAACCAACCAGCACGACAACAAUCUCUGAUGAUUCAAAGUCUGGUCGAGGUAUGAGCACAAUGCCUCGUGUUGUGAAGAGAAAACUUCAGAAACUGAGGCCAAUUGUUGAGUACAAUAAAAGGGGGAAAGGAAUUGGCCAAGCACAUAGUGAGAUGCAGUCCUACAUUGGUGUGUUGGCACGCUCCAGAGUUCCACUUGUGGACAUGAAAUGGGCUCAAAUCCCCAAGGAUAUAAAGGAGCAGAUUUGGGAAGCAGUUAACAUUGCUUUUGUGGUAGGUCAAGGGGGCAAGAACUCUGUGUUAGCUUCUGCUGCCAAGAAAUGGAAGGAUUUCAAGUCUACACUAACGAGGCAUUAUAUCCUUCCAUACACCAAUGACAGGGAGAGAUUAAGCCAACCCCCUGAAACAUAUAAAUUCAUAGAGAAAGCACAAUGGGAUGCCUUUGUAGCUUCAAGGUUAUCCAAAGAUUUUGAGUCUGUGCAUUCUCAACAUGCACAGAUUAGGGAGAAACUUGAGUACAAUCAUCGAUUGUCUCGAAAAGGAUAUGCUGGUUUGGAGGAUCAAUUGGAGGAAACCAUGCCUGGGGUAGAAAUUGAUCGAUCUACCUUAUGGAAGAGAGCUAGACAGGACAAACAUGGUAACAUCCCGGAUCCAAAGGUGGCAGAGAAAGCAAAAUUAAUUGUAAGCCUACUCACUCUGUUUUAAAUUUUUAUUAAACUGUGAAUAAUUCUUAUUACGUCUUAUGUUAUAUUUUGCGUCGUGUGAAUGAUAUUACCACGUCGAAAUUUUGUUAAAAACGUCGUUAAAGGUCUAAAUCAGGAAUCACUACUCUGUUUUCUGUAAUUAUAGCAUAAGAUGUCGGUGUUUCAUUUUCGCGUCGUUUGUAUUAAAUUACUACGUCGAAAUGUUUUAAAAAAGGUCGUUAAAGGUGUGAAUAUUGAAUCAUCCCUCUGUUAUCUGUAAAUAAAGCAUAAGACGUCGGUGGUUUAUUCAUUUCGUCGUUUUAAAAAACUAACCACGUCGGUAUAACUACCGUCGUGAUAAAUUAUAAUAACGUCGAUUUAUAUGUUAUUGCGUCGUGUGAAAUUAUAUAAUACGUCGUUUGUAUAUAAAUAACCGUCGUGUGUUUUUUGUUCUUACUUUUUUAUAUAUCUUUGUUUUAGGAUGAAUUGCAAAAACAAGUCUCGGAAGGCAAAGUCACUGUAUCUGGCAGCAAUGAUGUGCUGACCAUGGCUUUGGGCCCCGAGCAUCCAGGCAGAGUGAGAGGAGUAGGUGCUGGGAUUUCACCAAGGCAAUAUUUCAAUUUACCCAAACCACAGAUAGUGAGCUUUGACGACCGUUUAAAGGACAGUUUAAGAGUUCUCCUUCAAGAAGAGACUAAAAAGAUGGAAGCUAAGGCAAGGGAAGAGGCUUUAAGGAUGGAGGCUAGAACGAAACAAUUGGUAGAGGCUGAGAGGGAGCAUUUCCUGAGUCAGCUUUCUCAAUUAAUUCCCAAUUUUGAUCCAAGCAUGCUUAAACCCAGAAUUAGCCAAAGUCCCAAAAAUCCAAUGUCUGACAAAGCAAGCUGCUCUGGAGGUGAUGUGAGAUCCCUACAUUUUGAGGAUGAUACUGCCAAAAAUGGGAAACAUCAGGAAGAAAAGGUAACAUAUCUGAACUUUGAAUUCUCUGUUUUUUUAAAACCAUUAGACGUCGUAUUAUUAAUAAAACCGUCGUUUGAAAUACAUAUCACGACGAUUUUAAAAAUAAACCGUCGUUUGUAUUUCAAUACCACGUCGUAUUUAGUUUCCUUGUUUUACACGCCAUUAAACGUCGUUAUUUUUAAAACUUUGUGGUUUUUAGACGACGGAGUUAGUCAUUCCCGACGUAAUAGAUGAAGAGAAGAAAGAAGAAAAACAAGAUGAAAAGGAGAAAGAAGAUGACGACCAGGUAUGUUCACAUAACUUUGCCUUUUUUAUUUAUUUUUCAAAAUUCCAGACGUCGAUAUUUUUCUUUAAACCGUCGUUUGUUUACAACUUAGACGGCGGAAUUUUUUUCUAAGACGUAAUAAAUUAUUCACCACGACGGGUUUUUCACCGUCGUUUAAAUUCUUUUCAGACGACGUUUUAUUCCUUAAACCGUCGUUUUUAUUGAAUUACCACGUCAUUUUUUUUAAUUCUUUAAACAGAUUAUUAAAGUUGUUGAUUAUUCAAAUAUGGAGGCGCCAUCUUCUUUAAAAUCCCUUUGUCGUUAUGUGGAAACGACACUCGUGCCUCAGGAUAAGACCCUGCACUUUACAAUUGAUAAGGAGGUGUUUGGUCUAGAGCGCGAUACCUUCCUCCUGCCUGAAGAUAUUACACAAUUUGCAGGCAUGGAAGAAAUAGGAGCUACUGUCAUUGCUGUAUAUAUGAGGUUUGUCAUUCUAAAAUAAUACGUUGUUGGUUUAUUUAUUGCGUCGUCUUAACUAACUAACCACGUCGUUAGUAUGUACCGUCGUGAUAAAUAUAUUAUAACGUCGUUGUCUAUUUCAGUACGUCGUGUGAAAUUUUAUAAUACGUCGUUUUGUUAUACAUAACCGUCGUGUGUUUUUUUGUGCUAACUUGUUUAUAUUAUUUUAUAUAUUUAGGUACUUACACGAUGUUUUGAAACAAGCAAAUAUGUGCAGCAUGGUUGGCUUUAUCGACCCUGCUACAGUUAGUGCCAGCUCUGGCACAAUAGCUGACAGAUCACGACUAGUAGCAGCUCGACUUCAGAGGACUGACGGUGAACAGAUUUUCAUGAUGCCUUACAAUCCAGGGUUAGUCUCCUUAACAUGAUUUUGUUUUUAUGAUUUUCAAUAAAUGACAGCGUAUAAACUAACCACGUCGGUGUUUUAUUUUAUUGAGUCGUUUGAAACUACUAACCACGUCGGUAGUUAUUUAUCGUCGUGAUAAAUAUAUAAUGUCGUCGAUUGCUACUUUAUUUCGUCGUGUGAAAUAUUAUAAUACGUCGUUUUUGUAAAUAACCGUCGUUUUUAUAUUAAUUUUGUGCAGCCGUCAUUGGAUCUUGCUGAUUGUAAGAGCAAAGAGGGAAACCGUCUAUUUUCUGGAUCCUCUGCCAGGAAAUCGUGUGAUCGAUGAAGAGGCCAAAAACAUCGUGAACAGUGCUAUAAAACUUUAUAAUUCUCACAUAGCCAGAUCAGGCCGUAAGGCAGUAAUUUGGAAAACUCUGUCAGGCACACCAAAGUAACCCAGCAGUGUCGAAUGCGGGUAUUAUGUGAUGCGCUUCAUGAGGGACAUCAUCAUGGAUCCUUCCUUGGGGUUUAAGAAGAAGGUAAGAAGAAAUUACCUUCAUACAUUUUACGUCGUUUUUUGUAUUAUCAACGACGGUCAUGUAAAAUUACCGUCGUUGAAUAGAUAUAGUACGUCGGUUAUGAAAAAUAUCGUCGUCUGUGAUUGAAUUUCUUUUUAUUUAUAAACCCUAAUAGUCAUUGUUUAUGCAGUAUGCCAAGGGAAAACAGGAAGCGCCAUACCCCCAAGAAGCAAUUGAUGAAGUCUGGAAUGAAUGGGCAGAGUUUGUUUGCCUUCACCUGGAAUAGGGGAAUUAUUGAACACUUGAUAUUUAUGUAUAAUGUACAAAUUUUGUCUAUAAUAUAUAAUGUAAAAAUUUGUUGAGGUUUUCUUAAAUUUAAAAAAAAAAAAACAUACAAAUUGCGUAACCGACGUGUAAUACUUUUCCAACGACCUAAUAAAGUCAAAAACCGUCGUUUUUUGUUGUUUCGUUUUAAACAAAUUCGACGUAAAAGGAUAUUUAGACGACGUUCAUUGAACAAUUGAGUCGUUUAUGGUUUACAAAGUCUUCAAUUUCUUAAGGGUUCAGGGUAUUACUUUGUAACGACAGCGGUUAAGUCGUGGAAUAUAUAUUUUACGUCAGAUAGUUAAAUAUCUGCCAUGGUUUCUCAUUUAAACGACGUCAUUUUAACAACUUAGUCGUCUAUUAUAAUUUACAACGUCUACAAUUUAUUAACACCGACGUGGUUUGUUGUUGUGAUAAGAAUAUUUUAUUAUUUUUAUAUCAAAAUAUUCAAAAUAAAUUUAAAAUAAAUCAGAAAAAUACAAAGUCAACUCCUAUGAAGUCAUUGAUAUAUUUUCUUCCCCCUAAACCUUGAAAAAAUUCAUUUUGAAUAACAAAAAUUUAAAAUGACCAUCCAAAACAAAAUUAUUUUGAUGAGUCAUAAAAUCACUUCUAGUUUUAUGGUUUAGGGUUUAGAGUCUAGGGUUUAGAGAUUAGGGUUGUUAUUUAUUGGGGUUUAUUUUUAAAGUAUAAUUUUUGGGUAGUCUAGGGUAUAUAUUAGGCUGUAAAACCAUAAACCCUUUUAUAAACUUAAUUUUUAAAAUUAUAUAAUUUAGUUUUAAGGGUUUAGGGUAUUAAUUGUUAACGACGGUGGUUGAGUUGUGGAAUACAUAUGUUACGUCGUGCAGUAAAAUAUCCGACAUGGUUUCUACUUUAAACGACGUCAUUUUAAUAUGUAAGUCGUCUAUUAUAAUUUACAACGUUUUCAAUUUCUUAACUCCGACGUAGUUUUUCAGUCGUCUUUAUAUCAAAAUAUUCAAAAUUAAUUUAAAAUUAAUCCGAAAAAUGAAGCAUCAAAAUAAACGGUGUUACGUUCAGUGUUUCCGUCGUGGAAUAUUACAUUUACGUCGGUUCUUGUAGAACUUUCGCCAUGGUUUUUCUUUCGACGUUUUAAAGAGCGCGCGCUCUAAAAAUUUUCGCGCGCCCUAAAUUUUUUUAUAUUUGGCUCUUAUUCUUAUACUUCUAACCCUGAACCCUAAAAUUUUCAGAUUUCGCGCAACAUAACAUUUCGCUCUCUCACUUCUGCUCUAAUUAAAAGUUGCACUCUCCAGGCUCCGUCGAAUCUGUGAGCUCGUCCAACCUGUAAGUACAAACCCUAUCUUCCCCUUGUAAAUUCAUUGAAUGAUAUUAGGUUGUUUUGUUAAAGGGUUUUAGGUAUAUGCUUUGCGAUCUGUUAAUAAUGUGCUUAUAGGUAUGGGUUCAUGGAUUUUCUGUUUAAUGGGUUCAUGGAUUUUCUGUUUAAUGGGUUCAUGGAUUACAUUAUCUAUUAUGUUGAAUUGGGAAUGGAUUUAAUUUUGUCGGAUCUUUUAAUCACCCUAUGUUAUGUUGAAUUGGGUUCAUGUAUAUGUUGGUUUCUUGCUUGGUUUCAUAUAUAUGUUGUGUUCUUAAUGGGUUUUGGGUUCUUGAAAAUAAACUGAGUUUUGGGUUCUUGAAAAUAAACUGAGACACAACGCCUUUUUAGGCAUACGACGACGAUUACACGACGGUUUAUGAAAUUUUUCAUAAACCGUCGUUUGUAUUACUUAUAUUAGACGACGUCUGUUGAAAAUCCGGCGUCUAUAUAUGCCAAAUACGUCUGUUUUUGUUUAAAACCCGUCGUCUCUGUUGUGUAUUACUUGCUAUUAGAUCUUUGUAUAAUCUGCUAUAGUGAUGGUCAUUACCUGUAUUUUCACUUUAUUAUAGAUAAUAGGUUAUAGUGUCGGAGAUGGAUAAGUCAUGGAUGCACUCGGAUAGAAGAUCGAAGGCAUAUGAGUUUGGGGUGGAAGCAUUUUUGAACUUUGCUGUAGAAAAUCUUCUAACUACAACACAUAUCCGUUGUCCAUGUGUUAAAUGUGUUAAUUUAAAGUUAUUUGGGGUUGGAAUUAUAAGGGAUCACUUAUACUUUAAUGGAAUUGACCAAAGCUAUAAGAAUUGGACAUUUCACGGAGAACCUUGGGAAGCAACUACUAAUGCUAGUAGAAAUGUUGAAGAAGAUGAUGGCCAUACUAGGUACAGUUUUGUGUCUGAAGAAAUUGAUAUGGAUGAUAAUGAUUUUGGUGAUUUUGGUUCCGAUCCGUAUGAGUUUGCCAAUGUGAUUGGGGAUGGAGAUCAACCAGUGUACCCUGGUUGUAGAAAGUACAUGAAGUUAUCGGCAUUAGUAAAGUUGUAUAAUUUGAAGGCAAAACAUGGGAUGAGUGAUGUCUGUUUUACAGAAUUAUUGAUACUUCAAGGCGAUUUUCUUCCAGAAGGAAAUACAAUACCAACCUCUAUGUAUGAGGCUAAAAAGACUUUGUGUACAUUGGGGCUGAGUUAUGAGAAAAUGCACGCAUGCCCCAAUGAUUGCAUCUUGUAUAGGAAGGAGUAUGAGGAUUCAACUAAUUGUCCUACUUGUGGUAUCUCAAGGUGGAAGGAAGGCAAAGAUUCAAUCUUGAAAGAGGGUGUGCCAGCGAAGGUGGUGUGGUAUUUUCCUCCAAUUCCAAGGUUUAAAAGGAUAUUUCAAUCACAUGAGACAGCUAAGAGUUUGACAUGGCAUGCUGCUAGAAAAUCAAUUGACGGUCAGAUGUCUCAUCCGGCGGAUUCCCCGUCUUGGAAACUUCUUGAUGAUAAAUGGCCUGAGUUUGGUAAUGAGCCGAGAAACUUGAGAUUGGCUCUUUCAUCUGAUGGAUUCAAUCCCCACAGUUCUCUAAGUAGCAGAUAUAGUUGUUGGCCGGUUAUCUUAGUUACAUAUAAUCUCCCUCCAUGGCUGUGCAUGAAACGAAAGUUCAUGAUGUCAACCUUAUUGAUUUCCGGUCCUAAACAACCCGGAAAUGAUAUAGACGUCUACUUGGAGCCUUUGAUUGAUGAUUUAAAAUAUUUGUGAGAUGGGAUUAGAUGAGUGUAUGAUGCACAUAAUGGAGAAUACUUUACACUCAGAGCUGCAUUAAUGUGGACAAUUAAUGAUUUCCCCGCCUAUGGAAACUUAUCUGGUUGUGUUGUUAAAGGAUAUAAAGCUUGUCCAAUAUGCGGCGAUGAUACACCUAGUCACAGGUUGAAAAAUGGCCACAAAAUUUGUUACAUUGGGCAUAGAAAAUGGUAACCAAUCAAUCAUCCAUAUAGGAGGCAACAUGCAGCUUUUAAUGGGAAACCUGAAUAUGGCAUACCUCCCGAGCCAUUAACCAGAGAAGAAGUGCUGCAUAUGGUUGAAAAUGGUGACAGAGUUUGUUGGAAGAAGAAAUCAAUAUUCUUUGAUCUCGAGUAUUGGAAAUACCUUCCUGUGAGGCAUGCCCUAGAUGUUAUGCACAUUGAGAAGAAUGUUUGCGAUAGUAUUAUUGGUACAUUGCUGGAGAUCCCUGGAAAAAAUAAAGAUGGGAUUGCUGCUCGAUUAGAUUUAUUGAACAUGGGGGUCAAAACUGAUUUGCAACCCGAGUAUGGAGAAAGACGUACUCGUUUGCCUCCUGGGCCUUGGAAUUUGUCAAGAGCAGAGAAGAGAGAGGUUUGCAAUUCUUUCUAUGGUAUGAAGGUCCCUGAAGGUUAUUCUUCAAAUAUUAAAAAUCUUGUAUCUUUACAAGAUUCAAGACUUCUUGGCCUUAAAUCACAUGAUUGUCAUACCUUAAUGCAACAAUUGCUCCCUGUGGCAAUUCGUUUUGUUUUGGAGAAGCCUGCUAGGUAUGCAAUAACUCGUUUGUGCUUCUUCUUCAAUGCUAUAUGUGCAAAAACUGUUGAUGUUUUCAAGCUAGAUAAGUUGGAAGAAGAUGUAGUAAUUACUCUGUGUUUGCUUGAGAAGUACUUUCCCCCUUCAUUUUUUGAUAUCAUGGUUCAUCUAGUAGUACAUCUUGUCAGAGAAGUUCGUCUAUGUGGGCCAGUAUAUUUUAGGUGGAUGUAUCCGUUUGAAAGAUAUAUGAAAGUGCUGAUGGGGUAUGUUCAGAAUCGUACUCGUCCCGAAGGUUGCAUUGCUGAGCGGUAUAUAGCUGAAGAAGCGGUAGAGUUUUGUACUCAGCAUUUAUCUGAUGUUAGUACAGUUGGAGUGCCUUCAAGCCAAAAGAUGGGACUUUCAAAGCCAUUAUCAGGUUGCACAGUGAGCGUAGUUGAUCAGGACCUGUUGAAUCAAGCACAUCUAUAUGUCUUGGAGAAUACGGAGGAAGUCCUACCUUAUAUCGAGUACGUAUGAGUUUUAUUCUUUAAGUUUCCAUUUUAAAUUAUUUCUUAUGUUUAUCUUCUAUAUUUGGGACCGUAAUGCUUGAAUUUUUCGUGUCAUGUAGGCAACAUAUGAUCCACAUCAAGACUGCUUAUCCAAAAUUUAGAAAGAGAACAAAGUGGCUGCAGGAUAAGCACAAUAGCACUUUCAUUCAAUGGCUACGCUUCAAGGUAUAUGUUGUUGAAUAACAUAUUUCUCUUUUAAUUUUCUUCUUAUUUCUAUGUUAGAUUGAAUUAAGAUAUGAUUAAUUUGCAGGUUCAAAGUGAACUUGAGGAAGACAAUCAUGGCGUAUCAGAAAAUUUAAGGUGGCUAGCAGCUGGUCCAAACAUGGCAGUGCCAUUAUAUAGGAGCUAUCUUAUUAAAGGUAUUAAAUUCAAUAUCAAGGCACAAGAUGAUGUGCGGACAACUCAAAAUAGUGGAGUUUAUUUACUUGCACAUACCAUGCAAGUUGCUAGUGCCAAGGAUAAAAACCCAAUUCUCUCAAAUAUGGGUUUCUAUGGUGUCAUUCAAGAAAUUUGGGACCUUGACUACUAAAAGUUUACAAUCCCAGUCUUUAGGUGUGAUUGGAUAGAUAGUUCUGGUCUUGUAGUCGACGAACUUGGAUUUACCCUUGUAGAUUUGAGUAAAAUUGGACAUAGGAAUGACCAAUUUGUUUUGGCUUCUCAAGUCAAACAAAUAUUUUUUGUUGACGACCCGAUGCAUCGUGGUUGGUCGGUAGUGUUAUCAAUGCCUAAUAGAGAAUAUAAUGAUGUUAUUGGUGAUGAAGUCUUAGGUGAUGUGAUAAUUGAGUGUGAGCCAUUUACUAGAGGGAUGCCAAAUGUUGACACAUUUGAUGAACUGGUGGGUGAGUUAGGCGGUCAAAAUAUUCGAGAUGGGUGUGAAGAUAUAUGGAUUGAAUGAUGCUUAUGUAAUUGGCAGUGUAUGACAUUAAUUUUGUAAUAUAUUGUAAUGUGAUUUCUUCACUUUCUACGUUCAAAUAAAACACGACGUUAUUGUGAACCAGUUAUUCAGCAUAUUUACCGACGUCUUAAAGCAACGUAACAAUGAAGAACCACGACACUAUUGUGAAGCAAUUAUUCAGGAUAUCACGUCGGGGAAGGAUUAAGAACCGCAAUGUAAUUCAAAAUAACACGACUCCAAUCCCAUAAUACCGACGUCUAAAAAAUGAGAUAUAUAAUCUGAACGUUAAAAAAUACGACGUCAUCAUACAUUUUCCACGUCGCAAGUUCUUUUAUAAACGAAGAGGAACGAAAUGAAUUCCGACGGUAAUUCAUUAUAACCGCCGUCUAAUAUCAAUUAAACGACGUUAUUUGUAAUACGGCUCUCAUCAUAAUCAACGCUGUCUAUAUGUUCUGUAAUACGGCUCUCAUUUAUUUGGAACCGACGUUGUUUAGAAGUUCAACGUCGUCUAUAUUAAUAAGUGCGUCGUGAGUAAUGAAUACAUAUAAAUACAAUGUCGACUAUGUAAAUGCCACCGACGUUGUUUCGCAUUUCAACGUCAACUAUAUAAAUACAUACGUCGUACAUAAUGACACUGACAACUAUUUCCACGUCAUCUUUUUUAGAAAAAUCGAAGUGGAAAAUUUAUUUCACGACGGUUGUUUGUAAAUAAGAGACGUAGUAGAUUUCAAUAACGUCGUCUUCUCAUGUAUUUAAAGACGUCAUAUUUUUUCUUGUCGUGAAAAUUAUAUUUAACGGCGUAGUGUUUUAGUUGUCGUCGUUGUAUGUCUAUCUUGCGGCCUUGUUCUUUUAAUAUGUGUCAUAUUUUUCCUUUUUCACGACGGUGAUUUGUUUGAGUUGGUCGUCUAUUCUCAUCCUCGACUAUUUUUUAGAACUUUAGCAGACUAAACACGUCUGUUUUUAUUUUUUUUCGACGUUGUUUUAUUUAACAACGUCUAAUAUCUAUCGUCGUUGUUUGUUUCUGAAAAUAGGACGUAUAAAUUUUGUAAUACGACUCUCAUAUAUUUGUAACCGACGUUGUUUCGUUGUUCAACGUCUACUCUAUAAAUACAUACGUCGUAAAUAAUGACACUGACAACUAUUUCCACGUCAUCUUUUAUAGAAAAAUCGAAGUGGAAAAUUUAUUUUACGACGGCUGUUUUUAUAUAGGCGACGUAGUAGGUAUCAAUAACGUCGUCUUCUAAUGUAUUUAAAGACGUCAUAUUUUUUAUUGUCGUGAAAAUGAUAUUUAACGGCGUCUUAUUUUAAUUUUCGUCGUUGUAUGUCUAUCUUGCGGCCUUGUUCUGUUAAUAUGUGUCAUAUUUUUCCUUUUUAACGACGGUUUUUUUAGAGAGUUGGUCGUCUAUUCUCAUCCUCGACUGCUUUUUUAGAUCUUUUUGCAGUACAAAGACGUCGUUUUGUAUUUGUUGAUGACGUUGUAUAUUUUAACAACGACGGUGAUUUAGCGUCGUGGUUUAUGAGAGAAAAGAUGACGGUGGAUUCCACGACCAUUGAAAAAUCGAAUACACGACGGUGAUUUACCGUCUUCUUUUUGCUUUUUUGUAGUAGUGAAUUAAGUAUUCUAGGAGGAAAAUUUAGGGUGCUGCAGAUAUGAUUUCUGGUUCAACAGUUCUAUUGGGUGGGAGGGGCAUAAACAGUUGCAGGGUAUUUACCCUAAAUCUCACAGAGCCUUAAAAAUAGGCCGACGAUUGUGUUAAAUUACGAGCGUGCCACUAUUAGUAGUGUAAAACCCUAAUAGAUCUUAAUGAAUUAAAAUAACUUAUGCACCAAGAAACUUGACUUCCGAUCAAACAAUUGUGCUUGGAAUGGGGAACUAGUUCAAUAUGGAUUCUUUUCUAUGCUUCAAGACAAAUGAGGAUUUUACUAUUUCUCUUAUACAAAGCUAAGAGAUAAAAAAUAGAAACAAGUAAACAAUGUGUCAGAUCGAUCAUAUCUGGUAAUAACUAAGACUUCUACCACCUUUAAGUUGCCUCAGAGCCACUGGAAUGAGAGUAUUUUUGCUCACCACUUUAACCCAAGGUGUACUAUAACUACCCUUCUCAAUACUUGACACGUGUCUACGGGCAUAACCAUGGUUCCACAAAUACAAAACAAAGAGUUAACUAUGGUUAUGCACAUGGACACAUGUCAAGUGUUGAGAAGUAUGGUGAGGGUACACCUUGUGUUCAAGAGGUGAGAAAAAAUAUUUCCCAUUGGAAUAGCCUCAAAAUGUUAGGAAGAUCUUGUAACAAUCGAGCAGAAGCGCCACUAACAGGCAAUUCAAGAUUGUUUCCCCUUUUUUGAGACUUAUAUUUGAUCAUGCGUGAUUAUCAAUUAGGAGCAUCCGCAAUGGUUGUUCAAUAGUUCAAUAAAUUAAUUUUUUUUGGAAUAUAUUGAAUUGAAUUGAAAUGCAAUUUUACUUACAAUGGCACAGUUCAAUUGCAGUUCAAUUGCUUCAGAUCAAUAGUUUUAUCUACUUACACCUUUUUUUACAUACUUAAAUAAAAUAAAGGGAUAAAUUUAAGGCUUAAGUGCUACAAUGCCCCCUAGAACAUUGAUCAAUUCUCACUAAACCCCCUUAAAUUUAAAGUGACCCACUUUGCCCCAUUGACUGAUGUUUUGUGUCUCACUUUGCUCCUCACCGUCAAGUUUGUUAAAAAUGCUAACGUGGCACCAAUGGAACCCACUAUUUUGCUAAACUAAAUACCAUGUGUGAAAAAAAAUAUUAAAAAUUCCAAGUGUGAGCUCCAAAUCAUCCAAUCCGACGUCAUGAAUCUUCUCUCUAAUCCACGGCUUUACCUCUGGGAUCUCACUGUCAGGCAAGUUUUGGUGAGUAACAACAGGCUUCGUAAGAUUGAAAGUGGGAGAGGCUGGCAUUGUUGACAGAGAAGGAGCAAAUCUCUAGAAGCAAAUCCAUUGCCCAUAAUCAACAGUGGAAGUAUCAGACUCAUCACAUUCGGGAAUGGUAGCAGCUGGAAAAUGGAGUUGGCGACGGGUAGUGGCGGAUCCAGGAUUCAAAAGUCAUGUAGGUGAAACUUACGUUAAAAACUCGAAUGUAUGAGUGAAUUUUAUUCAUAAAAAUAAAAAGAUACACCUAGUCAGGGGGAUGUAAUGAACCUUAUCCUCAAAUAUGCAUAUCUAUACAUAAAUAAAAGCUUAACCAAAAAAAAAAAAAAAAGAAAUAAAUGCAAUGCAACACAAAAACUAAACGAUUUUAAUCUAAAACUGUACCUUACGAGGCUCAGAAAUCUUAAAUUCCUCAAUUAUCUCUUCAUUAUCGAUAUUAUUAACAAACUCUCUUUCAAUGUGGAGAAUCAUGCAAUCAGCAAGGAAUUCAUCAACUAUGGUGCUCCGAAGUCUAUUCUUAAUAAUUCUCAUACAUGAAAAAGAUCGUUCCGUUGUUGCUGUAGAAACAGGAAGAGUCAACACCAACUGAAUCAACCUAUAAAGCAAAUGGUAGUUUUCUGCCAAAGUUGUUUCCACCAAUUGUUGACAUAACUGAGGAAGAGUGGUAAGAUCCUUAAAGCAGGGAAGGCGAUGCAUAUCAUUUUGAAAAUACCUAAACUCAAUUUCCAAAGCUUUUAAGUCACUUGGACUGAAAUCAGCAUGAUAGAAUUUCUCAGCAAGUUUACAUAGAUGCCCAAUAUUGAAUGAUUUGAAGGAAUUACGAGGAUCCAAUGCUGAGCUAAGAAUAAGAAGUUCAACUGUUUGCUCUGGAAAUCUGUCAUUUAACUCCCUCAACAUGCAAUCUAUCACAUCAUUAAAUACAUCAUUGCGAUAGUAAUGUUCAACUGUAAUAAAAUCUUUUUGUUGACAAGAACGACGUGUGCCCAUCAUAUAACGAGAACUCAUAUCAGGAACAUCAAUACCAUGUUGUUCACAAAAUGAUACCACAUUCAUGAAUAAAUCAUCCCAGCCAUGUGCCCUCAUAUCUUGGAACUGUGGUUUUGUGUUUUCAACAAAGUUUAAAGCACUUACAAUAUCUUGAGUUUUUUCUGAAACACUUGACAGAGAAAGUUGGUCAAUCCCAUAAUUUUAUCCAUCAAAAGCAAUGCAAACACAAACUCAAAAGACAUCAUAGCAAUAUAGUUACUCUCUGCAUCACCAUGAAAUUGUUGGUUAGGUCCAUGUUCACUGAUUUCUUGAAGAAGUAUUUUAGUCUCUUUAAAUAAACUCAUUAAACUUGUAAUAGAGGCAAAGUGAGAUCCCCAAUGAGUGGCUCCAGCUCGUUUCAAACUAGGACCUUGAUUUAGUCCUCUACCUGUCUCAAGUUCCCCAGAAUCCAACAACUCUUUGAGUUCCGCUUUUCAAAUUAAAUUUAACUCAUUACGGCGCUUAGCAGAAGCACUAACAAAAUUCACAAUGUUAGUCAACAUUGAAAAAAAUCUCCAUACAACCUUCACAUCUUUAGCUGCACCAUUUAAUGCUAAUUGCAAGCGAUGAGCAAAACGAUGUACAUAAUAUGCAUAUGGACAAUCUUGAAGAAACAAUGCUUGUAAUCCAUUCCAUGAACCACGCAUAUUAUUAGCACAAUCAUACCCUUGGCCACACAUGUUUUUCACUAGAAUGCCGUUAUGAUCAAGCACUUUGCAUAUAUCUUGUUUAAGAGUCAAGGCAUUAGUGUCUACGACACUCACAAUAUCGAAAAAGCCUUCACGAAUAAAUCCAUCACAAUCAACAAAUCUUAGAAUAAUAGCCAUUUCUUCCUUACCUGAUUCAUCAAGUGAUUCAUCAACAAGAAUACAAUAUUUGUUCUUCCCAAGUUUGGUACAAAUUUUCUUCUUCACCUUGGUAGCAAAAAUAUGCAAGAUCUGUUUUUGUAUAUCAUGGGCAAUAUACUGAGCAUUAUGAGGAGCCUUAUCUAGAAUAACUUUCUCAACUUCUAUAUUCAUUCUUGCAAAUGACUUUAAGAUUUCAAUGAAAUUGCCUCGGUUAGAUGAGUCAACUGAUUCAUCGUGACCUCAAAAAGCCAAUGCUUAAUUUGCUAGAUACCGAAUGCCCUCUAUUGUGGUUGUAAGUCGCAACCGAUUGUCCAUCACUUGUUGCUUUGAUUGCUUAUCUACCACAUUUUCAAUAUGAAGAGAUGGAUUUUCUAAGCUAACCCACUUUUGCAUAGCAAGAUGAUGUGGAGAAUUUAGCUUGCCUACAUGACUUUGAAAUACACAUUGAUUACCACCAAUUCUCUUCCAAUUUUGAAAUCCAUGAAUAGUAAAGGUUGAAUGUGAAUGAUUCAUGUCAAAUAGGAAGCAAGGAAAACAAAAUGCCAAAUCUUUAGCAAUUGAAUACUCAAGCCAAGGGAAUUUACCAAACCACAAUUUAUUAAAUCAAUGUAAGUCUCACCCUUCUAAAUGGCUUGGAUAGUCUUCUAACUCCGGUUGACAAGGUCCUAAAAUAAUAUAGGCUUUUCGCACAUUAUCUUGUUUAUUCACCGAAUAUUGGCAUAUUUGACGACAUAAUCCCGGAUCAUGCUUAAGAUAAUUGAUAUUAAAAUCUUGACCACUAUCAACUUUUUGGGUCUCAACUCUUUCAACUUGAGGCUCGACAAUGGGAGAAGAGAGAAGAUUUGGCUCAUCACAAAUGGGAGGCAUUCUAGAAGAUGAUGACCCAUAAUUCUUUUUCUUAAAAAAAGAGAACAAAUUCUUUGUUUUCUUGGGGUUUCGAUUGUGAUCCGACAUAAUAAAAGAUAACCUAUUUAAUCAAACAUCCCAACAAAAAAUCAAACAAUUUCUCAUAAUAGCAUCAAUGAAUUUAAUCAAACAUUAACAUACCAACAACAAAUCAAACAUCUCAACAAUGCCAACAUCAAAUCAAACAUCUCAACAAAAUUCUUAAAAUCAAAGACCUAAUUAAUUUCAACAAAAUUCCCAAAUUAUAUUUAAUUCCUAAUUAAACCCUAGAAAACUCAAGGGAGCUUCACUAAUAUACCCAAAAUAGGGGCUGAAAUUAUAAAAAAAACCCCACAUGGAUUGCACUUUAGAAACACACCCAAAACUCAUUUACUACAUAAAAAAUUAGUGUUUAAGUUCUUAUAAAUUACAUGACUGCCAUUGAUCAAUUUAAAAAAGAAGACCAACACAAAAAACUUAAAUAGCACCCAAAACAAGCCCAACCCAAUUUUAUAAAAAAACCCAAACAAUUCAUUACAAACAAAAGGUCUUGAAAACCGUAGUUUCAUUAACGUGUCAUGUUAAUUAAUCAUUGUAAUGUUCUACACCUUUAUUGUCAUGUUGAUUAAUUGUUGUAAUGUUCCAGUUUAGGGUAAUAACACUGCUAUGUCAUGUUGAUUAAUGGUUAUAAUGUUCCAGUGUAGAGUAAUAACACUGCUAAUUUCCUAUAACAUCCUAUUUCUAAUGCAUGUUUACCCCUGUACUGUUCCAGUGUAGGGUAAUAACACUGCUAGUUUCCUAUGAUAUCCUAUUUCUAAUGCAUGUCUACCCAUGUAAUGUUUCAGUCUAAGGUAAUAACAUUGCUAGUUUAUUGUCAUGUUGAUUAAUGGCUGAUGUUCCAAUCUAGGGUAAUAAUAUUGCUAGUUUAUUGUCAUGCUGAUUAAUGGUUGUAAUGUUCUAGUUUAGGGUAAUAACAAUACUAGUUUCAUAUGACAUCCUAUCUCUAAUGCAUGUUUACUCUUGUAAUGUUCCAGUCUAGGGUAAUAACACUGCUCGUUUCCUAUGAUAUUCUAUUUCUAAUGCAUAUCUACCCCUAUAAUGUUCUAGUCUAGGGUAAUAGCACUGCUAUUUCCUAUGACAUCCUAUUUCUAAUGCAUGUUUACCCCUGUAAUGUUCUAGUCUAGGGUAAUAACACUGCUAGUUUACUGUCAUGUUGAUUAAUGUUUAUCAUGUUGCUAUUUCUAAUACAUGUCCACCAAAGAAAAGAUGAAGAAAGAACAAACCAGACCAACUCAAAACAAGCUGAGCCCAGAUUGUUAAUACUAUUAUGUCAUAGAAGUAUAUUGUUAAUACUCUGUCAUAGAAGUACAUUGUUAAUACCCUAUCACAGAAGUACAUUGUUAAACAAAAAUGAGAUUCAUAACUGAAAUAGUAACAAAAGUUGAAUCGAUCAUCAAAGCUUCAAAUACAUUUCGAAAAUCAACUAAAAUCCGAAGAGAAACACAUAAUUGAAGCAAAAGAUCAAAAAUCUCAAGUACAAACCAAACGACGACGACGGCGGCGACGACAAUAACAACGACAAUGAUGUGGCGAAAGAGGAGUAGAGCUCGAAGAUGAGGAGUAGAGCUAAAAGCAUCUGAUCGAGGUUUUUUCAAGGUCUUGAACAAUCCGAAAAAAAGAAAAAAUCAAUAGAAGCACGAUUUUAGAACAAGAAAUUGAAGGUGAAAUAUUGAAAAUUGUAGAUUAAAGAUGAAUAAUAUAGUUGGACCUGAGACUGAGCUUCAAUGGAAGCUCCUCUUGCUCCAACACCAGAGAAAACACCAGCGAGAAAGGAGAAAAUAAAUAUGAUUUGAUUUUUUGGCAGAUUUGGUUUUUUUGGCAGAUUUGGUUUUUUGGCAGACAUGGAAAUAUUUGGUUUUAUGGCAGAUCUGGGCAGAUCUGAUUUUCCUCUCUUAAAUCCAUAGUACAAGGACAAUAUAGGUAUUUAACACACACAAAUAAACUAAAAAACAACUAUUAAAUUAAAAAAAAUUGAUAGCUGUCAAUUUUUGGAUUUUUUUUGGGUGUGUUUAUAGUUUUUAAACGGUGUAGGGUUUCUUUAUAAAACCAUGUCUAACAUUGGGUAUAUAACUAAAUUUCUAAAAACUCAAUUUCAAAUUAAAAUUAAAACUAAGAUGCAUACAUUUAUUUUAGGAAUAACCCAAUAGAAGAAGAUAAUUAAAGAGAAGAGAUUAAGAAGAAUACUUGUUUCCUUGUAUAUGAGAAGAGAAGGGGCUGUCCACGAUUGCACAACUUGACUAUUGCACAACCAAGACUAUUGAGUUGAGAAGAAGCUACCGACUCUGUGUGGAAUUGCACAGCCACUAUUUGGUUGCUUAUAAGUUAUAUUCCCCCUUUUAUUAAAGUAUGAUUGGGCCAUUCCAUAACAUGGGCUGGUUAUAAUUUUUUUUUUUUUUUAAAAGUUUGAGUGGGCUUUAACACAUGUGGUGUGGGUUUUACAUGGGCUGGUUAGGCAAGGGUUUAUACCAUCACAUGUAGGGCUCGUUUGGUACACCGUAUUAGACUCUGGAUAGGAGUAAAUAGUCUAUGUCAUGUGUUUAGUGUCAACUUGUAUUAUUUAAUUAGCCGACUAUUUUAUACAGGUUAGGCUUUUAAUACUCUCCUUACCUGACUAACUAAUACAACCCACACACUCCGGUUUAGAUAAUACACGCUUAAUUAUACUGCUAGGGAAAAAGAACACGCCUUCUACGAAAAAAAUCAGACGCUCUUUUCAUCUUCUUCUCCCUAGGGUUGUUCUCUGCUAUCUUCUCCACAGGUUAUUUUCUUCACUCUUCUCCAGGUAUCCAUCUCUCACUCUCUCUCUUUUUCAUACUCUCUCCAAUAUGCUUUAUAUAUUUCAAAUUUUUAGUGGAAAUUAGGUUAUGAAUUUUUCUUUUUUGGCUUUUUUUUUAAUCGAAUGUUUUCUUUGUAUGUGAUAUAGUAAUUCGACAUUGUGGGAAUAUUUAGAUUGUUGGUAUUAAACAGAGUAUUGCCAGUUUUCGUCCAAAAACAAACAACUGUGCUAGUGUUGGUAGUUUAGUUGAAUACAUACAUACCUGACGACUAGGAGAGCAAAAUUACAAAAUUAAAAUUGUAUGAACCUGAAUUCUAAGAACCAUUUUUUUUCUUUGUCAAUUGCUAUUAGAAAAGCAAAGAUGGACUUGUCUAUUAAUGACCAAAUUAAGGCACUACAGCUAAUUUUGGAGAAAGCAAGUGAUGAAAAAAUAUUCCUGACAUUGGAUGGUGCUAUGAGAAAAGCAUUUGUUCUUCUCUUACUUGGGGCGAGGGAGUUGUGAUUCACUCUUUGAUGUAGUUUGGUUUAUGAACAAUUUUCUCUUUUGCUCUUAUCACCUUAAUAUGUGAUCACUUUGAAUUAUACAUUAUUUGGUACUGUUUUUAUUAACGUAUGCGAGUAUGUUGGUAUUUUUAUGAGAUACUACAAUUAUGAUAAUGGGUUAUAUGAAAAAAAAUCUUGGCAAAAACAAUUGAAAAACAAAUCUUGUCAUAUGAAUCUUACCCAAAAAAAAUUUGUGUCAUUUGAAUCUCAAUUUCCAUUAAAAUUAUCAAAGAUUUUUUAUUUAUUAUUAUUUAUAAAUAGUCUGAUAUGAGGUUAUCCGAAACAUCACCAAACAUAGUACAACUUAGUCAGAUUAUUUAUCCGGAACAACACCAAACGCCUUAUAAUAUUAUCGAUAAAUAGUCAGUACUCUCCGGAACAGAUUAAUACUAUCCGACAGAAAUUAGUCAGUACAGUCCGACGUACCAAACGAACCCAUAAUGGGUAGCAAUUACUUUGCUUAUAUAUAUAUAUAUAUAUAUAUAUAUUGAUGAAAUUUUUUUAGUUAGGCAGCUGCCUACCUCCUGGCUGUAGGACCACCACUGGUUGUCGCAGUGCUUGGGCAAAUUGAAGUUGCCCUGAGCUCGGAGCCCUGUGAAUAUCUUAGCAGCUAUGGCUCUCCUCCUCUUCUCUCUCCUCCGGUUGUUCUCUCUCUCCCUUCAGGACAACUUACUUCGCUUCACUGUCGCCGCAGACGUGGCUCCAUCCGACGUCAUUCCCUGAUCAAUUAUCUUCCCUCUCUUUUCUCUCUCAGUAUCAGGUGCUGUGCAAUUAAGUUUUUUAAAGUAUUAUUAAUUUUUUAAUAAUUAAAUUAAGUUGUUUAAAAGGCAAUUUUUAAUUUUUAAUUAUUUUUUUUUCACACAUGGCAUUUAGUUUAACAAAAUAGUGGGUCCCAUUGGUGCCACAUCAGCAUUUUUAUAGGAAUUUUUAACGGACUUGACAGUGAGGGGGCAAAGUGAGACAUAAAAUAUCGGUUAAGGGGGCAAAGUGAGUCACUUUAACUUUAAGGGGGUUUUAGUGAAAAUUGACCAAUGUUUCAAGGGGCACUGUAGCAAUUAAGCCUAAAUUUAAUAACACUAAAAUUUGUACCAUUGCAAUAUUCUCAAAGAGAUAUUUAAAAAGAGACCAAUAUUGAAAAAAAAAAUUUCUAUUGCAUUGAACUAUUGAACAACCAUUGCAGAUGCUCUUAACAACAUAAUGCAUUAAUUAUUGUAUUUUUUUCCUUUUUUUAUUGACAUGUGGGUCCAAUGGUUAGCCUAUUGCAAUCGCAAUAGAUGGUUCAUCACAUUACCCUUUCUUGCAAUUGCAUCUAUUACAAUGAACUAAAUCACACCAUUGCAAAUGAAAUUUUAGUGUUUUAGUUCAAUUUCAUACAAUAAAAUUGCAUUGAUUCUAACCAUUGCAGAUGCUCUAACAGGCAAUUCCUCUUUUAACGCCACUAACCUAGCCAAAUUCUCAUUACUUUAUAUCAAAAUAGUGAGCCCAAGCCAUCAAUUAGCCCAAUUCUUUUAUUAAUUUGCAUGGAUUGAAAAUAGGCCCAAAACACAGGGAUGUAACUGAAGCAAUUAAGAUUCUUGUACAAAAACUCAAAAUCAUAAGAGCAUGCUCUCAUGUUCGCAUGGUGUCCGAGUUUCUCCUCUUCUACUGCUGCACGUAAGAUACAGUGCAUACUUUAAAUUUCUUUUCAAAGGUCUAAUGGCUUACCCUCGCCUGUUACAGGUGAGGGUACAAUUCACCUCACUCCUUCCUUAUCAUCAUCCCGUGAGCUCUUGGUUCUCAAUAUUCACUGUAACUUGUUAUAUUUUGGUCAUUUAUUUGAUACACUUAAUGUGUUUGCUAUUUUCUAUUCUACUCAUUGUAUUUUCCAAGAUCUUAAGACUCACAAGACAAUUGGACAUGGUAAACGGAGAGGGGGGUUAUACUACUUGACUUUACCGAUUACAAUAGUUCGUGAUUGUGUUGCUAAUAAAGUUCAGAGUGGCAGUGUCAAAGACAAACAACAAAUUUGGCUGUGGCGUAGUCGCUUAGGAGACUCGUUAUUUGGUUAUCUUAAGCAUUUGUUUCCGUCAUUAUUUUGUUCUUGUAAUGAGUCUACCUUUCAAUGUGAGACUUGUGUAUUGGCCAAGAGCCAUUGUAUUGUUUUUCCUUUAAGUAAUAAUAAAGUUGCCAAGCCUUUUGAUUUAGAACAUUUUGAUGUAUGGGGUCCGGCUCAUGUUACUUUGAACGGAUUUCGUUGGUUCGUCACAUUUAUUGAUGAUUUUAUCUGAUUCACUUGGGUUUUCAUGCUCAAAAAUAAAAAUGAUGUUGCUUUCAUCCUUCCUGAAUUUUGUAAUAUGUUAUCUAUUCAGUUUCAGGCUCGGGUCCAAGUAUUCUGGACUGAUUAACGAGGGGUAAAUAUGUGAAUAAUACUUUGGCAUAUUUCUUUCGUGCUCACAGUAUCAUUCAUCAAACAACCACCCCUUUUACUAGGCCUCAUCAUUUGGCCCGCGGGCUCAUGGGCCGAUGGGGGCCCGCCCGGCCCACGGAAAAAAAGCCCGGCCUGGCCCGUUAUGGGCCGACACGGCCCACCCACAAAAGCCUUACCCGUUAGGCCCGCAUACGUAUAUAAUUAUAUAUAAAUAAGAGUUUAGGAUUAGGAUUAUGUCACUUAAAUCACAUAUAUAAUUUGUUUCAUUUCAUUUACUUUUCUUUACUCAUUCCUAGUUUAUAAUUGGAUGAUUAGCACGUUAAUUUGUGUCAAUUAUUAAUACAACAAUUAUAUAUAAAAAUAAGAUGAACAACAUAUCAUAUCACCAAAUAUAAUCAUAUCACGAAACAUAAUCGUACCACCAAAUAUAAUCAUGCUUUUCUUGAACACAUCACCAAACAUUUGCAUAUUUAUUCAUGCCAUCCUUUAAAAAUUAUCUUUAUGAUACUUAUUAUUUUUUAAAAUUAUUUCUUAAAACGUAUUACAGUCUAAUUAUGUAAUAACCUCAAAAAUAAUACUUGGUUUUAUUAUUUUUAUAGAAAAUCUUAUUAAGUUGUGUGACUUUAUUAGGUGUUUUAUGAAUUUGGUUUGAUGUGAAAAUAUUGGAAUUAAGUGAGUUUAAUCUCAAAUUUGGACUAAAAUGCCCUUAUGAUUAAGUUUAUGAUUUUUUUCGAAUGAAGUAGGCCCGUUUCGGCCUGGCCCUUUGGGCUUAGCCCGGCUCGACCCGAUGGGUUUUCUCAAGCCUGGCUCAUGGGUCAUGCUUGGGCUUUGAAUUUUUUUAAAAACCCGGCCCAGCUCGGCUCGAUAUUUUCUCUCUCCUCUUUAAAGCCUGGCCCGGCCCGGCCUAAGCCCAUUAAAUUUGGGUCAGACUAGCCCGACCCGGCCCAUUGACGAGCUUUACCUUAGACCCCUCAACAAAAUGGUGUGUCCGAAAGGAAGAACUGACAAUUGCUUGAAGUUGCUCGCUCACUUAUUUUGGAUAUGUCUAUUCCCCAUUAUGUUUGGGGACAUACUGUUAUGUCUGCUGCUUAUUUGAUCAACCGUACUACUAGUCGUGUUCAUGACUUUGACACUCUUGUUCAUGUGCUUGGUGACCAUGUGCUUCUUUCUUGUUUUCUGUUUUGUGUAGGGAAUUAAAUUGAAUCAAUCUAUCAUCAAUCUCCGUGGGAUCGACUUCGCACUUACAUAUGUUAUACUACCCAACGGUUCAUGCACUUGUGAGUAUCACAAGUUGAGAAUGCAGCUGAAUCAAUUUUGGCACAGCUGAAUCGACACAAGAAGUUUUUGGUGACGGGGAUCAAACCCGGGUCACCCACAUGACAUGCGGGAAUAUUUACCACUAUACUACAACGACUGGUUCUGUUGCCGGGACUUGAACCCGAGUCUUUCGGUUGACAGCCGAAUAUCCUGAAAGCCAAACUUUACAAUGUAAAACAAUGUUACCAAGAGGUGUGGUAACAAGUAGAAAAAGAGGCACACACAAAUGAUGCUACAAAUAGCCCAAAACGAAUUCUUUGAACCAGGCUUGGAGUGGGAAGGCCUGAGAUCUCAAUAUUGAUCUAAUAGGGCCCAAAUUUGGAUAUGUUGUAAUAGACACCUAUUGGAACAACUUUCAUGAAGAAUGUAUUCCUAUCCGAGCACAGCAACAUGCUGAUCCAAAGCCAAGAAUUUGACCUACGAAAUGAGAAAAAACAAUUUAUAUUCAAUAAUGAACUUUUAGCUCACAUUUAUUCCAACCAAGGUAAAAUUCUAUAAUAAAAAAAACACAAAAAGAAAGUAAAAGACUAUAAACUGUCAAUAACUAACAAAAAAUAUCGGUGAAUCACAUGAUAAAUCAUGUACAAAAAUGAACCCAACAAACUUCCCAAACUUAUCUUUUUUCUAGUCCUUGAGCAAAACAAAAGGAAAAUAAAGAGAAAAACAAGAAGUUAACUAGACCACUUUCGCAGGUAACUCGAUUGCAUUGAGCGUAUACAACAAGCAUUUAAACCUCUAGGCAUCCCUAAUAGGAGGAGUUGUGUCGCUUAAGGAUUUAACAGAUACAAUACCCACAAACGUUUUACUGACUCUUCAAAACAAAGUGGUUAGAAAACUAAUUAAAUUAUGUUAGUCCUUGAGCCAAAAAAAAAAAAAAAAAAAAACUCAAAAUAAUCUUUCUGAACAUUUUCAGAAGAGAAACGACUCAUGCACAUGACUCAAAAGUUUUAACAAUAAAAGUGUAGUAGUGUGAUAGCCAAAUGCAACUUAUUCCCGAAUUUCAAUUUUCACAUGAUUUCAAAAAUCAUACAAAGCACAAAUGCAACUUCAAAUCUCACCAAAAUUAUCUUCUCACCAAUGAAUCACUCAGAAAAGGGAAUGCAUCACUCAGUUAUAAACAUGAGAUUAGAGUUAAACCAUAAGGGACUUAACUCGCAAGAAAGAUGAAGAACUUGCAUUAAUAUGAUCUCAAGAAGGAUGUCAAACACUUAAAAGUAGGUGCAAUUCAACCAUUUGACCUUUAGGAUCAAUUUAGGACUUUAACAUAGGUUGAAAUGGGGCCAAGGUGUAAGGUGAGUGAGAAAUGAAAGGUAUGGAUAAUACAAAGCCCAAGGAACUCACAAUGUAAGAGCAUAAAACAAUGGUUUCCAAGACUUCGAAUCAUAAUGAUUAGAAUUUUUUUUUUAUAUGAUCAAUUAGAUCAUAAUUCCUUAUACCUCCAUUUAUAUUGAUUCACACUCAUUUCUUUUAAAUCAACUGAUUUUUAAAAGCACAACUUUUCUCUUUUCCUUCACCAAUUGGGUGAAUUUCUUUGUUUCUUUAUUUUUUUUUUAUUUUUUUUUUUAUAAAUGUAACACCCCUUCCCAAACUUAGCAUGAAAAACACAUCACAAUUAAAGCUCAUGAGUUCCCUGGAAAGGUAAAUACUUGUUUUUCAUACUAAGGCGAGAAAAAAUAACUGAUUAAAUGAAAGAAAAGGUUUACGUGUAAGCUCAAAAUGGUUAACAAUGGAAAAUCAUACUUAAGCAUGCAUAAGGUUAGCUUGGAAGGCACAAACGAUUCAAAGAGCGCCUUAAUAUCAUGUAAUCAAAUUGCAUAAGAAUGAAUGAUUUUUAAGUGCUCAACCAAAUCAACGAAUAAUGAGAUCAAACAAUUUUGAUGACAAGAAAAUAAGAAUAUGUGUAAAAACACUCAUGAAUUGCAGCACAAGCAGUGGCGGUUGUACACAGGGGGCAGGCUGGGCUGCUGCCCGGCCCAAAAUUUUCCAUAAAAACAAAUAGGUAAAUGUGUUAUCCAAGCCAAAAAAAAAAAAGAACAACUCUGUCUCUAACUAGUUGCCCAACCAGCCAUGGCCUACACUUACCAAUUGGUGGCUGGGCAAGAAUACCCACCACUUGCUCGAUGAAAUACCUCAGUGAAGAAGGCAUAGCAACACCUUCCUUGCGAUGAGUUUUCUGAUUUGCAGAGGCAGCACUAUGUGCCUGGCAAAGAAGACCAUGUCUCGGUGCCCUUAUAAACGAAACACACCGUUUUGUGAUUAGCCUCCUUUAGUGAAACGGUGGUUUAGUGUUCAACACUUGGCUGCCUCUUUUCAUUGUCGAUGGGUUUAGUGGGCUAGUUUUCGUUUUAUCGGUUUUAUGAGGUUUGGCUUCAUAAUAAUGGGUGAAUUAUUUAAAAACUUUAUCCUAUGGGCCAAUAUAAUAUAAUAGAAGAUUAUUUAACAAACAAAAAAACUAUUUUAACAGUAAAUAUAAUAAAUAUAUAGAAAUAUAUAUAUAUAUAUAUAUUUAACUAAUGUGUUAAUUCGAUAAUGCAAUGAUAAUUGAGAAAUUUAAGACUUCUUGUAUGGUAAAAUUUCAAAUUUAAAUAGUGUUAAUAUGUAUUGUAUUGCAUUGUAUUUACUUGUGAUUUUUAUUUUUAUUUUUAAAGCUUUUAUUUAUGUAUACAGAUGCAUUUGAAGUAAGGCUCAUUACAUUCCCAUGAGUAGAUGUAUCUUUUAGGGUUUAUUACUGAAUUCACUCGUAAUCUCAAGUUUAAUAUGUAAGUUUUGCCUAGCCAGUUUUCAAAUCUUGAAUCCGUCACUGAGCACAAGGCUCAAAAGCUCACAUUAUAUGGUUAUACAAGUUUAAUUUAUGCUUGAUAUACAAUUCCUUGGAUCAUGCAAGUCCUUUAAUUGGAAAAUUAUGAAGCAAAUGGCAAGUGCAUAGAAGGUUUCAAACAUAUUAUGCUAGAAUGAUGCCAUUAAGUGACAGUUUUUUAUUUUUAAAUUUUUUUUUAAAAAUCAAAAAUCAAAUUUUCAUUCAAGUCAUGCAAACAUUUAUCACAAUCUCAUCAUAUGUGUUCGGAAAGUGACUUAAAAAUGGGAAAAAAAGACUCAAAUAAAACAGAAAAAAAAAAAGAAGAAGCAAAAUACAAAAUACAAAAAAAUAAGAAAAACCAAAUUUACUUACUAAACUACCUUCCAAAGUUUAGAAAUGAACAUUGUCCUUAAUGUUUAAAAGUUAGGCACAAACAAUGUCAUAGCAACAAAUGAAAGGUACUAAAACAAAUAAAUAUCACAAAAUACAAUAAAUAAAAUACAAUAAAGUUUCAAAAAUAAAAUUAAAAAUUACCAAAAAAAAAAAAAAAAGAUCAAACGGUUAUGCAAAUUGAAACCCAAACCAUUUUGAAACCCAAUCCACUUUGAAGCCCAAACCACAGUGAAAUCCGAAGCCCACACAUUUUUUUUGAAAUUUUUUUUCUUUUAUUGUAAAUUACCAAAUUUAAAUUUUUUUUUUUAAGACGAAGCGUGAUUGGGAACGUGGGUCCCAACAUCUCAUCUCUUGGUAAGUCAUGCGCAAACAAAGCACGAGAGGCGUGUCAACACACAGAGGUGCCGCAGAUCCCUACCGAAAAUUACAAAUUUGCUGAACGCCUUCUUUCAGAAAGGUCACGUCGCGACAAAUUAUUGGGGGAUGGGUAGAAAGCCAAAAGGCUGUGGAGCUCGAGGAACAGGGGAAAAGUCAGAAAUAUGUAGAAUGGUGUUGUGGCUAGGGUUCGUCAAAAUGGACAUCUAGAAAAGGAAACGAGGGAAAAAUAAAAAAAUUCAUAACCACGCAGAAGAGAGAAAGAAAAGAAUAAAAGAGAGAUGGGAGAAAGAAAGAAAUAGAAAGCCGAAAUAAAAUGUCGUCUUCCUUCCCAUGUUCUCUAAAUCUCAACCUACCUCCGCCAACACAUACAUGGGGGUAAGGAGAAGCACCUGUGUGGAUGCCCUACUUUUCUCUCUAGAUCUCAACCUACCUCUGCCAACACAGACAUGGGGGCAAGAAGCGGCACCUGUGUGGGUGCCCUACUUUGCUUCCUCACGAGGACCAGUUACUGUAAACGACUCUUUAAUUACAUAUUGACAACGAUGUUUCGAUUGGAGUUACGAGGAGUUUGGUGAGUCCCAAGGAUUUGUGCGUGCUAGGAACAAGGGAUGACAACUGGGUAGGAGCGAUGCCUUGACAUUGAGCGUGCAAAGUGUGGCAUCUGUUGCAAGUGUGGGGCAUCGCCUCAUUGUGAAAUCCUAUGAGGUGCUGGUGCUAAAAGCUCAGUUGGUGGUAAAGCAGAAUUUGGUUGAAGAUUAUCAGAGUGUUAUAAGGAGAUUGAAAAGGUAUAGGGCAAAGUCGUUGGAAGAGACACGACACCAACUUGAAAUAUUGCAUGACGAGAAUAAAAAGCAAUCAAAGAUGGUAGAUUCUUACUCUAAAGACAUGCAAAGUAGCAGGAGGCCCUAGAGUGAACGGGUAAAUGCAAGCACGGAGAUCACGAAACAAGUUUUGCUCAAACUAAGAGAGUGAUCUUUAGGAGCUUAAGUGAUGAGCCCCAAGAAGCAGUGUGUGAAACCUGAGAGAUGAGAUCCAAAGGGCCAAACAAAUGUCUCCUAUUGUGGAAUCGGGAAGCACUCCAUGAUAUUUGAUAAGACCCGACUCGAAUUCUAUCUUGGAAUCCGUGAUGAACCCUGUGGUUUUUUCGACAUCUAACCAAUGCCGGGCCCACUUACUAAAAUAGUCCCCUUCUUUGCUACCAAGGAAAAAAGGGCUGAGACUUCUAUCGAAAUUUCGAUAAAGUCACACUUGAAAAAAAGAAGAAAAAAAGAAGAAGGUAUUUUUGCAAAUUUUCCACUUGCGAAAAACAACAGAAAAAAGUUCUCAACUACCAGCACACACAAUGCUAAAGGCGCACAGAUUAUAGAAUAGGCCUUCGGCCUUAAAUUCAACCCUACAUGGUCAAUAAUACAACAAAUCUAAGAAAUCUUUAGUUUUACAACCAAAGCAUAAGUUCCAAAGGAAAUUAAACAAGUAAAAGUUCCCUACAACAGUUUGAGGCAUGAGAGUAAGAAGUCUUGGCUCGGUUGCACGGAUCAAGUCAAGCUACUGCCUUAGGGCGCAAAACAGAAAUUGUGAGUGGACAAAAAUAAAGUUUUAACAUACUUUUAAACAAACAUACUAACCCCACCGUUUUGGAAAACGAUGCCAAAACAUGCAGAAAAACCAUUUAUAUAACAUAAUUGACUUUUAAAACCAAGGUAUCCCAUAAUCCCGAUGUAGCAUAUAACACAAACUCAAACUAGACUUUUUUCCCUUCCUAGACCACUCUCUUCUAAGACACAUGCCUUUAAGCACAACAAAGCGAGGAAGGAUCCUCACAAAUAAAUAAGAGAAUAUAUAUAUGUAGGUAUAACCACUACACCAAUACUAGUACAUGGGAAACAAUCCAACACGAGGAUUGUUUGACUAGACCACAUGUAGAAAUCCUCAAUACACAUUUGGCUAGGGAAGAGCAGUCCAACAGGGACUAUUGCUCACCACACAUGCACAGCAGAAUCCUCAAUACUCUGUCUAACACACGUUGACUGCCCCACAAGGGCCUACGAUAACACCCUGUCAAGGGUGCCCGGGUUCCAACAUAUCCAAGUAUCCAUCGUUUCCAAGUAUCCAAGUACCAGGGAGGUACAUAGGGUGGUGCUAAUAGCACUCCAAUAUAACAUAUUCCACAUCCCAACAUAUAUAUCAUAACCAUAUCCCAAAUUCCAAAUAUUCCAAAGUACCCAAUCCCAUAUACAUAGACAGACAUUAAUAGAGUCCAUAACUCAAUACCCAAAUAUUUAAUCGUAGUAUAGAUAUCAGACUCUCAAAAGCAUAUAUUCCAUAACCGAAAAUAUUCACAAACUUCAAAUAUCAAUAUAACAUCUGAUAACCAUUAGAUAUUAGGGAAAUAGCCCUAAAUGACACCCAUUUCAUAAUUUUAAUUAAAAAUACCAUCCCUUCCCAAUUUUUGUACAACUAUCACCUAUAAAUAUAAAAUUAUUGUCCACUUUCUCUUUGGUUCACAAGUUCAGAAAUUUUGGAGAGAAGAAGCUCACACAGCUCUCUCUCUCUCUCUCUCUCUCUCUCUGUGGCACAGCUCUCUUUCUCUUUGGUAUCUGUCUAUCACAGCUCUCUGUGUCUCUCUUGGGCUCUCUCUAUCUUGGUCUCUCUAUCUUGGCUCUCUCGCUCUUGGCUCUCUCGCUCUUGGCUCUCUCUCUCUUGGCUCUCUCUCUCUCUCUCUCUAGGCUCUCUCUCUCUCUCUCUAGCACAACUCUCUGUCUCUCUCUUUGCUCUGUUUCUCAUAGCGCAGCUGUCUCUCUCUAUCUUCGUUAUGUCCCUUUCUCCCCUAUUCGAUCUCUUGCUCUCUGUUUGGAAUCGCGAACCCCUCCCUUUAGCUAUGUCUUCUGAAUAGCUGCUUGCAACCUUGAAGCUCUAGUGGAUUGCCGACCUCGAAAAGGUAGUGUUGAUGGUUAUUUUCUUAAUAUCAGUAUUAUGUGAAAUGGGUUAUAGUUUGAUUGUUUGGGUUUGUGUUAAAUUCGUUUUGGCUUUAAUUUAUUUGGGUUAGGUUUUGUUGAAUAUUCAUGCUCAUUCAUCUGGGUUUGUACCAAUUGCAUUUAGAUUGGUCUGGAUAUGUGAAUCUUGAAACUUGGGAUUUUCUAUUUGAUGUAGUAGAUCUGUAUAGUGUGAUUCUGUUGUGUUCCUCUUAUUUUACAGUCGUAUUGCUGUUAUAUUGCCAUUAUAUUGCCUAUAUAUUGCUGUUAUAUUGUGGUUAUAUUGCUAUUGUAUUGUAUGAUUAUUGUGGUUAUAUUGUGUGAAUGAAAUGUUGUUUUGUCAUGGUCAGAAAUGGAGACAAUUGUUAUUCUCGUGUGCUAUAAUGGAAAAUGGGUCACCUCGAAGAAGAUGUGCAAAUACGAAGGGGGUGACUCAAAAGGCUUAAUAGUUCCACGUACCAUCAAAUUUGCUGAACUGUUGGACCGUGUGCAUCAGAUUGGUAAUAAAAACAGCAGGGAAGACAAGGUUUGCUUAAAAUUCUCAGUUUUGGUGGCCUCGAAUGAGUGGAAGCACAUAAAGAUUGAGGAAGAUGAUGAUGUCAAUUUUUUUAUGAAGUACAAUUCCGAGGUAACACCUUCAAAACUAGCUCCCUUACUCGUGAGUAUAGAAGAUAAAGGACUGACAAAUGAUGUAGUUCAUAGUAUGCAUAUCACGAAAGAUAGUAGUCGGAUGGGUCAUUCUUCAGUUGCCAUUGUUGAAAGCAAUGAAGUAACUUGGAAUAAUACAAAUGUCACUGAUUUGGGAGGUGAAGUAGGGACAGAUUUUAUGGAUAUGAUUGAUUUUAGCGAGGUGGAGGAGAUGCAUGGUGGUGAUAAUGGUACUGAAAGAAAUGAAGUGUCAGUGUACUCUGCCCCUCCUAAUUUGGGGUGCUUGAACACAGCUGCCCAGUUGCCAAAAAUGCGUUUAGGAGGAGAAUCUGAACCCACUUGUCAACAUUAUUGGAGUCAAAUGGGUGAACAAAAUCGAUAUAAUACAGUCGGUGUAAAUGAUGAAGAAGCAUAUUUGGACAGCGGGUUUUCACGAAGCGAUUGGAAUCCGAAAAUUACAGUUGGGCAAAUUUUCUCUAGUAAGAAAGCAUUGUUGACGGAGUUACGGUUGACGGCAUUAAGAGGCCACUUUGAAUUUAAGGUGCAAUUCUCUUGCACUAAGAGGUUGCUUGUGGUUUGUUGUCAACGUCCAUGCCCAUGGCGGGUCCGAGCAUCGAGAAUUGGAGAAUACAGCUUCAUGAUUGUGAGGUGUACAACUGUCCAUGAAUGUGAUUUGAGGUUCGUAAGUGACAAGCAUCGUCAAGCAACCGCAGCACUUGUAGCCACUUCACUUAAAAGUAAGUUGAAGGAUUGUCGGACAAUAUACACACCAAGUGACAUUAUGAAAGAUGUGAAACACAACUUUGGUUGCACCAUCCAUUAUUCGAAAGCUUGGAAAGCAAGGGAGUUAGCUCUAUUGUCCAUUAGAGGAUCAGCGGAGGAGGCAUAUUAUAUCCUUCCAGCUUAUUGCUAUGAAUUGGAGCGUAUGAAUCCCGGCACAAAAACACACAUCCGAACUGAUGAGAACAAUCACUUUGUGUAUUUAUUUAUGGCGGUUGGCGCAUGUAUUAGAGGGUUCCGUUCUUCCAUGCGCCCAGUGAUAGCCGUGGAUGCCACUCAUUUAAAAUCCAAGUACAAGGGUGUUAUGUUUGUAGCAAAUGCAUUCGAUGGUAAUCGAAAUAUAUAUCCUCUUGCUUUUGGGAUCGGGGAUUUGGAGACGGAUGCAUCAUGGCAUUGGUUUUUCACUAAACUUCAUGAAGCCAUUGGUGAGUGUCCCAAUCUUGUUAUUAUUUCUGAUCGCAAUGUUAGCAUAGAGAAUGUGUGGAACAAAAUUUUUCCAACUGCACAACAUGGCAUAUGCUUUUAUCAUAUGAAGGGGAACAUGAAACGCACUUGCAAGUUGAAAAAGCGUGAUCACAUACUUAUGCACUUUGAGAAGGCUGCGAAAUCUUAUUCCAUUGCUGAAUUUGAUUGUCAUUUUCGCAAGAUAAAGCGAAAGGAACAUGUUGCUCAAUAUCUUGAAGACGCAGGGUUACAUAAGUGGUCUAGAGCUCACAUGGAUGGACGCCGCUACAAUGUAAUGACAACAAAUAUUGCGGAGUCAAUCAACUCAGUCCUUAGGUUUACAAGAAUGCUGCCAGUGGUUCAUUUGAUAGGGGAAAUUGUUAAUCUCCUUGUGAAAUGGUUCACCGAACGUCGUGAGUUGGCUUUGAAUUGCACAACAACAUUGUGCCCCAAUUUUGGAGAGAAGAAGUUGAGGAACAGGUUGGAGGAUGUGGCAAGGAUGAAUGUGGUUAAAGUUAAUAAUGCACAGUAUAAUGUUUUGGACGGUGAUAUGGACGACCUCGUAGAUUUGAUGAACAACAGUUGUAGUUGUAGAAAGUUUCAGCUUGAGCAGCUACCUUGCAAGCAUGUAGUUGCAGUUUGCCCGCUUCUUGAAAGUAAGUGUAUACGCAAAGGCUUCUCGGUAUUACACUCGGAAAACCUGGAUGGAUGCUUAUUCGGAUAGCAUCUACCCGGUACACCCUCACGAAUGUGGGAUACUCCUGAAGAUGUUCAAAUCCAAGUGUGCUGCCUCCCAUGGCAAGGGUCAUGUCAGGCAGACGAAAGAAGUUAAGAUUUCCCUCGCAAGGAGAGGGCCACCAUUUGCUCCGUUUACCAGACGUCAAAGGCUUCUCGGUAUUACACUCGGAAAACCUGGAUGGAUGCUUAUUCGGAUAGCAUCUACCCGGUACAACCUCACGGAAUGUGGGAUACUCCUGAAGAUGUUCGAAGUCGAGUUGUGCUGCCUCCCAUGGCAAGGGUCAUGUCAGGCAGACGAAAGAAGUUAAGAAUUCCCUCGCAAGGAGAGGGCACCAUUAGAAGAAAAUGCUCAAGGUGCGGUUCCGCAGGGCACAAUAAAAGCACCUGUAAAAACAAUAUUCCAUUGCGCAAUGUAUCUUAGACAAUAUGAUUUGUGUUGCUUUAGUAGGUCAUGUAAACUCUACUUUUAUUUGUGGUGGGUUUCGUGUUAUGUUGAAUGGGAAUUCUUUUAAAUUUGCAUUAUUUGGGUUGCAUUGCUACAGCAUGCUGUAUUGCUGACAGAUUGCUAUUAUAUUGACCUUUUAUUGUACUGGUAUUGCUUCCAGAUUGCUAUUAUAAUUUGAGUGCGAAAUUAAAGGGACUGGAAUGUAAUUCCAAAUGGAUCCAAAACAUUAAAGUGCUUAGAAUUUCUAUAUUACACAGUUACUGUGAUACUCCGACUAUACCUUCUUUUUUUAUUACAAAUUCGGCCGAUGCAUAGGCCAGAUGUAGGGCAAAUACAAGGUGAAAUGUCCUGUGUGUUUGACUACAUAUACUUGUUGAAGGAGCAUUACGAAUGUCAACCUCAAUAGAUUGCUCAUGUCUUGCCAAGAACACUCUUGAAUUUAUGCAAUGUGCCCAAGCCAGUCCCAAAGCUGGACUCACCCGUCUCCCAUCUGCCUGAUGUGUCCAGGGACUCCAAGUUUCCCAACCUCACCCUAUUCACUCCAUCAUGUGGCCCAAUAAAAUCCACCACUUGGUUGGUGACAACCACCGCCAACCCAAACUUAUUUGCUAAACCCUUCAAUGUCCCAGAUAUGUUGAAGAACAUUUCAGACCGCCGUUUCAAAUCUGCCGGUGUUGUCUGAUACUGUGAUCGGAACAAUGCAGCAAUGGAAUCAAUGACAAUGAGUUUCACAGGUAGGCGGGUGUGAUCAAUGGCAAUAAAUGCUUCUAUGUCUCCAAGGACAUGGAUGAGUUCUUGAGCAUCAUGAACACCAUGAACAUAUAUGUCUUCCAAUGGCUCCAACCUUAUUAAGUUGGGGUAUGAUGCAUGAUAAAGGUUGCCUAGUUGUUGCAAUCGACGAAAUGGGAAGCUGAAUUCUGUGAAUAUGUAGACGGAGGAGCCCCCUAGUCCGCCAUGUGAGGGUGGGAGCUGAGCUCGUACUGUAAGUUGGAGACAAAGCUGCGUCUUCCCAGAACCACUCUCCCCUACUAUUUCUGUUAUGGAGUUGCAGGGUAUCCCACCCCCCAAGCAGUGAUCUAGUAUUAGGCAUCCAAUGGAUAAUUUAGGGGUUGAAAGAGGAAGGAGCAUGAGGUUUUGGGGUGUCAUGUUUGUGUAAUUUAGGGGGGGAUGUGAUCGUGCUACAAGGCAUGCAUUAUAUAUAUAUAUAUAUAGAGUUCAUUUUGAAGGUCUGUACUGUAGGCCAUCUGUCUUUUAAGGGAUGUAUAAUUCAUCCUUUUUCCAGGUUGUAAUUACUUUUUUGUUUAUUUAUUAGUAUUUUUUUGGACCAUAUAAUUUAAAACAUAUUCUGAUGCAGUACGUCCUGUAAUAGGAUCAUAUUGUAACUCUAUCACCACUCUAUUGUAUUGAUAUUGACAUAAUAUUGCCACUAUCCGCAUGUUUAUUGCAUAUUUAUUGAUGCUAUAUCGCCACAGAACUGGAGACCGAUAAACUGUAUACGCACAAAUACAAAAUGAGGCUUCAUCAUUCCAUAAAAUCCUAUUGCCAAACUUACAUAAUACAACAACAGGCCACCCCAUCGUUACAUAAUACAAAAAUACGCCACCUCAUAGUUCCAUUUCCCUACAAAAUGAGGCUUCAUCAUUCCAUAAAAUCCUAUUUCCAAACUUACAUAAUACAACAACAGGCCACCCCAUCGUUACAUAAUACAAAAAUACGCCACCUCAUAGUUCCAUUUCCCUGCUGUUGACAAAUUCGAAGUUGCAUACUCUUCAAGUGCGGUGACCGCGACCCAUGAAAUUCAUGACCCCGGCCACAGUGAUGUUGGCCCAGUUUCCUGCCGGAUCCAUAAUUUUUGCAAAUUUACGAAAUAGUUCGAAUCCCCUUUCCACUUGUUCUUGCUUCAACUUGGCCAUUGCUUCUGAUUCCUUGAAUACCAUAAUUGCAGUGGCAGGGGCAAUUUCAAUUUUUUCUUUCAUUCUCUUUAUAUGUAGGAGAUGCAUGCGCGCAUGAUAACGAGAGCGAAUUGUGCGGUUUUUUUAUGACACCCCAUCUAGCUUGGCCCUCCACAAUUUUUGAAACUAUGUCUGCAUGAAGAUUUUUCCAAAACAUGGUAUUGCCUCGACAUUGCUGUAUGCCAUGGACCAAGUCUGCAGGGAGUGAAUUCGGUGACUUGGCUUCUGUUUCAGUCCCUCCUUCAGUAAUUGAAAGCGUUGGGUUUGGUGUGAGGUUAUGGUCCAUGGUCUUUGAUAUUUAUUGUUGGCUGGUCUACAACUUAAUUGGAACAACAGGGGACUAAAUGCGAUUUGAGUGAAAUCAGUGGGGAAGGUAAUGGCUGUAAGCAGCAGUUAAUGUGAUGGAAGUUUUCUGAGGCAAACAGCUGGGUUGAUUAAUAUAGGCAGGUUUUAAUGACCAAACCAGUAAGUCAGAGAGUUAUUGGCGGGAGGGAUUAGGGGGAGUAAUUAGCGGGAGGGAUUGGCGGGAGUGUUAGGCGGGAUAGUACUGGGCGGGAUAGUAUGGGCGGGAGUUAUUACCCAGGUUGACUUUAUGCCUUUUUGUAAUAUAUUUGUAUGUUGGACGUUCCCAACUUGGUCAUUUUCCCAUUAUGUAUUUGAAAUAAGGGAGUUGCCUAUUUGCCUAAUUCACCAACUCAUUCGAAUUGACCAAUAAUGGUUAUUGUCUUAUUUCUCAUUUCAGCAAUCUCAAUUCGUUUCCAUUUUGCCAUUUUUCAUAUUUUCCUAUUUUCCAUGUGUCAUCCAAUUUUUCAAUUUUUCAUUAUUUUUUCCUAUUCCCUAUUUUCCUAUUGUGCAAUUUCCUAAGUUUCCUUUUGUUCUAUUUCCAGUUUUCCAAUUUUUCAAUGUUCCCAUUUCCCCCCAUUAUGUACUUAAAAAAAGUUGCCUACUUUGCCUAAUUCAGACAGUAAUUAAAAUUGUCCAAUAUGGUAAUUGUCUUAUUUCCCAUUUCCACAAUUUCAAUUCGUUUCCAGUUUUCUGAUUUUCCAUGUAUCCCUGUUUCCUAUUUCCAUUUUUCAAAAUUUAAGUUUUUGUCAAAUUAUCCAAUGUUUUUAUUUCCAAUUCGACUAUUUUCUAAGUUUCCUUUUUUUCCAUUUUCAAAUUUUUCAUUUUGGUAACUGUCCUUUUGUUCAAUUUCCAAUUUUGCUAUUUUCCAAGUUGCCUUAUUUCCUAUUUUUCAUUUAUCCAGUUAUCCAAUAUUCCAUUUUUUCAAUUUUCCAAUUUUCAAUGUCCCAAUUAGCUUAUUUGCCUAUUUUCCAAGUGUCCUUUUUUCUUAUUUACUAUUUCGAAUUUUCGACUUUUCAUGUUUUCAGAGUUUCCUUUAUUUCCUAUUUCCUAUUUUCCUAUUUUCCUAUUUUCCUAUUUUCCUAUUUUCCUAUUUUCCAAGUUUCCUUUUGUCCAAUUUCAAAUUUUCCAAUUUUCCAAGUUGCUUUCUUUUCCAAUUUACAAUUUCCAAAUUUCCUAUUUUCCAAGUGUCCUUUUUUCCUUUUUCCAAUUUUCCUAUUUUCCAACUGUCAUUUGAUCAUAUUGCCUACUUUCCUGUUUCCAAUUUUUCCUUAUUUCCUUUUUCCAAUUUUCCAAUUUUCCAACUUUCCAUUUUUUCAUAUUUCCGAUUUUCCAAUUUUCCAUUUCUUCAAUUUCCAAUUUUCCAAGUUUCCUUAUUUCCCAUAUCCAAGUUUUAAGUUUUCACUUUUCCAAAUUUCCAAUUUUCGUGUUUUGCUAUUUUGUGUUCUGAAAUUCGCAAUAAAUGCUUACUUACAUAGUCCUAUUUUGGGUUCCAAUCCACAAUUUCCUAUUUCCCAUUCAGGUUUGGUUUUUUGUCGUUUGGAAGCCAAUUUUAUUGUUGUUAAUGUCAUGUUGUACUGCUGUAACUUACAGCCAAGGAGUUAAUGGUGUAGUUUGCAAUCCCAUCAAUUGAAUGCACCAACACAAUACCCAAUUUACUUCAUAUCAGUUCGUACAUAUAACUGAACCUUCCUAUAUAGAACUGCAACAGAGGCACCUUCUUAACGGGAAAGGUAAUUAGUCUUACUGAAAGGCAAAUAUUCUCCACUCAAGCUAACCAUAUAGUCGUUUACAACUGGAGACUGAAUGUACCUAUAUUUGUUUUGUUGCAGGCAACAGCUGUGAAUUGUCCCCAGUAAUACUUGAACAUGUCGGAUGUACGCCCUCCUAACGAGCAUGUGAGUUACCCGGGGGACCAGCCGUGGCAUGUGCCAUUCCCAUCUCCACCUCGGACUCCCAAUCAUGAUCCCACUUCAUCUGGAAGUGAAGCUGAGAGUCAUGAUCCGCUUGACAAAAUCUCUGCCGUCAAGCACCACCUCCAAUAUAUGUCAAAGGCAACGGAUUGGUGGGAGAGUAAGUGCGAUAUUCAUGGCCAAGUUAUGGGAAACUUGGCCAACAAGUUGAACAAUGCAUACGCUGGAGAGGUGAAGCAAGCUCUUAAAGCAAAAAGUCGGAGCAAAGAGUUAGAGUCCUUGAAGUUGAAAUUGGAAGACAGAAAGAAAAAUGCCCUCGAAACAUUCACACAAUCUGAAGAAUAUAACCAUGAAAUGGUUGAAUGUUUCAACAACGGCUUGAAAUGUUGCUAGAUUAUGCUUCGGUCAUCUCACCAGACCACAAUUGGAGUGAAAUUGAUGUAGCUGGUGUCUGGCAGGUACUUAAUAUGGGUUCUGAUGGAAUGGCUCAUCAUAGCCUCGUGCAUGCAGCGAGAAGAAAGGACAAAGACAUGGAUCUUUUGAUGGACCUGUAGUAACGGCGAAUGCUACUUCAAUUCAUCUCACCCGAGUACAUGGAUCUUUUGUUGCCUUCAUUUUCCCUUCGCGGGAUAGAUAGUAUUGUUAAGGUUCGAUGGCGAUUUCUUUGGCAUGUGUGAAAUGUUGUCUGUAAUGUGUAUGUAUUGUAUGUAUAUUGCCUUAAUAUUGCCUUCCUAUUGUGCUUAUAUUGCCCUAAUAUUGCCUUCGUAUUGUAUAUUUAUUGUGGCCAUAUUGCGACAUUCUAUGUAAUGAUAAAAUUCCUAUCGUAUUGCCCUUAUAUUACUAUUCCCUUCUAUUAAGUUCAUCUUGUUUCAUCUGGGACUGGUUGUGAUUAGAAUCUUCAUCAUGAAGAUGAUGAUGAGCCUGAGCUUGAGCCUUUGGAAUAUUAUGAGCACUGGAAAAUAAAUCCACAGGCUCAGAAUCAGCAAUUUUGCCUCCUUCAAGAGGCGUCCCAUGCUUGUAUGCAACCCUAGCCUUCUCCCACGGGCUCAAAAUAAAUUGACUGUUAACAAUCAUUCAGAAGAAUGGUAGAAAUAAGCUCCAUUGUGCCAAUCCACGAAGUUCAACAAAUAAAUUGUGUUCGAUACACAGAUGACAUGUAAAACUAACAUUAGCAUUCUCCAAUAAGAAGACUUCUCUUCUUUCCCACCCCUCGUGGAUUGAGAAAGAAAGAAGAGGGACAAAACACACACUACCAAGUUAAGGUGACAUUACAAACCUACAAAAUAUCCUCAUCAAACUUAUAAUGCUCCUUUUUUUCUUCUUUAAAGCAAAACUUCAUUCAAACUGAGAAAACCACGUGCUUUCGAUAAUCACUCCGGAAUUAUUUGCUCAUUAUCUGCAUCGCCUUCUGUCUCAACUUGAGGCUUCGAAGCAGCUUUGGCACCAGGAGGCUGCUUCUUCUUGAUCCCACUCACAAUGUCAUCGAUUCUGAGAAGUAGGCAAGCAGCUUCUAUGGCCGUUUUAAAAGUCUGGGCCUUCACGUUGUAGGCAUCCCAUAUCUGACAUCAUAAUUGCUAUAAAUUAACAGCCUUACCAACAAAAGAAAUUUCAGAUUCAAGACUCCAUGGAUGCUCAAAUAUGAGCAAUGGCGUUCACUUUAGUAAUAACCACGACAACAGCACUUCCCCUCACAUGAGUGCUGUCGAAAUAUAUUGGGAGAAGCUGUAAACUAUAACUACUACUGAAGCAAAUCGACAAUAUCAACCAGAAUAUUGACGCUUAUGCCAUAUCAAUAAAGGGACAUAUAAUGGAUACAUUUGAGAACAAUAAUACAUUAAAAGUCCUAUUUCAGAGCUUUCAGAAAAUAUCAAUCACCCAACAAAUUUGAAUAUUGAGAUAGUGAAGGAAAUAAAAGAGAGCAACAAUAGUAAGCCAAAAAGAUAUCCACCUACCUUUUUCUCUUUCACAUCAGUUAUCACACCAGUGUUACCAUCAAUGCCAAUCCAUGCAUUUUCACCAUUUGCAUGCUAUGGAAAAAAAAUUGUGGUUAGGAUAUCAAUGAUGCAUCAUAUUGUGACCACAAAAAAUAAUCAUGCAUCAGAACGUAUAUAGAAAUGACAAAUCAUAAAAUAAAACAGAACAAAGCCAUACAAAACAGAUUCAAACCUUUGCCUGCAGCGCCGUCAUUGUUCUAAUCACAUUCACCCCGCAAUUCUGAGCCAAGGUACGUGGUAUAGCCUCAAAAGCUAUAGCAGCAGCUUCAUAUGCCCACUGUUUUACCAUCAAAAUACGUGUAGCCAUAAAACUCCAUUAAAAUGCAUGUAAAGUGAAACCACAACUAAUUGUUAAUCUUAAGUAUGUCAAGGAGCAUGUGAAGUGAAGUGACAGCCAGUUUAUUCAUAGAAUUUAGAUUUCUACUUCCACAAGGAGUUAUUCUUCGACGAGUUUUACACAAGAAAUACCGAACUUUUGGAUGAGGAAAGGAGCUUUUACCUUUUCUAUACCUUAUACAGAUGAACUCUUUUGCUUCAAUGUAGCAGAUAGAGUUCACUCUGUAGCACCACCAGCAGGAACAAGUUUCGGAUUCUUGAGGAUGUUUCUUGCUACAGACAUGGCAUCCUAUGACCAGAUAUAAGGGAGUAAAUAACAAAUUUCAGCAGACUAUAUUUAUUCUACGUAAUGGGGACAAAGAAUUAAAACCAUUAUACCUGCAAAUUCCUUUCCACUUCAUUUAAAAUAUCUUUACUACUGUCAUCUGAAGAGUACAGUACAUGCUUUAGGCUCUUUGCAAUGAACAAUGAAUGCAAAAAACUCAUCACCAAUUUUCUUAACCUCAAAUAUCCCAGCGCCUGUACCAACAUCAGACUCUUGCAAUUCAUCUGGUCUGUUAACAAUUACAGCCCCACAAGCCUUGGCAAUUCGGUUAUUAUCUGUUUUCCGCAACCUCCUGAUUGCACUGACGCCGGCCUUGCUAAAAUAAUGGCAUGCCAAGUCACUAAGCCCCUUUUAUGUGAUAACCACAUCUGGUUUAAACUUCAAUAUUUGCACACAUAGCCUCUCGAUGUAUUCUUCUUCCAAUUUUAGCAGGACUCCCCAAUCUUCUUCUUUAAGCAACUCAGCAUUUGUUUGGUUCUCGCCUUUCUUAUAUUCCAGAGGACAAUCAAGAAGAAUGAUGCGUAGGUUGAAAAUCUUUCUUCUCAUUUUUCCAGGUGCAAUAACAUCUUUGUUAAUCAUUACUCGUUUGAGAACCACUGAAUCUUCCAACUGGCCACCAGGAAUCUUCCAACUGGCCACCAGGAACCUUCUCAACCUUUAUGUACUUUUUAAUAUCCAUUCCCGCAGACCCUGGCCAAGGUCCACCCCUACUAUUGUGGUAGUGUCAAGUGCAAUUCAAGGGGGCAGUCAAUUUGGUAUGGUGGCAUAAACAUGUUUACUCCAGGAUUCACCUGUAUGGGACAGAGCUUCCUUCUUCCCUUGUCGUCUGUAGGUUUCAACUUCACACUUUUGAUAUACAUGUAUGACAACUUGUGGCUAUUUAUGUAUGGCCUCCUAACACUUGUUCUGCCAUUCCACAGUAUUAGGCGAAAAUUUUUGAGUUGAAUAACUGGAAAGACUUCAGAUGACAGAAGACAUUUACCUCAUAAAUAUGCCUCCCCCCUUAAACCCUCAAUUGCAAGCUUCAGUCGGUAAUAUUUGAUCUUCAAAGGGUCAACUUUAUCUACUUCAAUCCCAGCACUGAGAUGCUCGAUGAAUUUGACGGUCAAGAUUCCGCAAGACGCACUGUGAGGCCAAUAAGUUGGGAAAUUAGAGGGGGCAGUCAUGUAAAAUUUGGAUAAACUGCACAAAAUUCACAAAGCUUACCCAUCUCGUUGUUAUGGCACAUCUGCAAUGCUGCACACUGAGAAUGGCGUAUACAUCGACAUCGUCAGCCCCUUUUGCUUCACCUCUUCAACCUCAGAAUCAUCAUAAAAGUGCAUAUCAUACAGCACUCGUGCCAGCGUAUCGCUAAUAGGGUGCAGAAGUGUAACCAGCUUUGAACGUUUGGUAAAAUCAACAUAGGAGUCAUACACAGUUGCAGUAUGUCUGACGAAAUCAAUUUCGAUUGCAACCCAGUGAGACCCUUUCAGAUUAUAUGGCAAAUAGACCUUCCGGACUUUUGUCCAAGCUUGGGCAUACCCGUGUUGCCACGUACCACGCACAAAGUGAUGUAUAUUCUUCAGCUUGCUAGGUGGAAGGUCAAUGGUGUUUGAAGCAGCUGCCUUCUUCGAUCCACGUGUCCUGGAAGUCGGUUUGAACGGCUCUAGAAAUUGCUGUAGAAAUUUAAAUGAAGGCAUAUUAGAAAAUCACAACCGACAGCAAAUGAAGCAGUGAAUGUAACAUGGUUACGUGUUUACCUGCAAGCAACAAUCUGCCGUUGUCCAGUCAGUUCCAAAAACCAACGGUUGAGAGAGUUGCCUUUUCCGGAUAAGAAAGGUUGCCAUGUCCAGGUGCUGAAAGUUGACACAUAAUAUUAGCACAAUUUCAUACAACUGUACACUUAAAAAAGGUGAGAAAACAAUUGAAUUAUCGUAAUAAAGUAGAGCUUUGUGUAUCGUUACCCUUGAGCUCAUCCAUUCCGUUUCAUCGACAAGUCUGUAGAAAAAAUCAGCGCCCACUGAAAAUGAUUCCAGCUGCACCUCCGCACUACAAAAGGCAAACUUGCAACGGUUACUUUUGUAGUCAUCUCAUAAAUCUGACUUUGUUGAUGACAAAAAUACACAUGUAUAUUAAACCAAACUCUACAUUCUCUCAUUAGUCUAUGAUUACAUAGUAGAAUAGGAUGAAGAUUGGAAUUCAAAGGUCAAGAAUCGUAACCUGAUAUCGCUUUUCCAGGCACUGCAAAACUGUAUUACUGCCUUCACAUCUUCAAUGGGCAAGGGUUUUGAUGGAUCAAAACAUGGCGGGGUUGCAGUCGCAGCCGACACAGUCAUCGUCCUCUUCUUCCUCAAAGGAUCAGUAAAUGGGCUCAACAAUGUCUGCGCCGGGCACUUAUGUCUGCACCCUUUACCUUCCACUUCUUUUUUUUCAACACUCAAACUACCUUCUUCAACACCAGCCAUAGUAACUGUGGGUAGACUUGGAGGAUUGAUCGAACCUCCCGAUUGCAUACUCUUAGUGAUUUUCCAAUCUUCUAACAGCUUCAUGACUCUUUGGCAGAUUUCGUCAUACCCGGCCACAUCUUCCGGGGUAGGCAGCUUCUCGGAUUCUGCCUGCUUAGCUACUUCAUGCACUUCUAAGUGAGGAACUGAAGCGGCCAUUUUUGCCUCUUCAACUACCAUGGCUGCGAAAGGUUCGGCUCCAUCACCGGGGACUUGUGUUUCCAUUACUGCCGGUUCUGUAGGCGGACUAGCAUUGGCAUGUAAUGGCGACAAGUCAUUGUUGCCUCCUUCAUUCAUAUGAGGACUAUCGAGGUCCUCAUGUCCUUCCCCAGCUUCAUUCACCCCACCAUUUUGUUUUUUCAGCUGCUCUAUCUCCAACUUAAAAUAAUGCUCCAUUGAAGCCACGGUGUUGCACAAAUCCUCCACACACUUUUUAUUUUUUUCGAACUCUUUUUCAGCUUUCAUUGACUCCUUCCGUACCUUGUCUUCCAACUGAUGCACUCUAUCGCGAAGCGCUCGAUUUGAUAGGGCAACUUUGGCCAAUUCAUCCUUUGUCCUUUCAAAGUCACGCUUCAAAGUGCGUAACUCUCUGGACGCGACUGUACCCUGCAUUAAGUUAUAAUGCAUGUGUUACUAUGCAGGCCAAAAAAUAUUGCAACAAUACAGCAGUUAUUUUCCUAUUGUAUUAUGACGUAUAUCUUCGAAAAUAUGUAAUGCUUGCCUUAGAAGACGACGGAAGGCUUGCAGUUUCGUCAAUGUCCUUAUCUUCUUCUUCUACAGAGGCAGAAGUGCCGGUUUUUUUUUUAGCGUCAUCGCCCAACAAGUCAACAAGUUCUUCAGUGUCGUCAGCACUGUCACCCCAAGUCCAAUACGGCUGCUGCUUGUCCAUUACAGAUGGCCGGAGAAGCUGCACAUCAACCUGUAAUUUACACAUACAAUAUACAUAUCAGUAAAGUAAUUAUAUUAUAUUUUCAUAUCCCUAACAUUAUCAUUACAAACUGAACUAACCUCACGGUUCUCGAAUACUUGGCUCAUUAGCUCAUAAAAACGCGGCGAACUAUUGCUCCUCCAAUGUAGUAAAUGAGGGAUGUACGCAUUAUCUUCGUGCACCACCAAAUGUAGUGCAGCCAACGCUGGAAAGACCUCAUACGCCCAAAUCUGGUUUGAGGAAUAAAAGGUCAGUCAUUGUAAACAAAUGCAAUUUAACUUCAACAUCAAUGGACAUUUGCUCACCUGAAGUGCAUAGGCAAAACCUUUGAGGUGGUACUCUCUUGGUCUACCAGUUGCCGUUGUUGUUGGUUUCUUUCCAGAAUUUUUUUUUUUUUUUGCAGUUUUUGUGGGCAGUUUCACUCGCUGGUAAUCUGCAGAAAGUGCCCUCAGCAGUGACGCAUUUGUCUUCGCAUAACACACAGCACCCCAUGGAUACUUCCCAAACUCUUCAAGGUCUUCCGCCAACUUCAAAUAUCGCAUGUCAAUGUGGACAUGUUUUUCACUGCCCAACAGCACAAACACAGCAAAGUAUACGAAUCCGAGCUUCAAUACAUCGUCCUCAUCAUCGCAUUUGAGGAAGGCCUUUUCUAAUUCCAACAGGUUCACAGUUUUAUCGUUGGCAAAGUACUUCCGUUUCAAUGAGCAGUUCUCAUUAGUGGGAAUCGGAAUUAAGGGAAGGUUUCCAAACCUUAGCCCUGUCACGAUGCAAAAUUGCUGCACCGUGAAUUGGAUGACCUUAUUGCCAACAAUGAAUUUGAUCCCGUUCAGUUGGGAAACUGUCUUGGGAUCAGCUUUCCUGAGCAGCAAGCAGUGGACAAUUGGAGAAGUCCAUUUGAGGUCCUCAAUCCGUAGGAGAUGACCAAAACAACUCUGUUCAAACAUUUGCAGCUGCUGUUCAGUGAAUUUCUCCUUGAUCGUAGUGAUUGCGGUCUUCGUAUGGGAUAGCGACAAUGCUUUCCCUUGGAACUUUUGUUCCUCUGCAAUCAUCAACUUCACUUGACCAACCAUAUUUCCCUGCAUGCCAAUAUUAUAAACAAACUUUCAGUCGGUUGCAAUCUAGACAAUAACAAGCAAUAAACAAUCACCACUUAUCAACAGCCUAUUAUAGGAUAUGAAGUGAAAAAAAAAACAACAAAUACAUAUCAUAAACAAAACCCCAGCUAUUUACAACUGACCUCCUCAUUUAAUGGCUCAAAGCCAAGUUUCAAGACACCCAGUACUCUACCACUCCUGCAUAACCCUAAUAUCUAAACACACAUCUCAACACACCAUAUAAUCACACCAUCUAAUCAUGAGACAGCUUCAGCUAGAAUGGGAUUGUGCGGUAGCACAAGCCUAAUUGAGAACAAUUCAACACUAACGAUACAAAUCUAUCUGACUAGAAAGAGUUUUAAAAAACAACAAGACAUCGGGAAACAAUUGAUUCACUUCAAGGUAUAAUGUAGUGGAACAUCCUAUGAAUUAGUGGCAACCGCAAUACUGACUCUACUAUGGCCCUCCUUUCAAAUGUAAGAAAAUGAAAUAAAUUGACACCAUUCCUUCAGUUUUUUCUUAACAAAAUAUCAAAGAUAAAUUCAUAAAUAAAACAUCAAAACUGUAUAAAAUGUUUGUAAGACAUGUACAAUUACAAAAUUAUAAGUUCUCCUCAGAAACAGAGUUCUCUAAGUAUCCAUACACAAACAAGAAAAGCAAAAGCUUAAACAGUUAGCUUAUAGCAAAAUCAUUGUCCCCAUUUCUCUAAACCACACCUGCUGGUGGUAGGUUCCCAUCUUCACUCAUUUCCCGCUUUCUUUUAAGCACACAAUGAUGAAGCACAAAACAGCAAACUUUUAAAGAACUCAUAUUACACCACAUAUGGUUCUAAACAAAACUCAUCCAUAUCCAAUAUGCAAGCCCUAAACUUAGUAAACAGAGUUAUAAAAAAAUAUGUCAAAUUAACAAGCAUUAUUCUCAAACAAAAAGUAUGAUAUGGUUGGGAGUUUACAAGUUCAAAAUGAUAUACACAGGUUAAUUGUCUUGCACUUUUGAUAUCAUCUUCAACAAACAAAAUAGAUACCAAUUAGACUUGUAAGAAGGUUAAAUGCAAUGGUCAUAGAGACUCAUACUAAGCCACCAAAUACUAAUCAAUAACUGCUACAAAAACCAUAAUAAAAUCAUAAUAAAACUAAAAAUACAAUAGCACUAAAAUGCCAACACAACAUCACUACAUUAGCAAUACACUAGCAAAAAAACACAAUACGACAGCAAUAGCAACAGCAACACAAUAGCAGUGCAAGCAUCAGUCCACAAAGAACAAACCCAUUCACUGUUUGAAACAAGGAAUCAUCAUACUAAGAUCAUUUCAGAUAAACCCCAAAACCAAUUUCGUUGAAACCCCUAAACCAAUUUCAGAGAAACCCCUAAACCUUCAACCAAUUUCGAACAAACCCCUAAACUAAUUUCAGCGAAAUCCCUAAACCUUCAACCAAUUUCGAACAAACCCCUCAACCAAUUUCAGAGAAAUGCAUAAACCCUAAACCAACUUCGGAGAAACCCUUAAAGUGUAAGAAAAUGCCGAUGAACAGUACCUGUCGCUGGGAGAGGAAGAGAGAAGAGAGAGUCCGAGCUGAGGGACGAGAGAUUGCGAGCUGAACGACCAGAGAUUCAGAGCAAAGCCACGAGAGAGUGAAGAGAAACAGAGCCGAGAGAAGAGAGAGAUCCGAGAGAAGAGAGAGAGCCGAGAGAAGAGAGAGAGCAAAACAGAGAGAAUAAAAUUUCAGCAAAAGUGAUAUGUGUGCAAUAAGGGCACAAUAAAAAUAUAUUUAUAGGUUAUAGUUCCAAAUUUUUUAAAAAAGGGUGGUAUUUUCAGUUACAAUUAUAAAAAUGGUGGCAUUUAGGGCUAUUUCCCAAGAUAUUAUAACCCAUAAUUAAAACAACAAUAUAACUUCAUAAUCUCAAUAAUCAAAAUAAUCAAAUUUAUAUAUAUGCAAGACAAUCCACUCUUUGAAAAUAAUGAUCAUUUAAAACAAAGUCCACUCACGAAAAGUCCAAAGUUGCUUGACCCUUCGAGGGUCCCACCUGUUGAGUUCGUGGAGCCUGAGUACCUAUUUUAUCGGGAUUCAACUCCUAAGUUUUCGGGAUUCAAAGUGUGUGUGCACGACUACCGGGGAGUUUCUAAAGCCAAUAUAACUCUUUUCAAAAGGUGGAACGACCUCGGAAGACUCACGGUCAACAGGGUGGCCAAACUUCUCAAAUUGGUCAACCCAGCGGGGCCACGACGUUUGAUUUUCUAUCCGAAAGUUCCUACUCAAUCCUAAAGGUACAAAGAACAACAUAUUUGAAAUUGGGACCGAUCAAACGGUCCGAACCUAUCAAACCCGGAUAUCGCAUAAUAGGUGCAAUAUUCUUUCGAUAGUCAAAUGAAAACCAAUUCAAAAUCCAAGCAUACCGUCGUGCUCAGAUUCAGACUAACUAGCCACAUAGUGGUCCACGCGCCGCCACUCUCCGUCGGCAAGGUAUGGUGUCUUGAGAAUUUUCCCAUGAAAACACCUUACAAUACCUAUGCCAACAGAUUCAGACUAACUAGGGGAUCAACUUCUACGCUGAAACCGUAAGCUAAAAUGGGUAUAUUGAACGAUUUGUAAAACCUUGAAAUCAAUCCAAGAUACAUAUACUAACAGCUAGAGCACGUGAAUGGGAUGAAGAACCAUACCUUGGUCAACAGAAACAGCAGCCGGAAUCGCCGAAAAUUGCACGAACACCACCGGCGACCAAACUAGGGUUUCGCUCGGUUCUAGUCCAAAAUCGCGACCAAACUUGGAGUUUCGUAGGUGUAAAUGGGUAUGCACGUGUAGAUGACGAAGAGACGAAUGUUUUGUGGGUCGUGACGUCGCCAAUCUUGAUCGGACGGAGGAGAAAACGCCGACCAAACAAGCCAGUCUAUUUCGGGAAUGAGAAGAGGGUUGCGCGAGCAAGGAGAGGGUUGCACGAGCUAGGAGAGAGAGAUCUGAUAGCUCAUUUUAAAACCCAACUUUGAAAAAAUUAUGAUUGUGCCACUGCACUUCCAUAGACCACAAAUUCUUCGUUAAAUCUCUGAUUUGGGCCUACUACGUGUCUUCGAACUCGUGAGAGCUAGCUCUACGCAAUGGUGCCACUCAUUUUCCCAAAAUCCUUCAUAAUCGAAAAGUGACUAAAGUGACCCUACCCCUAAGGGAAAAAUUGUAAAUUCAAAAAUAAAAAUAAAUUUAAUAAAAUGAUUAAAUUGGGUCGAGAUGUUACAAUAUUGUUGUUGUUGUUUUUCUUUAAUUAAUGUAGCCCCCUGGUUCCUCCUCUCUUUUUUUUAAUUAAUUUUUUUUUUGUGUAAAUUUUUUAUUUUAUUUUAUAAUUUUAGCGACACUAAGAAAGAUACCAACUCACCACACAACUUAAAAACAUAGACUAACUUAUAAGAAAAUAACUAUAAAAACAAAAAACAAAAAAAAUCACAAAUUUUAAUUUUAAAUAUAUAUUUUCUUACAAGCAAAAACAUUUUUAAAAAACAAACUUAAAUUUUUAUUUAAGUUAAACUUUAUAUAUAUAAAUUUAUUUUAUGGACACAUAAAUAUACAAGCAACUCAAGGAUGACUAGUUAAGGGCCUCUGAAAACACAGCCAAUGGUUCCGGGAAGGUUGGAGAGGUCAAAAUUGUCUUGCUUAAAACCCAAACCUUCUUAGACACCAAAGGUGUCGCCGAAGAACUCCUAGACACUAUAUUGACAGAGGUAGCUCGUUCGGUUUACCAAAAAUCGGCUCAUAUGACACAUUAAAUAUUUAUAUUUAUAUUAAUUUUAAUUUUAAUUUUAAAGAAACAAAAACUUAAAAUUACUAAAAUAAUAAUAACAAAACAUGCAAAGAGAAAAUAAAAGAAAAGAAAAUAAGAAUUAUUGUAUCACUCGUGUAUCACCAUGUAAUCACUGUGGUAUCACCCGUUUAUCACGUUUUAGAGAUGAAUUUAUGAACUUUCUAUGUUUUCCAGUUUCGACCUCUGUCCCGUUUUGGACCAAUAACUUUCAAACCGUUAGUCCAGAUUUUAUGUUCAUUAUAUGGUUGGAAUCAACAUAACAAAAUGAAAUACUCAACCUGGACUGAAUGGCAAAAUUAGUUAUAGAAGUGUACAUAAUUCAUUAAAACGAACACUCAAAGUUUCGACACAAUAAAAAAAAUUCCCACCAAGAACUUAAAUGAAACAUUGUCCUUAAUGUUGAAAAGAGUAAAAUUAUGCAAUGUAUCAUAAGGCCAAGGGAAGAAACAAAACAAAAUAAAAUUAAAACAAAAACUUAAAUUACUAAAAACUAAACAAGCAAAGAGGAAUGAUUGGAAUACUCCCCUUCGAAGCGAUUAGGGCGAGCAUGGAAGCAUUUGGAGGUCACGAUUUCUCCCAAUACUCAGCACUUCCCUUCUUUGUUUUGUUACUAUUCCAGUUAUAUCUUUCUUAGAUUGUAGAUUAAUAAUUGUUUUUGAGGUGGUUUUGGUAGUGUCUUAUUCUUGGUGGUAUAUUUUGUUACGGAAUAAUAAUGGCAUCGUAGUUUCUAUUUUUUAAUUGAGUUUUUAUUUUUAUUUUUUAUGUAACAAUUAUAGUUAUAUUUUUGUUAGAUCGUAGAAUCAUUGUUUUUUAAGUAGUUCUAAUAGUGUCUAUUUUUUUGGUAUUAAAGUUCUGGUGGUGUCUUAGCGUUGCAAAUAUGUUUAGUAUGAAAUAUAAAUUGCUUCGUCAUUUCUGUUUUUAACUGUGGGUAGGGUUUUGCCAUUCAAAGCUUAGGGAUUCUAAAUCUUGGAGACUAAACAGUUAGCAACACAUGAAAUUUAAACAUUAAAGAACAACUAAUUAUAUAAUCUGAAGGAGGGUAGAUUCGGUGACUGCAAUGCAACUAAUUAUACAACUAAUUAUAUAAUUAAAGAACAACUAAUUAUCUAAUCUUAAAGAACAACUAAUUAUGUAAACAGUUAGCAACAUAUGAAAUUUAAACAUCUUUUAAAUUUAAACAUAAGCAUUUCCAUUGCAUUUGUUCAAUGUAUCUCUUCCAUCUUUUAAUUUGGCUGAAAGACACAACACUUAAUUAGACAAUGAAAAGCACGUGGUGGAGCAGUUUCAAUAAAUGAGGGUGCGUUCCAUCAACAAUGAUGCGCUGAACCUCCAUACUUGAAGCUUAGUGAGAAAAUAUAUUAGAAACUACAAAGGUUUGGAGUGUUGGGCAGGGCCUUGCAAAAGAUGUCGGUCCACGUGAGAGUGAGGGAGUCAGUGGUGGUGAAGCCAGAGGAGGAAACGCCAAAACAGGCGCUGUGGAUAUCGCACUUGGAUAUCGUGAUUUCGGCAACUCACCUUGGAAGUGUUUACUUCUACAGGAGGCCAAACGUUCAAAACGGCGCACAUCAUCUUCAAAACAACUGUGUCUUGGAUUCGGAGGUGCUCAAGUGCUCCCUUGCCAAGGCCCUCGUGCCCUUCUACCCCUUGGCCGGCCGCCUGAAGCUGAACGAUGAGGGACGUAUCGAGAUCGAUUGCAAUGGAGAGGGAGUGCUGUUUGUUGUGGCGGAGACUGACUCGGUCCUUGAUGAGUUCGGGGACUUUGCGCCGACUCUUGAGUUCCGGAAGCUCGUUCCUGCUGUUGAUUAUUCCGCUGGGAUAUCCUCUUAUCCCCUCUUGGUCGUACAGGUAUUCAGAGAAAGAGAGGAGACAUUUUUUCACUCCCUUUCUUUUAUUUCUCUUGCUCAUAAUAUCAUCCGGGACAAUUCUUGAACCUGAUAUGACUUAAACUUACAAAGUAUGGUUCUGGUUUUACUCUGUUUAUGCAUCAGGUCACAUACUUCAAAUGUGGUGGAUUGUCACUUGGUGUUGGCCUGGAACAUCGUGUAGCAGAUGGCUUUUCUGGUCUCCACUUUGUAAAUACAUGGUCUGAUAUCGCUCGAGGUCUUGACCUUACAAUUCCACCAUUCAUCGACAGGACAUUACUUCGUGCCCGAGACCCACCACAGCCUGCAUUCGAUCACAUUGAAUACCAACCUGAUCCACCCAUUAAAACCGGUACAAAAGCUGUAGGUGAUGAGAGCGCAACGGUAUCCAUUUUUAGAUUGACACGGGAGCAGCUCAACAUCUUGAAAGCCAAGUCUAAGGAAGAUGGGAACACAAUCAACUAUACCACAUAUGAGAUGUUGGCAGGUCAUAUUUGGAGAUGCGCAUCCGUGGCACGUGAACUUCCUGAUGAUCAGGAGACCAAACUACAUAUUGCAGUUGAUGGAAGGUCCAGACUGCAACCCCCCCUCCCUCCUGGUUUCUUCGGCAACGUGGUUUUUUCAGGCGCACCAAUUGCUGCAGCAGGGGAUAUCAAAUCAAAACCAACAUGGUAUGCUGCAAGCCGUAUUCAUGAUGCUGUUGUGCGUAUGGACAACAAUUAUCUUAGAUCAGCGCUGGACUAUCUUGAACUUCAGCCUGACCUGUUACCCCAUGUUCGCGGAGCUCAUACUUUUAGGUGCCCGAGACUUGCAAUAACUAAUUGGUCUAGGCUGCCGAUCUAUGAUGCUGAUUUCGGUUGGGGUCGACCUACUUUCAUGGGGCCUGGUGGAAUUGGAUAUGAGGGGUUGGCUUUUGUGUUACCAAGUGCAACAAAUGAUGGAAGUUUAUCAGUGGUCAUUUCUCUGCAAUCUCAACGUAUGAAAUCAUUCUCCAAGUUGUUGUAUGAGAUAUAAGGAAAUGAAAUGCGUCGAAUGGGAGCAAUACGUUGAACAUACUUUGGGCUUCUGUGUGUGUCCUCCGAGUUCUGGGACUUUUCAUUGACUGUGGC